rnacentral:lncRNA from 1 species
AAGAACGGGAAACACCGUCAUCAACAUCAUGCCACGUCUUUCUUCCUUGACAAUUGCUCUUUGCCCCAAAUUAAAGGCACUGCCCGACCACAUUCAUCAAACGACAACAUUGAAGGAAUUGCACAUUUGGGAUUGCAGGCUUCUGGAAGAACGUUAUUGCAAGGGGGAAGGAGAAGACUGGCCUAAGAUAUCACACAUUCCCAACCUCCAUAUUGGGCAUUGACAAGUAAUUUCUUCUCUUACUCUGAUUUGCUUUGUUGUUGUUUUUAAUCUAAUUAAGAAGCGUAAAUAGCAUUUUGAAUCAAACUCUAUAUCAGAAAUCUGCAAUACUUACUUUCUAAUAUUCUGAUUUUCAUAUCCUAUGAAUAUACGAUUUUUAAUUUGUGAGAUGGGUAACGUUACUGUAAAAGAUUAUUAAUGCAAUAUGAGUAAUUCUUUUGCAGGACAAGUGACCUACAUUUAGUUUGGCUUUGGAGUUGAAUAAUAACCUUUCGGGAACUGGUGUGGACUGGCAAAGGAUGAUGAGAUAGUUUUUUGAGUGAGUAAAUUUUGGGAGCUUGAGUGUAUUGGGAUUUGCAAUUACAAUCAUCGUCUGCCUCAGGUGAUUUCUUCUCCUGCUCUGUCAUUGUUUGUUCUCUAAUUCAAAAGCAUAAAAUAUUUCAAUCAAUUUUUAUGCCAGGAAUAUGCAAAAGUUUCUAAUAUUUUAUUUCCAUCUGUCACAAGAUCAAACUGAAGCAGAACUCAAACAAAAGUAUGCUACUUCUUGCGGAAAUCUUGCCUUCGUUCAAAUUAUGAAACCAUUUCCAUGCAGCAAAUUCAUCCAAAAGUUUGAAUAAGUUUCAUGGUUGGACACUGUUGGCUUCUUUUUCUUCUGGGGUGCAUUUAGGUGCUAUCAAGUGACAGCUGUAAGUAUGAUUGCACUAAGCUGCUGCUGGGAAAUUUGAGGUUUUGAUGGCUGCCCAUGUUAUUUUCAAGAAACUAUUGAUGUAAGAAGCCGUGGUUCUUUUCAUCAGCUUGAACCUGAAACUGUCGCUAUGGAUAACUCAGGUUUUUGUUAUCAACUAUAUCAUCUUUUUCACUAUUUUGAAACUCUUAAGAUUAAACGUUAGUAAAGUUGUUUCAGCUAUUCAAAUGAAAAACUCAUUGAUUUGAGACUUCCUUCAUUAUUGUUUCUAAUUACAAUGCUAACGAUCCAGAUAAAAUAAUAUUUAAUCGGCGAAGGUGUCCCUUGGAAGUACAUCCUUCUUUUUCUUUUAUUAUAUAAAUUCUUGCAAUGAGCUUAGUCAAGAUGUUGUGCUAAUCAUGCCACUGCAUAUAAAUUCUCCAGAAGUUAAAAUCAAUAAAUUUUCUAUUAGCUCUAGUGCUUUGACCUAAAUGCUAUUCUAUAUUCUGAUUACAAUGUUUUAACCUUUAAAUUAACUACCCCUAGGUGUUGGAUUUUCUAGAACUUCAAAAUGAUUAAUGGAGAAAGAUCCCAUUAUCGUUAUUGCUAUAAGAAAUUGAUUUAUGCAUCCAAAGAUACAUUAUAUAUUUCUGUGUCUCUAUUUAUAGAUGACAUUUAAGCAUCCAUAAACCGUCAGACAGAGGAAGGGGGUUCAGUGCAAAGAUUCUGUUGACCUAGGGUUGACUGCAUAAUGUCACUUGUUCGCAAUCUAUUAUUUAUUUUAUAUUUUGAAGAAUUUAAUGGGUAAUCCUAAUUGUUUGUUUUGGCAGGUAUGUGUUGUUUUCUCCUUCUAUCUAACAGUCGUACCUAAAUAGCAUAGUUUCAUCUGUGUUACCAUGUGAUGUACAUAAUUUCACAUUUGCCUCAGAUUAAGCUUAAUUUCCCACAGAAUAGAGCUGUCGCGACUGGACUUAGGUUGAUGUCCAAAGAGGUAAAUUAUUGGCAUGCCUAGAUAAUUUGGCCAUUUCCUAAUUCAUAAGUCUACAUUAAUUUUGAUUUUGAGUUGACUGAUUUCUUUUCAAGGUCUGCUUCCUUAACGGAGUGACCAAUGUUUUUCAACUAAAUUUAUCAUAUGAUGCAGGAAGCAGGGCAGGAUAUGAAAUGAGAAGCUCAUUGGUGGAAGUAUUGCCAGUAACAGAACCCAAAGAAAAUGAAACUAUUUCAAGGCAGCAGUUGGCAGUUGCAAGUGAAUGGAGGCCCUGACAAAAUUCUCAAGCGGUUGCAAUGCAAUUACGAUCAUCCUCAGCCUCAGGUAAUUUCUUCUCCUGCUCUGUUUUUAUUUGUUAUCUAAUUAAAAAGCAUAAAGUAUCUUGAAUCACUUUCUCUAUCUGGAAUAUAUGCAGCAGUUUCUAAAAUCUUCAUAUGAGUGUAAUGAUGGUAAUUUCUGUUUUUUGUCUGUCAUUGAAUGUUAGACAACUUUCAGUGAGACUCUUGAACCGAGACAUUUUUGACAACUGAAGGACAAUUGCUGAAGAGUCGGAAUGGUGCUAGAUUGGGGAAUAAAGACAAAGGAGGUAAAUUAUUUGCAGUUUAUUCAGCAUUAUUUGCUUUGGACCAGCGCCUGAUUCACAAGUCUCCAUAAUUUGGCUUUUGACCAGUUAAUAAAUUUUUAAUUCCAUUGGUGCUAAAUGUACACGUGAAGCAGGCAGAGCAGGACUGUGGAAAUGAGAAGGUUUUUAGUGAAAGCUUAAACUCAGGUAAUUCUAAAAAGUACAUGUUUUUGCUGAUUUAUCUAAAUCAGGAAAUUUUAUUUCCAUCUGUUACAAGAUAAAACAGAAACAGAACACAAAGAAAAAUAUUCUACUUCUUGUGGCAAUCUUGCCUUCAUUCAGACAAUGAAACCAUUUCCUUUCACCAAUUUCUUCCAAAAGUUUGAAUAAGUUUCAUGGGUGGACCUAGUUAGCUUCUUUUUCUUUUGGUGCAUUUAGGUCCUAUCAAGUGACAGCCAUAAGUAUGAUUGCAUUAUUGGGAAAUUUUAGGUUUGGAUGGCUCCCCAUGUUAUUGCCAAGAAAGUCCUCAUGUCAGAAGCUGCGGUUCUUUUCAUCAGCCUGAACCCGAACCUGUCGUUAUGGAUAACUCAGGUUUUUGUCAUCAACUAUAUCAUCUUUUUUACUGUUUUGAAACUCUUAAGAUUAAACUUCAGUAAAGUUGUUUCAGUUAUCCAUGUAAUCAGGCUAAGGAUAUUUAGCAGCUUAUUUAGGCAACUGCCAGAAUUCAGUUUGUUAGCUCGAAACUUGUAUGGUGACAAGGAUACUGGCAAGGAUAGUGAGAUAGUUUUUUGUGUGAGUGAAAUUUGAAAGCUUGGGUGUUCUGGGAUUUGCAAUUGCAAUCAUCCUCUGAGUCAGGUGAUUUCUUCACCUGCUCUGUCUUGAUUUUCUCUCUAAUUGAAAGCAUAAAGUAUUUCAAUCAAAUUCUGUACCAGGAAUACGUAAAAGUUACUAAUAUUUUAUUUCCAUCUGUUUGCAUUGAUAACUCGGCGGCAUAUGUUCUAGUUAAAGAACAAACAGAAACAGAGUUCAGGAAAAAGUUUCUUCGGCCACCAUAUUUGAAAAUGAAACCAUUUCCAGGAAGCAGUUGGCAGCAAAUUCAUAUGGAGUGUAGACAAUGAUGAGCAAAAAGGUGAUUCGCAAUUUCUUUUUUUUUUUAAGUGAAAUUAUUUGUUAGAUUGAAGCUGAUAUUGUAAGAAGGCCAUUGAGCUAACCUAUGUCGCCACUUGCCUAGAUUGCAGGGGGUCAAGACUCAAAAGAAGCACUGAAAUUUAAAAAGCAUGCAAUAGUUCUUUUGCCAUGUGUCAAUUAAUGCAAGUUUGAAUAAGUUUAUUGGCUGAACGAUGUUAGCUUCUUUUCCUUUCGUGCACUUUGGUAUGCUAUCAAGUGACAGCCGUAUGUAUGGCUUGCAUAUAGCUGCUGCUGGGAAAAUUGACGAUUUCAUGGCUGGCCGUGUUAUUGUCUUAAAUUAGUUGUGAUAAGCUGUUGCUUGGAGAUUCUGUUGCCAAGAAUUUGCUCACAUCAGAAGCUGUGGAAUCUGAACCCUUCGAUUCUGUUGCCAAGAAUUUGCUCACAUCAGAAGCUGUGGAAUCUGAACCCUUCGUUAUGUAUCAUCUUUUUCAUUGUUUUAAAACAGUAAACUCUCAGGACACUGAGCAGGCAAAUGUUAUAACUCGGUUUGUUAGCCAAAAACUUGUUGAAGAUUCUUGACAAAGCUGCGUCGAGUGAAUUGUCGGAGCUCUGAGGGUGAGAGAAAUUAGAGGGUGUAUAGGGAUUUGGAUUUGUUAGGAAGUUAUCAUUUUUAUUUGUCCGAUUCAAAACUUGAUAUUCCAAUUAUAUUCAUAAGCUUCUACAGUUAUCUUCAAAAAGACAUUCCAAUUAUAUUCAUAAGCUUCUACAGUUAUCUUCAAAAAGACAAAUGGAAGGCUUUGAACGGCUUGGGUCUGAGUAUUGUAGUUUGAUUUAUUUUGAUGAAAGAACCUUUUGACAUUAAGAUUCUUUCAUGAGUUAAACAUUCUUUUUAAAACCAACUUAUUAAAAAAAAAGUAACGAACAUAUAUUAUUUUGUUAGUGCUUUUUAAAUCAAAUAUAAAAAAGAGAACUGUAAUUCUUAGCAACCAAUUUUUCAUUGAGUACACCUACAACAAAUUAUUAAAAAAUAAAGCGAUAGAAAAUGCCUGAUUUUUCGUACUUUCUAAUUACUUUUGGUCCUAAAAUAUGGCGAUUUGUGUAAUAAUAAGCCCAUGUAUAUCUUUAUGCCAUUAGUUUGAUAAAUAACUAUCAAGGAUAACUUAUUAAGCUAAAAAUAUUUGAAGGAUAAAAUGGGAAAACUAAAAGGGUGGAGUAAUAAAGUUAUUUAAGAUUACAUAGUAAGUUAACUAUAUUCGAGGGAUAAAAUAUUAAAACUUGAAUAGUUAUAUUAAAAAUAUCUCGGCUAUUAUACUAUUAAACCAUAUGCCGUAAUAAUGUUUUUUUUCAAACUUUAAAAAAUUCAGGAUUUUAAAUUAAAACAUGGAUUUCUUUAAGAUGCUAUAUGUGUUUUUACAGUAUUGAUAGUGGGAUUAGUGUGUACCCUUAUAUGAAAGAGUUUUAAUCUGAAUCAUUCAUUUAAUAUAAUAGAUAAUUAAAUAAUUAAUUAAAAUAUAGCAGGUAACUUAUAGGUUGCAGGUAAAAAAUUAAUUUUUUAAUUUUAAAUUAAAAUUAAUUUGGAACAAAACCAUCCACACCCCUAAGGUUUACUUAAAUGAUCAUAUAAAUCCCUUUAGUUUCUACAUAGUUAUACAGACCCUCUUAAUUUCAUAAAUUAUUAUUAUACUUUUAAUUAAAACAACCUAAAUGAAUAUAAAUAUAGUAAUAGGAUAGAAAUAAUAAAUAAAUAUCAGAUGAAACAAAUAAAAUAUUACAAUAAAUACAAUUAAUUAAAUAACAUGUAUGAUGAAAAUUUUAUUCAUAUUAAGUUAUUAUUAGUCUAUCCCGAUGGAUUUACUCAAAUCAAUUAAUCCAAAAUUUAAUUUUAAGAUUGAUAUUAAUAUGGACAUAAUUAAAUAAGAUGUUGUAAUAUAUACUACUUUGAAUGUUAAGUAUAAUUAUCUAAUAUUAUUAGUAUGUGAAAUAGAUUUUAAUAUUAUUAAAGAAUAUGACAAUAUAUAAUUUUGAAUUAAAUUUUUUAGUAUUCAUGAUAUUUUAUAAAUUUUAUGUGAUUUUAUAUAUUAUAUUUUUUAAUUUUAAUGUAUUAUAUAUGAUCAUUUAAGCAAAUUUUGGAGGUGCGGUGGUCUUUUCCCUAUUAAUUUUGUAGCAUAUUUAAAGUGUUAUAUCAUACAUGAUACAUCACACUUUUGUUAAAGUGUUAUGUUAUUAAAAAUUAAACUUUGCAUUUAUAAUAUACUACCAUUUUAAUGUAAAGGUAAUAGAAAAUAUGAAGAUAUUUUUAAGUAGUCAAUUGUAGCUUUCUUUUACAAAAUAGCAGUAUAGAAAUACAAUUGGUAAAAUGUAAUAAAAAUGGUAUGGAAAAAAGUUAGUAGAGGCAAUUAUUCUUGUAGUUGCUAAAACAUAUGAAGUGACACACACACACACACACAUAUCAAGUACUUGUAUGUUCCCCUAACUUUUAUUAAUGGGAAGGAAAUUAAAUUCGUAAUUUUCCCGGUGAAUUAUGAAUUGAUAAAUGAAAUAUAAAUAUUAGUAAAAAUUAAUUUGUCGACUAAAGAAGUAAACCAUAUUUUAUGGGCAUUUAAUACAUUAAUUUAAGGUCAAAUGAGAUAAUAUCACAUGAUAUUUGAUACAAGAGUCCAAUUUUCAACAUUUGCAUAUAGUUUCUAAGCUAGUAAUCUAAUAAAAUAUACCAAAUGAGAAAUUGAAGGCUAUUAUUUAUAUUUCACCAUUGGACAAACACCAUACAUUAGAAUAAAAAAAUCUCACAGUAGAGACGGCAUCUGUUUGCAUGUUUUGAAAAUAGAUUUUGAAAUUAGUUUAAUUACAUGAUAAUUAAAUUAUAUUAUAAAAUUAAGAAUAUGAUUUAAGUACUAUUUUAGCAAUUUUGAGUCUCACAUUGAGUAUUCAAGUUAAUUAAAUGUUGAAACUCUUUUCUAUUUGGCUUGAAAUCACUACUAAAUAAAAUUACAAAAAGUCAAUAAUGAAUGAUGUAGGACACAUAUGUAAAAUAAAUUUUAAAGUGUAAUUAAACAUUCCUAUCAAUAUUAGUUUUGCAUACAUAUUCAUAUAUUUUACCGAAACCAUAUAUAAUUAAAUUUUGUGUAAUUAAGUAAAAUAUAUUAUUCAAGUGAAUUUAUGAGAAUAUUUAAAAUUGUAGGGGUCGUCACUGAAAUUUGCCAAACUUGAGCCAACCGUGCAUGAUCCAAACAGUUUAUUUUAAUAAUUCUCAAUAUGUUAGUCUGUUUGACUGUUGGCAAAAUAAAUUCCUAUCAGCAAUGCAACACAAUUCAAAAUCAUAUCUGCAUACAACGAACAAUAUCUCAUGAAAGAUCAAAUUAUACAUUUUUUACACCAAACCAUAAAUAUCUAAAUUGUCCCUCUUCAACUCACCAAGCUCAUACCUAACAACAGCAAGAUUAAAUGUCAUUUGAUCCAUCUUUUUUAUUAAGCUUUAUCAAUUCUUCUCAUGGUUGCAAUUUUGAAAGCUCGCUUCGCUAUUUCCAUUUGCUUUUAUGCUUUGUUUGAGCUCCAUCUUUUCUCUCCAUCUACAUUUUACACUGUAAAAAAAAUUUUAAAAAAAUUACAAAGCUUCUUAUGCUAGAAUAUGAGCAACAAUAUAAAUAAUAAACAAUAAAGUUAUGAUAGCACAGCAUGCUCAUUAAAGUGCUUCUUUUUUUUUUUUUUCAACAAGAAAUUACUACUGAAUUAAAGAUUUGGCUUUGCAUUAAGGUUUGCCUUCAAUAACUCAACUCCCCACUUGGGUUUUGUCGUUUUCUUAAAAUCUCUGCUCAAUCAAUUUAAAGAUCCUUUUUUUUUUCUUUCCAAAGAUCUAAAAGCAAUGUCUUUUAUUGGUACCCAACAAAAAUGCAAGGUCUGUGAGAAGACAGUUUGUCCAGUUGAGCAGUUAUCUACUGAUGGGGUUGUUUAUCACAAGUCUUGCUUCAAGUGCUCUCACUGCACUGCAAAGGCACACUCAAGCUAAGCAAUUACUCAUCCCUGGAAGGUGUUCUUUACUGUAAGCCUCACUUUGAGCAGCUUUUGAAGGAGUCGAGUAACUUCAACAAGAAUUUCCAAUUACCUGCAAAGUCAGCUGAGAAGUUAACUCCUGAGCUGAAAAGGUCGCCUAGCAAAGUUGACAGCAUGUUCUCUGGGCCCAAUAAAAAUGUGCUUCUUGCAGUAAAACAGUGUGUCCGUGGGAGAAGGUAGCAGCGGAAAACCAAGCCUCUCACAAGACAUGUUUCAAGUGCUCACAUGGUGGUAAUUCCAUUAGCCCGUCAAAUUACGCAGCCCUAGAAGGCAUCUUGUAUUGCAAACAUAAUUUCUCCCAAUUGUUCAAGGAAAAAGGCAGCUACAACCACCUUCUAUCAAAUCUGCUUCCAUGAAGCGUGCUGCAGUCUCUGUUCAAGAAGCUUGAACAUGUUAUGUUAUCUUCCAUAAAUCUUAUUUGGCGUGGGUUUUCUCUGGCUUGAGGGUGUGCUUUCUAUUUUGAUCCCUCUUGUUGUUUUUGCGGGGAACUACCAAACCUUCGGUUCCCUCUGCUUCUUUGGAUCAUCUUUGUUGGGACAAAUUUCAUGUAAUUAGAGAUACUGAUUUAUGGGAGGCAUAAUCCCAUGGUUGUAAAUUGACCAUUUUCUGGCAAUGUUCUUUUUAAAAAGAGAUGAGCAGUUGUUUAACAAAAAAAAUAGCUGGCCUUCAUCAUGGUAUGUUACCAAACUGCUAUGUAUAGCUGCUAACUAUGAGCAUCCGAAAAUAUGGUGCAUCGUGAUUCAUGUCGUGCAAUAUGGCUACCAACGCAUCCUAAAUGGAGUAUUACUCAGUUAGUCAGCAAAAUAAGACAACAGUAAGAUAUUAAAAAAAUAAAAACUACAUUAAUAAGUGGGCAAGAUCAUGCCAGUUUAACUUUUCGCGCGUCGCUGCUGGAGAUAAUCAAAUCGGGGCAGAGAAAAGGAGAAUGGAAUCAGAGGCUAAGAUUAAUAAGUGGGCUUCUGCUUGCUUUGCCCCUCUUUCUUAAACGAUUGGUAGACUGCUGCUUCCACCGAUUAACCGGGUCUUCAACCACUGCUUUUAUUGCCUGCCAUCUUGUUGUUUGUCGAAGGGAUGAAUUCGAGUCGAAAAGAGAAAGCGCGCUGAAAAAGACAAAUCACUAGUGGUUAACUACUGACUCAGCCAAGUGUUGGCUUCACUUGAUUCACCGAUUGAGGUUAUUUUGUCUUCUAUCUAAUGCAGCGAAGAAGCUUUACUGCUUAACAUGCUGCAAUGCAACUUUAUCUUUUGAAGUUCACACUUCAGGGCUGCGCACUUUAUGUAAUCCUAUGAGUAAAAAGAAUUUAUUUUCAAAUGUGAAAAAAGAAAAUGUAAGGUAGUAACUAAAUAUAUUAUAGCAUCAAAGUAAGAUUUGAUAUGAAUUUAGUACAACAAAGAACAUUAAAUCUGUGAUUCCUUGUCUAAUGUCACCAUCGAGCAACAAAUUUAAAAGCCUACCUAUCAAAUACACGAGGCAAUAAACGGAGAAAAAGUUGAAUUACAAGAACAAGUUUACAAUUCUUGUCAAUGGUUAAUGAUUCGUGAAUUGAGAUAGCAUUCAAGAAUCCAAUUUCAAUACAACAACGUAAAAGAUAAACAGAUGAUGAAUUUUAUGAGAUAAAGAAGGAGAUUGUGUUUUAUCGUAUCUCUAUUUUCUUUCCAUUUAAAUUUAAAAUAAGCUUUUCAACCGGUUAUAAUAUUUUUUGAAAUAAUUAAAUAUUUUUAUUAUUAAAAAUAAUGUGUACCGUUGAUUACAUCUAACGCUACAUAUUUCUUACACUAUUAAUACCGUAAAAAAAAUCAUAGAGGGACCCUUAAAACAUUUUCAUUUGAAAUUAUUUGGUGAAGUGAAAAAGUUAAGAAAGAAAUAGUUGUCCCUUUGGUCAUUUCACAAAAAUGAAAGCCCCAUAUAACAUGGACUUGAAUGGAAGCCCAAUUGUUGUGUUUGAUUUCAAGCUUUAUCGGACCUUUGGACCUGGAUACUUUACUGCGGCCUCUAAGCGCUACAAAUUUUUUUUUUGGGAUAAAAGGCGCUUCAAUGAAAAAGCACUUUAAAACUUUGGAUUUUGCCAAAACUUCAAAGCGGUUGGUCCAGUUACGGUGUUAUGCUAACGGGUUUAAAGGUUCCGAUCCAAUGAGUUAGGGUGGAAUAUGAAUAUAUAAAUCCUAGUCAUGUAAGGACUAGGAUUUGUUUGUUCAUAUCAAGAAAAAAAAUCUGAAAAUUUGAUGAUCAGAAGAUAAAAACACUUAAACACGUUUAUUACAGAGAAACAAACGACAACAUGAUGCUAGUAGUAAUUUUAUUUUUCUUUUAUUGUGUAACGUGGACCAAAAAAAAGGAAAUGAAUUUAAUAAAACCGUCAUUCCGCAAUAAUAAUGUACCAGCCUGGUUUUUAUAAUCCAUACCAUCCUGAUAUAAUUAAACACCAUUAAUAAUGUACCAGCCUUUAAAUAGUAAUUAAUUUAUUUAUCUAAUUCACCAAAUGUCAUUUCCGGUACAUAUCUCCUGGUAUCAAGAAGAGGCAGAACCCAAAGAAACGUUUCUUGUAUCUUCAUAUUUGUGCGAAUUCAUCCUUUCAUUGAGAAUAACCAUUUCCAGGCGGCAGUUGGCAAUCAAUUCAUGCGCAAGUCGAUGCUAUUCAUAGAUAUUAAAGACAAUGAUGAACCAAAGGUGAUAAAUCAUAAAUGCAUAAUUACCAAACCUCCAUCCUUCUCUCAUUAUGAUUUGAUUUUAAAUGAAUUAUUGCUUGGUAACAUUAUUUCCAACCAUUGCAAGAUUAUUAUUAUUUUUUUUUGGGGAGAAAUUUCAAUUGAAAGUGAAACCUUUAGACAUUUACCUAAUGAAGUUAGUUAAUGGGGAGGGUUGGAAAAAUUCCCAAGCCGUUGCACAGCAAUUACGAUCAUCCUCGGCCUCAGGUAAUUUCUUCUCCUGCAUUUUUGUUAUUUGCUAUCAAGUGACAUUCGUAAGUAUGAUUGUAUUAAGCUGCUGCUGGGAAAUAUAAGGUUUUGAUGGCUGCCCAUGCUAUUGUCAGAAGCUGCGGUUCUUUUCAUCAGCCUGAACCUGGACCUGUCGCCAUGGAUAACUGAGGUUUUUUUUUUUUUAAAUCAACUACGUCAUCUUUUCCACUGUUUUGAAACUCUUAAGAUUAAACUUUAGUAAAGUUGUUUUAGUUAUCCAUGUAAUCAGGCUGAGGAUACUUAGCUGCCUAUUUAGGCAAAUGUCAGACUUUAGUUUGUUCGCUGGGAACUGGUGUGGUGACAGCGUCCUGGCAAAGGAUGAUGAGAUAGUUUUUUGAUUGAGUAAAUUUUGGGGGCUUGAGUAUAUUGGGAUUUGCAAUUACAAUUAUCCUCUGCCUCAGGUGAUUUCUUCUCCUGCCCUGUCGUUGUUUGUUCUCUAAUUCAAAAUUAUAAAAUAUUUCAUCAAAUUUUAUGCCGGGAAUAUGCAAAAGUUUCUAAUAUUUUAUUUCCAUCUGUUUGUCUUGAUAACUUUGCAGCAUAUGUACUAGUUAAAGAACAAAUCGAAACAGAGUUCAGUUAAAAGUUUCUUCUGCCGUCAUAUUUGAAAAAUGAACCCAUUUCCAGGAAGCAAUGGGCAGCAAAUUCAUAUAAAGCGUAGACAAUGAUGAGCAAACAGGUGAUUCACAUUAAUGAAAUUAAUUGUUUGGUUGGAGCGGACAUUGUUAGAAGGCUAUUGAGCUAACCUAUGUCACUACUUGCCUAGAUUACAGGGGGUCAAAACUCAAAAGCGGCAUUGAAUUUUAAAAGGCAUCCAAUAAUUCUUGUGGCCAUAUAUCAAUUCAUGUAUGUUUGAAUGUAAUUAUUGGUGAAGGGGUUUCACUUCCCGUCUCUAAAUAAAAAUACUGAUUCUUUAAGGUACCUGCCACUAGGGAUUGCGAGAUUAAUGAGUCUUUGGACAUUGGAAGAGCUCCUUGUGAGUGGAGGAGGAGGUGUUGAUGGUAGCAAAGCAUGUGGGCAGUGGGCUUGAAUCUCUAAAAAACUUGGAACUCCUCCAAGCGUAAGUAUACGUAUACUGGGAAAUUUGUUAGAUGUGGAUGAGGCUAAGAGAUUAGAGCUUGACAAAAUGAAAUACCUCUUUCAUUGAGACUUAAAUUUGAUGGGGAAGAAGAAAAAGAAGAGGGAAGGAGGAAGAAUGAGGAUAAUCAACUUGUUCUUGAAGCCUUGCAACCACCUCUGAAUUUGAAGGAAUUAGAGAUUUGGUCAUACAGAGGCAACAUUGUUUCCCCCCGGAUGAUGCAAAAAUUGAAGGAAUUUACCAAUCUAAGGAGUUUGACACUCUUUAAAACUGCAAAAAUUGAGAGCAGUUGCCUCCUUUGGGAAAAUUGUGAUCCUUUGAAAAUCUCAGCAUAUUGUACAUGGAGAGUGUGAAAACAGUGGGUAAUGAAUUUCUGGGAAUAGAAAGUCAUCUUCAUGACUCAUCUCCAUCUUUAUCAGUUAUUAUUGCCUUCCCCAAAUUGAAAUCACUUUCAGUUGAGGGAUUGAUGGAAUUGGAGGAGUGGGAUUAUGGGAUUAAAAGAACAGGAAACACCUUCACCAACAUUAUGCCACGUCUUUCUUCCUUGGAAAUUAGUGUGGGGUUAUGGGAUCGCACAACCACGUUGAAGGUAUUGCAGAUUGUGGCAUGUGGUACUCUAAGAAGACGUUGCAGACAGGGGAGAGCAGAAGACUGGCCUAAGUUCUCUCACAUUCUAGACAUCAUGAUUGUGUGAAAAGAGGCCCUUGACAAAAUUCUCUAGGCGGCUACAUGGAGUACAAUCAUAAAAUGCUAAUGUGGCCACCCUGGUUCUUAAUUAAGGUUGUGAAAUAUUAUUGUAAAAGAUGAUUAAUUCAAUUUGAGUCAUUCGUUUGCUUUGAUAAUGAUAGUAAUUUUAUAUUUUGACAAUUUGCAAGGUGAGAAUGGUGCUGAUUGGUGAUACAGGAUACGGUUCAAACACCAUUGAAUAAAGCUACGGACAUGGUGGCUCAACUUAGCUAUUGCUGUCAAAAUUGGUAAGUUGGCUUGUCAAUGUAUUGAUGCUUUUGUUUUCUCUCAACCCUAAUUACCUUACCUUCAUUUAGUUUGGCUUUGGAGUUGAGUAAUAACUUUCAAGGUUCUCAAACAGAGCAGGACAACCGAAAAAAAAAGCUUAAUUUGCUACUGAUCACGUGUUACCAAUUAUUAAGGUAAUUCUCGUUUACUUGCUUCUACACUAUAGAGUACGUGUUCUGGCUGGUUUAUCUAAUUCAUCAAAUGUUAUUUCCUUAUUGUUCCAUUGAUAUAUUUGUUAGAAAGUGAAACCAUUUCCAGGCAGCAGUUGGCAGUGAAUUCAUGCAAAUGUUGAUGCCAUUCAUAGAUAUUGAAGACAAUGAUGAGCCAAAGGUGAUAAAUCAUUAAUGCAUAGUUACCAAAACCUCCAUCCUUCUCUCAUUGUAAUUUGAUUUGAAAUGAAUAAUUUCUAGGUAAUUGAAGCCAAUAUUGUUAGAAACGGUGUUGAGCUACCCAAGCUAAGAAGUUGGCUGCCAAAAAAUGCAGGGGAUCAAAAGAAGCAUUGCAUUUGAAAAGGAAUGAGAUUCUGGUUGCUACAUGUCAAUUCGUAGAAGUUUCAAUAAAUUUAAUGGUUCAAGAUUUUAGUUUCUGUUUAAAUUUGUGCUACUGCAGUGCUGCAGUGCUGCUACUGGGAAAUUUAAAUCCCAUAUUAGACUUUCCUCACAUAAGAAGCUGUGGAUCUUCGGACAUCAGGUUUUUUCACAGUUCUGAAACUCUCAGGAUUAAACUCUAUUAAAGUUGUUGUAGUUGUCUACGUUCUCAGGUCAAGGAUUCUAAGCUGCCGAUUAAGGCAAAAUGUCAGAAUUCCCCUAUUAUUUUUUUUUUCAUGUAAAAUUAUGUUGUUGUCUUCGCCCAUGAAUCUUAGCUAAAUUCUGAACCAAUUGUUUGCUAUUAUAAAUUUCAUUGUUAAAUAUUAAUUGUGAUGUUGGUGUUGAGUUUCUUUUAAAGUCAGAGAAGCCUGACGAUUGAGUUCCAUGGGAUUCUGAGAAGCAGUAAUAUUUUGAACAAGUGAAGGUUCUUCGUUUUUACAGUAUGUGCAGAUGUCUAAGAGGCAGGAUUUUUAUUUCUGUAAUGCUAAAUUUCGCAAAACAAUAAAAAUAAAUAAAUGCAUGACAGUGACUUCAAGAAUUUAGAUUAUUGAAUUUGGUCAUUUUAAAAUUGUUGGAAUGUUGAACUUAAGUAAUUUUUAUAAACCAGAGCUCAGAAAUGUAGAAUAUAAAUAUUGGAGAUUUGGACUUCAAUCAUUAGACUUGAAGCUAAAGAGGUAAGCCAUUAAUUAUAUCAAAGGAUUUGGAAAAUGGAGGGAUUGGAAAAAGGAAACAUUUUCAUAAACUUCAAGAGGAACGUCACAGAAAGGGGUAAAGAGAAGAGUAGCCUAAGAUAUUAAAGACAAUGUUGAGCCAAAGGAAACAUAAAUCCCAACCAUUGCAUGUGAACAUGAUCACAAUAAGGUCAAAAACCAUUUUUUUGAGAAUUUUCAAUUGAAAGUGAAACCUUUUGACAUUUACCUAGUAAAGUUAGUUAAACGAGAGAAAUAAAGGGGAAAAGAAAAGUUGACUCAAGUCAAUACAGAAUAAUUAGUUCAAUCUGGAGUAACUAAAACAGAGCCACUAUAUUUUCAAAAAUAUCUGCAUUCAUCACCUUCUCCUCCAGCUAGUGAGCUACACACGAAUCCUUUCCUUUUAGCAUUUUUGCAGCAUCAAUUUCUCCCCUCGUUUGUCAUCAAUUUCUCCCUUCGUUUCACCAAUACCAUGGCUGAUGCAAUCGUUUCCCCUCUCUUGGAGCAGCUGAUUAUCUUUGCUGCUGAAGAGUUGAAACAACAGGGGAAGCUGGUGAGUGUUGGAUGAGUGGAUCACAGCAUGCGCCAAAUCGCAAAAUAGAUCAAUGCUCUUGGUGCUCCUUAUCUGAAGAAGAAGGUGCAAAUUGGGAGCUGCAUUUCACUGUCAUAACAUUUAUUGUAAUUUCAUUUGGAGAUAUGUAAUAUCUGUUGUCCAGAUACAUAUCAUACACCAGUUGCUAUGUAAUUUCGUUUAGGUUCAUUUUUGUUUCUUAAGAGUUUGUAAAAAGAAUGGAAAGAUUUUAAAAUAUAAAUUUCAUAUCUGUUUAUUACUGUUGUUUGGUCUAAUUUCUUAUGUAGAAUUUUCAGAAUCUGUAGGACAUUAGUUUAUAAUUUUGAGAUUUUGCAGCCAUAAAAAAAAUUUUUUUUUUUUGCCAUUUUAUUUUGCUCCUUUAUCUAUGUGCAUGUUGACUGGCUGCAGUGAGUGAAAAUUUACCUAUAUAUGCUGGCUAUUCUUGGACAAUAUUAGAGAAAAUAAUCAUAUUAUUUCGCGUGAUGUGAACUUCCAUAACUUAUCAAUUGAAUUGCUGUAAAAUAUUAAAUAGUUUUAUUUUUCUUUUAUCGUGUAACUUGGACCAAAAAAGGAAAUGAGUUUAACACGACCCUCAAUAUAACCUCCAUUUCAGCACAAUACAUGUUAAUUGUUCCCCAAGGACUUCUCCUGUUUCCCAUUCCCACCUCCAUGCUCUCGAGAGGAAUUUAGCACCCAUCAAUUUUUAUUUUUGAAAACUCGUAAUGGUCUGAUAAAAUUAAACAACAUCAAUAAUGUUACCAGUCUUUAAAUAGUAAUUAAUUUAUUUAAUUUGCCACCUAAAAGAAUCCUGCUGGAAAUAGAGGUUAAAAAUUUUAUUAGAUCUGCUUACCUUUGUUCAUUCAGCAAAAACACUUACAAUUCACAGCUAGAGAAUCUAUCCAUUGACAAUUGUGGAUUAAAAUUAUAACACCUGAAUUCAAACAUAUCCUUAUGAAGUUAUGAAUUUGUUCAUACUUCAAAUGAUUUUUUUUUCCAAGCUAAUAAAGCAACCACUUUGAUCAAACGACGACGUUGAAGGAAUUACGUAUUUUCAAUGUCCUUUUCCAGACAGAUGUUGGAGAGAGGGAAAGGAGAAGACUGGCCUAAUUAAGAUAUCUCACAAAGAUUAUUGAGUUAAAAUGUUAUUGUAAAAGAUGUUUAAUACAAUAAUAGUAAUUCUUUUGCAUUGUUAUAAUGAGGCUGGUGGGUUUCCUCAGAGGAUGGAUAUGGCUCGCUAGCAUGCAUUUGGGAAGAUGCUAAUUAUCGGCCAUAAAAAGUCAGGGGGUUGUGGCUCUUCCGUCGCCCAGAAAUUCCUAAACUCAUAUAUCAAACUUCAGAUGAACUUGGGCAUUAUGUAAAUAUGUAUUUUUGAGAAUUAAACUAGUGCGUUCGAAAAAUUUUGAGCCAUUGUAAUCAUUUUAUUUUGCUAAGAGAAAAUUUUACUUUGUUUCGCUUUGCCUUUUGUUUUUUCUGUGAUAAUAUGAUUCAUACGAAUGUGAUUACACACUAUCAUGCAUCUAUUUUCAUUUGCUUGUCAUGAAUGGUCAACAUGCUCGAAAUAUUUACUUAGGUUGGAAAUAUUUGAAUCCACUAAAAUACUAUACAAACCCAUUUUAAAAUUAAAAAAAUGAUUAUCAUAAUACUCGUGAAGAUAACACGAUAUCAUACAUAAAAUAAAAUAUUUCGCAAAAAAGAUAAGAUACAAAUCUUGAGUAAAUAGGUACAAAAAAUAUUUUAGUGGGUUAAGUAGCACUAAUGCCCCCUUAUCAAAAAAUAAAUAAAAAUAACUAGUCUGAUUGGGUAUACCGUUUAUAUAUAUGUACAUAUUCUUGAUAAUGUGUAAUGUACAUUAUAGACAAAGAUUUUGAAAGCAAUAUUUUUUAAAAAGUCGAGAGAAUAGGAAAAGUCUAAAUCAAUUUUCUAAUCUCUACCUCCUUUAUGAUUUAAACUUUAGUGUUUAGUGUCGCGAGCCACUCAAAUUUUCUAAUCAAAGAGACUAAAUUGCACGAAAUUGUGCUAGCUUAUUUGAUUCUAGAAAUUUCUACUACACUGUAACACACUCUCACGUAGGGAUGGCAAUGGGGAGGGGAGGGGAGGGGACCAAUCUCCCCAUAUCCAUCCCCGAUAUUUUACAUAUGUCCCCGUCCCCGUCAGAAUUGCUUGAGAGAAUCCCCAUCCCCUCCUCGAAUAAUAACAGGGGAUCCCCGAGGGUCCCCGGUCCCCGAAUAACUAAUAAUCUAAUACAUUUUUUUAUUUUCGAUUUUAAAUUAAUCAUAUUAAAAUAAACUCAUACCGCUAUUGUAAGCUCGUAACCAAUUUUGACAGCACAUUAAGGCCUCCAAUGUGCUUGGAUGAAGUCUGUUAUGGUAUGGGCUCACAACUCUACCACUAGUGUUAAAAGCUGAUUCAGAAGCAACUGUUGUAAUUGGAAUUGCCAAAAUAUCUCUAGCAAUUCGAGCUAAUGUAGGAUACCUAUUAGCAUUUGUCUUCCACCAACUCAAAAUAUUAAAAUCUUCCAUCCGAGGUAUAACUUUCUCAUCCAAAUAUGAAUCUAAUUCAUCUGCAACAACUGCACAAUCUCCAUUGUUUACAUAAUCAUCAAAACCUAUCAUCCAUUUGGUUGCUUUCUUAUAAGAAUCCCCUGUAGAUCUAGUAGAAGAACUACUACCAGUAUAAUCAAAGCAAUAAACAGUUGGUGAAAACUUCAAUUAAUACUCUUCAACUAAUUCCCGGCAAAGGAUGACCACUUUCCCAACAUACAACUAUUUUGAUAUUUAUUAUUUUUAACAAUAUUUAUAAUUUUGUUAUUUAUUUAUUAGUAAUUUUAAAAAUAAAAAUAAAAUUAAAAAUUAAAAUGGGGAAAUGGGUAGGGGAUGGGGAUUCCACCUCAUCCCCGUCCCCUCCCCGAAUAAAAAAUUGGGUAAAAAAUUUUCCCCGUCCCCUCCCCGAAAAAAAAAUUGGGUAUAAAAUUAUCCCCGUACCCUCCCCGAAUGGGGAAAAUCCCCGAGGGUAUCCGUCCCCGUGGGGAUUUUUGCCAUCCCUACUCUCACGCUUGUACAUACCUCGAAAUUCUCUAGAAUUUACUAGAGUAGUGUUGCAUGUAGCUUGUACAUAGGUUUUUCUGGAACACUCCAGGCAUUACUAAGCAUGAGAGCCUUGAGAACUCUCUAGCCAUAAAACAUUCUAGGGUAAGCCUACCCUAAAAAUAGGGCAUGAUGCUUGCCACUUGAGCAUACAACAAGUAAGAACAAAUCAAGCAUACUUGUGAGCUCUCAAACUCUCUUAUACACACUUUUAUGAAUAAUAUAUUCUCUCUUUGGCUAUAUUGCUCUCUCUUCUCUCUAGUUUUUUUCGCAAGCAUCAAACCUUAGUUAGUCGAAAAAUUCAAGGCUUACUUUAUAGCUAUCUCGUAAAAGUUGUUUAAGUACCAUAGAGAUUUGCUGUGCAAAAUACUCAUCACAUGACAUUAGCUAAAUAAAAUUGUUUGAAAGCCACUUACCCAAACUAUUAAACGAAUAUUGACUUUUGUCUUAAUUUUCUAUCUCCUACGAUAAAUUUUAUAGUUAAAAAUUGAAAAAAAUUAAUAACUAUUAGAUAGAGCAUUCUUUAUUGUUAAAAGAAAUCUAUAUAGAUAGAUAGAUGGUAAUAUAAAAACUUACUUAUUGUAGUAUAAUGUUUUUAGUUUUUUGAAACACAGAUUCUCACUUUUUAAAGAUAAAAUUCAAAGAAAACAAGUUAAAUGUUGUAGAAAAUCUUCCAGCCAUACAAGAAAUUGUGAUGGCUAAAUGCAAACCUAACUAAAGUAUUAGUUGUUUUAUUACAAUCUCCAAAAAGAUGAGCAAUUCCAAAAUCUUUUUUUGUGACAAUAAACACUACACGUCAGUAAUUAUCCAGGUCAAAAGCAAGCUACUCUAUUAAAAAAAAAAAAAACUUGCAGUGAAUUCGAAGAUAAACCAAUUUUACUAGCAAGUUGGAUACAAAAGAGUAGGGCUUCGGCCUCAAUUACUCAGUGUACCAACAACUCAAUCUCGGUGAGUUAAAAUCAACUUCCAUCAGUCUUUUAUUUGUUGAUAGAUCGAUUAAGGUACCAAAAAGAAUAAUUAAAGAUGUAUUAGUUCAAGUUAAUAAAUUCAUAUAUCUUGUGGAUUUUAUUAUUUUGGAAACUGAACCAAUUGCUAAUGAAUGCAAACAAAUUCCUGUUACAUUGGGUCGUCCAUUUUUAACUACUGCUAAUACAUUGAUUAAUUGCUGGAAUGGAGUAAUGAAUUUAUCUUUCGGCAACAUGACAUUGGAACUUGAUGUGUUCAACAUAUGUAAACAACCUCACCACCAGGAAGAUGAUGAUAAUGAGAAUUAGGAGAUUGAUUUCAUCGAGCCAAUCAUUGAGGAACACAUUCAGAAUAAGAAUUUUACAAAUUCUGUGGAAAUUUAUUCUUCUUGUUCUUUUGAAUCGAGUAAAGAAUUAAAUUAUGAUACUGCUAACAUAUAACCUACAAUUGAUUCUAUGCAGGUACAUGCUGACAAUGGCCAAUCAAACUUUAAAGAUACAGAACAACCUGAAGAACCAAACGAAGAGCAAGUACCAGAGCUCAAAUUAAAGCCCUUACUGGAAGAAUUGAAGUAUGUCUAUCUUGGAGAACAACAGAUUUAUCCUGUGGUAAUUUUUUUCCCAACUCACGCUUGAUCAAGAAGGUAAGUUGUUGUCUGUACUAAAAAGGCAUAAAACUGCAUUUGGCUGGACUUUAAAAGACAUAAAAAACAAUAAUUCUUUAAUCUGCACACACCGAAUACACUUAGAGGAAAAUACCAAAACAACCCAUCAACAUCGACAUUAUAUGUGUAAACAUUAAAUACCAAAAUCAACCCCAAAAACUAUAAAUAAAAUAUCAUGAUUAAAAUGAAGUUUUUUUUUAGAUAUUCGUUGUAGUAUCUCUUUAGAUCGCAAACAAGAGAUAAAAUAAAUAAAUAUUUGCUAUGUAAAUAAAAAUAAAUAAUUUUUUUUAACUGAAAAAUAUUCUCAAAAACUAAAUAGUUCAAACUUUUUUUAACAUCAUGUGUUUCUAGGGUUGGGCAUUCAGUUCGGUUUUUACCGAACCGAACAACUAAAUUAAAUCGAAAUUACCUGUUCGGUUCAAUUGAAUAGACAAAAACCGAAGAGUUUAUAUUUUCAUGAACUGAAUGAUUUGUGUUUCAGUUGAGUUCGGUUCGAUUCUGGACCUGAACCGAACCGAACCGAUCCGUGAAUCGUAAACUGCCCACCCUUACGUAGUAGUUUCCGUUAACCGACGUUGUAUUGCUCGUAUAAAAUUGUUCAAAUGUUCAAAUCACAGUCUCCCGCUCUCAGCUCAGUCAGAGUUUCCAGGUCCAGAGACUUCCCGCUGACUGAGAACUUUUUCGUAGCAGGUCUACAAAUAAUGGAGUAGAGCUGAUUUUAUGAUUAAUUUAUUUCCUUUUUCAAUUUCUCUUGAUUGCGAUUUAAUCUGGAAAGUUAAACGUGAAUUGUUUAGUGCGGAUUAAAUGUUCGACGAAUUUCCCACAAGAGUAUUAAGUUCAAGAGAAAAAAAGAAAACAAUUGAGCGUGAGCGUGAGCGAGAAUGGUGUUUGGGCAAGUGGUGAUUGGUCCGCCCGGCUCGGGAAAGACCACUUACUGCAAUGGCAUGUCUCAGUUUCUCAGCCUUGUUGGCAGGUAACUUCGUUUCUUGAUUUCAAGCAGCUUUAUCUUCGAUGACCAAAAAUAUUGAUUUGGGCUUUGCCAUUAAAUGAAUGUAAGAGCAGUAGGGAAUAACUGAGUUAUAGGAUUAGCUUUAAGUGAACAUUGAUGGUAAUGUGAAGGUUGUAUGUGUUCAGUGGCAAGCUGUAUGCCAAUUUGGUCUAUAUGGUUGCUUAGGUAGUAACUUAUUAAUUUUUAGGCAGGAAGGUUGCAGUCAUCAAUUUAGUUCCUGCUAAUGAUAGUUUGCCGCAUCCUUUGUCAUUGAACUUUCUUACAAAUGCUGUGGUUUGUUGUAGUAUAAUUAGUUCAAUUGGAAAUUUCCUUGAUGUUAAUAUAGAAAUGAGUGUGCUGUGAAUAUUGAGGACCUCAUUAGACUAAGUGAUGUGAUGAUGGAGUAUUCACUUGGUCCCAAUGGAGGUUAGUCAGCCUAUUGUUGUUUACUCUUUCUUGCUUUAUCACGCAAUGAUAUUCCUUUGCUUUACAACAAAUUUCAUGAAAUUAACUUCAAUCAAGUGGCAAUGUUCAUACGCUGUUGAGAUUUUAUGGACAAUGAUUUGGUAGAAUUUAUAUGCCGUCUUCUUUCUUUUUGCAGUGAUAUGCUUGUAUUCAAUGAGCUUGUACUUAUUCUAUGGUUUCUAAAGUAGGUGUUUUUAUGAUAAACUAGGUCUUGUGUAUUGUAUGGACUAUCUAGAGAAGAAUAUUGACUGGCUGCAGUCGAAAUUGGAACUACUUUUGAAAGGUAAGUAGAGGCCAUUUUCCUUCAUUCUAAUGCCAAUAAUGCUGUCAUGAGACUCAUAAAAAUUGUUAAAACGUUAAUGUUUUUGGUAUUUUGCAGAUCGUUAUCUUCUGUUUGAUUUUCCUGGCCAAGUUGAAUUAUUUUUUCUUCAUUCCAAUGCCAAGACUGUUAUAAUGAGACUCAUAAAUAAGUUAAAUCUCAGGGUAUUGUUACAUCUUACAUCUAUGAAGGGACUCAAAGAGUUGAGAUGAAUUCAUCUUUGUUAUUUUGAUGCCAGAAUUGUGCAAUUCUCAGUUUGUUCCUUUCACAUGCAGUUGACUGCAGUGCAUCUAGUUGAUGUGCAUCUUUGCAGUGACCCCAGGAAGUAUGUUAGUGCUUUGCUUCUCUCAUUGUCUACGAUGCUACAUCUGGAACUUCCCCAUGUCAAUGUCUUGUCUAAUCGAUCUGAUUGAGAAUCAUGGAAAGCUAGGUGUGGUUUUAAGUGUAGCUCUCCUGCUUGUUUGUUUAGUUUGAAAUAUCAGAUAUUGUCACAAGAUCCUAUUUGCUACAUUUCCUCACCAAUCAAUUAUUUUGGGUCUGUUGCAGCUUUUAAUCUCGAGUACUAUACAGAUGUGCAAGAUUUGUCAUAUUUACAGCAUGCUCUCGGUCAGGACCCUCGUUCUGCUAAGUACAGGUUUGAAUUCUAGCUGAAUCAAUGAUGCAAAUUAUGUCCAUUGUUAUUUCUGCUGUUGUUUCUAUCAUUUUCAAUUGUUACUUCCCCUUUCCAUCUACUACCACACUACAAUACCCACACAAAUGUUGUGAAAUUUGUCAAUGGAAAAAAAACAGUUCCUCUUUUAUUUUGAUCAGACUCAAUGAAUAAGUGGUUAAAAUGUGCCUGUCCUAGAAAUAUAGAUGUGUGGUUUCGUAAAAUUUUCUUGAUCUUAAGAAAGAGUUAUCUCGAAAAGAAGAUAACAUGGAGAAUUCAACAACUAUACAGUCAUAUUGAUGUCUGUCAACUUGGGUCAUAUGGUGUCGUUUGGAUGGAGAUGUUAGGUCCCAGAUGGUAAACUUGUUAUCGAAUUCCAGUCUACUUCAUUCAUGCUUUGAUGACAUAUACGGUGCAGCUUCUUAUCUAAGACCUGCAUAUGUUCAAUCAUCAUUCUGUUCUGUAUUUGGCUGCCAUUCUUUUCAAUGAAUUCAAACCACUUCUGAAUACUUGCAAAUUCAUCCAGUGUUGUCAUUGAGAUGCCAAUAUGAAAGGAAGCCAUAAUUGCCCUUGAUAGUAUGCUUAUUGAUUGCCUCUUGCCUCACUCAGCCUCAUGAAUCUGCUUGUAUGGUGUUCUUGUAAUUUCAUUUGGAGAUUAGUAAUAUCUGUUGUUCAAAUGUAUUUUAUAUACCAGCAGUUAAUAAUUCUGCUUGCAGAAAGCUUACAAAGGAGCUGUGUGAUGUAAUUUUUCAACCUUAGAUAUCCAGGUCAUCAGUUUCUCUUGAAUUCUUUCUUGAAUUUCUUUGAAUUAUUUGUGAAUAAGAUCUUAGUUGGCUGCUUCUCUUCAGGAUAAGGAAAGUGUGGCAAAACUCGUGAAGCUGAUAUAUAAAAGCAAUGGGUACAUCUUUGCUGGCAUGGAUGCCAGUGCAGUUGAAUUCAGCAAGAUUGCCGUUCGCGAUGUUGAUUGGGAUUAUUUCGGAUAUCCUUCUUUUCACCUAUUUUCAAUGUUGUUAUUCUCAUAUUCAUAAAAUUUUUUGGUUAUUUAAUUAUGGUUCAUCAUAUGCAUCUGCAUCUUCUAACUUGUUCGUUUGAGAAACUAAUUUUGCCGUUAGGUAGGCUUCGAGCUUGAUGAGUUGAUUCAUGCUUUUUUCAUAAAUGUACCAAAAUCAUGGAAACUUCUUUUUCCCAGAUAUUGUAUCCACACUUUUUCCAUGUAAUUGGGUCAGACAAGUUUUGCUUAACAAAGAUAUCUACAGUAGCCGAAGUGCAGGAGAAGUACAUUAAGGAUGAUGAUGAUGUUAACUAAAAUGAGACGUGAAGAUAUGUGGUGUGCGAACCGUAAGCCUGCCUCUUAAUUUUGUGCAUGUUUACUUGCUUGUGAUUCACGUUUGUUAAUCUAUUUUGCUCUCUUGCAGGAGUUAUAAAGUUUUCAAUCAAUCAAACAUUUAACUUAAGUCCUUACCUCUUGCUGCAAAGACAAUGGGAAGUCUCAUGAGCUCUAAAAAAACUGAAGAAGAGUGGAAAAUAAUUUUAAAUAGUGAUUUAUGGAAGGUAAAAGAGAUCGAGAAAGGUGUUCUAACCCCUUUGUGGUUGAGUUAUAAUGAUUUGCCGUCCAGAGGAAAAAGAUGUUUCUCGUAUUGUGCUGUCUUUCCAAAAGACUACAAUAUAAAAAAAGACAAAUUAAUUACUUUGUGGAUGGCUCAAGGUUAUCUUAGUGCAGAAGCAGCAGAACAAGAUGAGGAGUUGGAGACUAUAGGUGAAGAGUAUUUUGGCAUCUUAGCUUCUCGCUCUUUCUUUCAAGAGUUUCAGAAACGUUAUGAUAAUCGUAUUAUAGCGUGCAAGAUGCAUGAUAUGGUACAUGAUUUUGCCCAAUUUGUUAGUCAAAAUGAAUGUUUUUCGUUGGAAGUUAAUGGUAGUGAGGAACUAACCGUCACAAACUCUACAAACUCUCUUGAUGAGAAGGUCCGUCAUUUAAUGUUAAUCUUUAGUAAAGGGACUUCAUUACCUGUUUCCACUCGUAGAGUUAAAAGAAUGCGUACCCUCUUAAUUAACGAUAGUAGAUCUGAUCAUUCAUUAUUAAAUGGUGAGAUCCUAGAAGAAUUAUUUAGGGAAUUGACAAGUUUAAGGGCAUUAGAUUUUGGCAAAUCGUAUAACUCAAGUUGGUCUUCGACUGUGGAGAUUCCGAGAACCAUAGAAAAGCUGGUACAUUUAAGAUACCUUAAUUUGUUUUAUCAGGGAAUAAAGAAACUACCGGAGACAUUAUGCGAGUUGUAUAAUCUAGAAAAGUUAGAUAUUAGUUUAUGUUUUAAUCUUAAAGAAUUACCUGAAGGGAUUGGGAAGUUAAUAAACAUGAAGCAUUUACGAAAUAGAGGUACUAGUUCUUUAAGGUACAUGCCAGUAGGGAUUGGGAGAUUAACGGGUCUCAGGACCUUGGAUGAGUUCCACGUGAGUGGAGGAAAGCGUGUAGGCUUGAAUCUCUUAAAAAAUUGGAACACCUUCAAGUAUGUGGUAUACGUAGACUGGGUGAUGUAUCAGAUGUGGGCGAGGCUAAGCGAUUAGAACUUGACAAAAAGAAAUACCUCUUCAGUUUGACCCUUGAGUUUGAUAAGAAGGAGGAAGAAGAAGGAGAAAGGAGGAAGAACGAGGACGAUCAAGUUCUUCUUGAAGCCCUACAACCACCUCUCAAUUUAAAGGAAUUAGAGAUAGAGUACUACCGAGGCAACACUGUUUUCCCCAGCUGGAUGACGUCAUUAACCAACUUAAAGAGUUUAGAUCUCUCUUCCUGCGAAAAUUGGGAGCAGCUGCCUCCUUUGGGAAAAUUGCCAUCCCUUGAAGCACUCAGCCUAUGGGACAUGAAGUGUGUGGAAAGAGUGGGUGAUGAAUUUUUGGGGAUAGAAAGUGAUCAUCAUGGCUCAUCUUCAUCGGUUAUUAUUGCCUUCCCCAAAUUGAAAUCACUUUCAAUUGAGGUUCUGCGCGAAUUGGAGGAGUGGGAUUAUGGGAUUACAAGAACGGGAAACACCGUCAUCAACAUCAUGCCACGUCUUUCUUCCUUGACAAUUGCACUUUGCCCCAAAUUAAAGGCACUGCCCGACCACUUUCAUCAAACGACAACAUUGAAGGAAUUGCACAUUUGGGAUUGCAGGCUUCUGGAAGAACGUUAUUGCAAGGGGGAAGGAGAAGACUGGCCUAAGAUAUCACACAUUCCCAACCUCCAUAUUGGGCUUUGACAAGUAAUUUCUUCUCUUACUCUGAUUUGCUUUGUUGUUGUUUUUAAUCUAAUUAAGAAGCGUAAAUAGCAUUUUGAAUCAAACUCUAUAUCAGAAAUCUGCAAUACUUACUUUCUAAUAUUCUGAUUUUCAUAUCCUAUGAAUAUACGAUUUUUAAUUUGUGAGAUGGGUAACGUUACUGUAAAAGAUUAUUAAUGCAAUAUGAGUAAUUCUUUUGCAGGACAAGUGACCUACAUUUAGUUUGGCUUUGGAGUUGAAUAAUAACCUUUCGAGGUCCCGACAACCAAAAAACGAAGCUUAAUUUGCCACAGAUUGCACGUAUUGCCAUUAUUGACAAUUUUCUGCACAAGCUUAGGUUGAUGUCAAAAGAGGUAAAUUAUUGGCAUGCCUGACUAUUUUGACCAUUACACGAUUCAUAAGUUUACAUUAAUUUUGAUUUUGAGUUGAGUGAUUAGUUUUCUAGGUUUGCUUACUUUAACUGGGUGACCAAUUUCUUGUAACUAAAUGUAUGAUGUGAAGCAGAACUCAAACAAAAGUAUGCUACUUCUUGCGGAAAUCUUGCCUUUGUUCAGAUUAUGAAACCAUUUCCAUGCAGCAAAUUCAUCCAAAAGUUUGAAUAAGUUUCACGGUUGGACACUGUUGGUUUCUUUUUCUUCUGGGGUGCAUUUAGGUGCUAUCAAGUGACAGCUGUAAGUAUGAUUGCACUAAGCUGCCGCUGGGAAAUUUGAGGUUUUGAUGGCUGCCCAUGUUAUUUUCAAGAAACUAUUGAUGUAAGAAGCUGUGGUUCUUUUCAUCAGCUUGAACCUGAAACUGUCGCUAUGGAUAACUCAGGUUUUUGUUAUCAACUAUAUCAUCUUUUUCACUAUUUUGAAACUCUUAAGAUUAAACUUUAGUAAAGUUGUUUCAGCUUUUCAAAUGAAAAACUCAUUGAUUUGAGACUUCCUUCAUUAUUGUUUCUAAUUACAAUGCUAACGAUCCAGAUAAGAUAAUAUUUAAUCGGCGAAGGUGUCCCUUGGAAGUACAUCCUUCUUUUUCUUUUAUUAUACAAAUUCUUGCAAUGAGCUUAGUGAAGCUGUUGUGCUAAUCAUGCCACUGCAUAAUUUGGCCCCUAAUGUGGGUACUCUGUUACAUUGUUCUGCAAAUUCUCCAGAAGUUAAAAUCAAUAAAUUUUCUAUUAGCUCUAGUGCUUUGACCUAAAUGCUAUUCUAUAUUCUGAUUACAAUGUUUUACCUUUAAAUUAACUACCCCUAGAUGUUGGAUUUUCUAGAACUUCAAAAUGAUUAAUGGAGAAAGAUCCCAUUAUCGUUAUUGCUAUAAAAAAUUGAUUUAUGCAUCCAAAGAUACAUUAUAUAUUUCUGUGUCUCUAUUUAUAGAUGACAUUUAAGCAUCCAUAAACCGUCAGACAGAGGAAGGGGGUUCAGUGCAAAGAUUCUGUUGACCUAGGGUUGACUGCAUAAUGUCACUUGUUCGCAAUCUAUUAUUCUUUUCAAGGUCUGCUUCCUUAACGGAGCGACCAAUGUUUUUCAACUAAAUUUAUCAUAUGAUGCAGGAAGCAGGGCAGGAUAUGAAAUGUGAAGCUCAUUGGUGGAAGUAUUGCCAGUAACAGAACCCAAAGAAAAUGAAACUAUUUCAAGGCAGCAGUUGGCAGUUGCAAGUGAAUGGAGGCCCUUGACAAAAUUCUCAAGCGGUUGCAAUGCAAUUACGAUCAUCCUCAGCCUCAGGUAAUUUCUUCUCCUGCUUUGUAUUUAUUUGUUAUCUAAUUAGGAACCGUAAAGUAUCUUGAAUCAUUUUCUGUAUCUGGAAUAUAUGCAAGAGUUUCUAAAAUUUUGAUAUGAGUGUAAUGAUGGUAAUUUCUGUUUUCUGUCUGUCAUCAAAUGUUAGAAAACUUUCAUUGAGACCCUUGAACCGAGUCAUUUUUGACAAGUGAAGUGCUGAAGAGUGAAGAGUAAGAAUGGUGCUAGAUUGGGGAAUAAAGCAAAAGGAGGUAAAUUAUUGGCAGCUUCUUCAACCUUAUUUUCUUUGGACCAGUGCCUAAUUCACAAGUCUCCAUAAUUCGGCUUUUGACCAGUUGAUAGAUAAAAUUUUAAUUUCAUUGGUGCUAAUGUACCCGUGAGGCAGGCAGAGAAGGACUGUGGAAAAGAGAAGGUUUUUAGUGAAAGCUUAAACUCAGGUAAUUCUAAAAAUUAUAUGUUUUGGCUGAUUUAUCUAAAUCAGGAAAUUUUAUUUCCAUCUGUUACAAUAAAACAGAAACAGAACACAAAGAAAAAUAUUCUACUUCUUGUGGCAAUCUUGCCUUCAUUCAGACUAUGAAACCAUUUCCUUUCACCAAUUUCUUCCAAAAGUUUGAACACAUUUCAUGGUUGGACAUAGUUAGCUUCUUUUUCUUUUGGUGCAUUUAGGUGCUAUCAAGUGACAGCCGUAAGUAUGAUUGCAUUAUUGGGAAAUUUUAGGUUUUGAUGGCUCCCCAUGUUAUUGCCAAGAAAUUUUAAGUCCUCGUGUCAGAAGCUGCGUUUCUUUUCAUCAGCCUGAACCCGAACCUGUCACUAUGGAUAACUGAGGUUUUUGUCAUCAACUAUAUCAUCUUUUUCACUGUUUUGAAACUCUUAAGAUUAAACUUCAGUAAAGUUGUUUCAGUUAUCCAUGUAAUCAGGCUAAGGAUAUUUAGCAGCUUAUUUAGGCAACUGCCAGAAUUCAGUUUGUUCGCUCGAAACUUGUAUGGUGACAAGGAUACUGGCAAGGAUAGUGAGAUAGUUUUUUGUGUGAGUGAAUUUUGAAAGCUUGGGUGUUCUGGGAUUUGCAAUUGCAAUCAUCCUCUGCUUUAGGUGAUUUCUUCUCCUGUUCUGUCUUUAUUUUCUCUCUAAUUGAAAGCAUUUCAAUCAAAUUCUGUACCAGGAAUACGAAAAAUUUACCAAUAUUUUAUUUCCAUCUGUUUGCAUUGAUAACUUGGCCGCAUAUGUACUAGUUAAAGAACAAACAGAAGCAGAGUUCAGGAAAAAGUUUCUUCGGCCACCAUAUUUGAAAAUGAAACCAUUUCCAGGAAGCAGUUGGCAGCAAAUUCAUACAAAGUAUAGACAAUGAUGAACAAAAAGGUGAUUCGCAAUUUCAUUUUUUUAAAAUGAAAUUAUUUGUUAAGUUGGAGCUGAUAUUGUUAGAAGGCCAUUGAGCUAACCUCUGACACUGCUUGCCUAGAUUGCAGGAGGUCAAGACUCAAAAGAUGCACUGAAUUUUAAAAGGCAUGCAAUAAUUCUUAUGGCCAUUUGUCAAUGGUGGAAUGCUUUUAGCUUCUUUUCCUUUUGUGCAUUUUGGGGUUCUAUCAAGCGACAGCCGUAUGUAUGGAUGGAUAUAGCUGCUGCGUUGAUUUCUAAUGCAUUGUAUGAUGUUAUAGCAACUAUCCAUCUGGUCAAUGUUUCAAAAGAAUAAGACAGGGAAAAAGAGAAAGCAAGUGGCCAAUCAAGUUGCAUCAACCAAAUUGUUGUUAAACAAGUAAAACAAAGAAAGAGAGUUAAGGAAGCUGACCUUGUAGUAGGGGAGCUGAAGAAAGGCUGCCAGUGAAUGUAAGAGAAAAUAAAAUGCAAGAAAUGGUGAAGUGCAGCUUUUCAUGUCAACUUGAAAUUGAUUUUUCUGUUUGUUUUUUUUUUUUUGUAAUCUUUUGGAUUUUUCAAACAAAGAAAAUGAGGAGCAACCAGGGAGAUAAAAAGGGCGCCAAGGCAACUGUGUGUUGGGUUUAGAGCCAAAAAUAAAUAAAUAAAUAAAUAAGACAUCGUGUUCUUGUGGAGACCAGACCUAUUACGUAACGUCCCCUUCAAUACCACUUGUUCCGUAUCUGGUUUUCUCUUCGUCGUUUACAUAUUUAUCCUGUGAUUUUACAAUAACUAAAUAAUCCCCGCAUAGUUUGCAAUUUUAUUCAUUUGGGCCCUACAGAUUUCAGUAAUAGGAAUUAUUAAGGGACAAGAGCGCAAAACAGAAACUCUGUCCACUACUGAUGAUAUAAUAACGAACCUUUGUUUUUUUUUUUUAAAAAAAAAAAGAGUAACAAAAUAUCAUUAGACAAAUGAAAAUAUUAUCUAACAUCACCUAUUCACCUUACUGAUGAUAUGAAAAUAUGUAUGUAUGUAUGUAUGUAUGUACAUAUAUACAUACACCUAUGUAACAUUUACUUAUACAUUCUUUUGAGUUUAAAUCUUAAUACAACUACAUACAACCACAUCAAUGUAUAUAUUUUUUACAUAAGACAUGCCGUCCUAUUAUUCAUAAGUAAACAAUGUGCCGUAAAUAGUAUUCUGUGUUUUCUCAAAGUUGACUUUUCGUCUUUUAUUUUCAGACGCAGACGCUAUGUCAUUUUGUAAUCGUCCGAACAUAUACAGAGCAGAAUUGGUGUUAUCUGAUUUUGUGAUGCAAUAAGAUUUGCACUUCCUGUGCAUUCAAUGGAAUCAUGCCACGCUAGUAGACAAUAUGCUAGUUUGAACAAACUUGUUUGAAUGGCAAAAACGACAUGACCUGCUGUAGUAUUAAUUCUUUCCCGAACCAACGGGUGAUUUGCUACGUUGGAUCAUGAAAAUUAACCAAAAUAAAAAUUCUUAAGGAAUUAGUUAGUUAAUUGAUUGAUCGAAUUUAAUCUAAAUUUGAAAAUGAUAAGAUAAAUUUAAAUUUAUUAUUAUUAUUAUUAUUAUUAUUUUAAAGUGGGUGGGUUUAUACAAUUUGAGCGGUGGAAAUAUCACUGCUGAAUUAUUAAAUAUACAGUGUAAAAUUUUGACCUUUAAAAUAUUCCCUUUUUUUUUUUAUUUAGCACUAUAAGUUUAAAAAUUUAACAUUUUACCUCAAUAAUUAAAUACUUUUAACUUUAAUCUUCAAAUAUUUACCCUACAACAUUUGGACCUAAAUUUUUAAUCCGACUCGGCCCCUGACCCAAGUGGGAAGAAGAUCAGGCUUAUAAGUUAUAACUAUCACCAACAUAACAUCUUCUGGAAAAUAAUAAGAUUACUCACCUGCAAUUAUGUGAUCAAACUAAUGGUAAGCAAAAUAGAACAGCGUUAUUUCAGUCCCCUUUCAGUUUCUUUAUCAUUUUUCUUUUCCUAUUUAUAAGCUUAAUUCGGUUCAAAAUCGGCUAAUUCACUUUGAUUUCACUUUUCUUUCUUUCGGUUCAAAAAAAUUGAACCCAUUGGCUGUCAAUUCAAUUUUGUUGAAAACCAACUUUGCCUGAAUUUAAGUAAUAAUAGAGGAAAAAAAAAGAGUACUUAGCAGAAGAGAUUUCUCAUUUUUUUCUCAUUCAAACUUCUAAAAUAAAAGAAAAAAAAACAAGAGUAAUUGUUAAUUAUCAAAAUUUUGUUUAUACUAUUCCACCAAGAAAAUUAUACAAAAAAAAAAAUUUUAAAAAUUGGAGAAGAAAUAUGAGGUGAAAUACGUGGAUGGCUUAGACUAAUAAUGUGAACAAAUUCCUCUUGGAAGCAUGUCAUUGUUCAUCCGGACAACACGCGGCGAUGAGAUUCGAGAAUAAAAGGAUAGGAAUCAACUGUAACCUCAUAAACAAAUGGCCUUGGAGUUGUAACCAAAGCUUUUAAUUAUUGAUCAUUAAGAUCGAUAUAAAGUAUCACGAAAUGAUGUGUACGACGACAAUAUCAAUAGCGUAGUGUGAAGACCUGGCUGUAAACACAAGGCUCGGCAGAUUAAUUAAACAAGAGUAUCCGAAUUUUCUAUGAUAAUCUCUAGGAAACGAUCAGCUAUAAUGUACGAAAUUAAAAUAUUGCAUAUAUUUUUGAAUUUUUGAACUCAUGCAUUAAUUUAAAAAAUUAUAUCGUAUUAUAAUUUAUUCACAAAAGAAAGAAAAAUUCACUAAUCAAGUGAAAUCGUAUUCUUAUUGAAAUGAAUUCCAGUAAUUGGAUAAAUAUAAGUAUUUCUUCCGUUGUAAUUUUUGUUUAACAGAAAAUCUAUUUGAGAUUUUGUGAGAAGAAACUCAACAAUAAAGUUUGAUAGACUUUGUGGAUAUUAAGAGUUUGACAAGUAAUUGAAAUCUGAAGUUUACUGAAAUUUACGAGCAAACAAACUGAAAUCCGAAGUUUACUGAAGUUUACUAUCAAGAGUUUCAAAACAGUGAAAAAGAUGAUAUAGUUGAUGACAAAAACCUGAGUUAUCCAUAGCGACAAGUAACAUACUGAAGUAAGCCGUUGGGAGCUGGCCUGUUCAUGGGCUAUUUUUCUCUGAUGAUCUGCAUUUUUCUUCCUUUUAAAGUGAACCUUGACUCGUAUCAAACCUGUCAAAAGAACAGUUCAUCAACUGAGCUGAGAUUUGCUUUCCUUUUUCAAAACCCACCUGAGAUAUUGUAAUUCCCAAAUUUCUCUCUCUCAGCUACACGAGCAAGCAGCCGCUUUUUCACUUCAUCGAAGAAGGUAAGCGAUUUAUCUAUUUCGUCCGAUUGAUUUCUUGUUUCGUUUUCAGUGUUCGGGUAAAUUAUUGGCAUGCCUGACUUUUUGACCAUUACAUGAUUCAUAAAUUUCUAUUAAUUUUGAUUUUGAGUUGACUGGUUACUUUUAUAGGUUUGUUUACUUUGACUAGGUGACCAAUUUCUUGUAACUAAAUUUAUGACGUGAUGCAGGAAGCUCGGCAGGAUAUGAAAUGAGAAUCUUAUUAGUGGAAGGAUUGCCAGUAACAGAACCCAAAGAAAAUGAAACCAUUUCAAGGCAGCAGUUGGCAGUUGGGAGUGGAUGGAGGCCCCUGACAAAACUUCAGUAAACUUCAGAUUUCAGUUUGUUUGCUCGAAACUUGCAUGGUGACAAGGAUACUGGCAAGGAUAAUGAGAUAGUUUUUGUGUGAAUGAAAUUACGAUCAUCCUCAGCCUUAGUUGUUAUUUGUUACCUAAUUAAGAAGCAUAAAGUAUCCUGAAUCAUUUUCGUUGUCUGGAACAUAUGAGUGUAAUGAUUGUAAUUUCUGUUUUCUGUCUGUCAUCGAAUGUAAGACAACUUUAUUAAGAUUCUUGAACCGAGUCAUUUUUGACAAUUGAAGGACAAGUGCUGAAGAGUGGGAAUGCAAAAAGUUUUGUUGUUUCUAGCCUUGUUUUCUUUGAACCAGCGCCUGAUGAUAUAACAGAAACAAGGCUAGAAACAACAAAAACUCUGUCCACUACUGAUGAUAUAACAACGAACCUUUGUUUUUUUCUUUUUUCUUUUUUUUUUUAAAAAAAGUAACAAAAUAUCAUUAGAGAAAUGAAAAUAUUAUCUAACAUCACCCUACUGAUGAUAUGAAAAUAUGUAUGUAUGUAUGUAUGUAUAUACGUAUGUAUGUACAUAUAUACAUACACCUAUGUAACAUUUAAUUAUACAUUCUUUUGAGUUUAAAUCUUAAUACACAUUUUCAUGAAAUUUUUAUUUUAUUAAGUAUACAACUACAUACAACUACAUUAAUGUAUAUAUUUUUUACAUAAGACAUGCCGUCCUAUUAUUCAUAAGUCAACAAUGUGUUGUAAAUAGUGUUCGUGUCUCAAAGUUGACUUUUCGUCUUUUAUUUUCAGACGCAGACGAUAUGUCAUUUUAUACACAGCAGAAUUGGUGUUAUCUGAUUUUGUGAUGCAAUAAGAUUUGCACUUCCUGUGCACUCAAUGGAAUCAUUUCUUUGUAACUAAUUGGGUGCUGGAAUGGUGGUCAAAUCUCGAACGAAGACAGAUCUAUCAAACUCCAGAAUUGGUGUUAUCUGAUUAAUUGAUUGAUCGAAUUUUAUCUAAAUUUGAAAAUGAUAAGAUAAUUUUGAAUUUAUUAUUAUAAUUAUUAUUUUAAAGUGGGGUGGGUUUAUACAAUUUGAGCGGUGGAAAUAUCACUACUGAAUUAUUAAAUAUACAGUGUAAAAUUUUGACCUUUAAAAUAUUCCCUUUUUUUUUUAUUUAGCAUCUAUAAAUUUAAAAAUUUAACAUUGUACCUCAAUAAUUAAAUACAUUUAACUUUAAUCUUCAAAUAGUUACCCUACAACAUUUGGACCUAAAUUUUUAAUCCGAUUCGGCCCCUGAUCCAAGUGGGAAGAAGAUCAGGCUUAUAACUAUCACCAACGUAACAUCUUCUGGAAAAUAAUAAGAUUAUUCACCUGCAAUUAUGUGAUCAAACUAACGGUAACCAAAAUAGAACAGCGUUAUUUGAGUCCCCUUUCAGUUUCUUUAUCAUUUUUCUUUUCCUAUUUAUAAGCUUAAUUCGGUUCAAAAUUGGCUAAUUCACUUUAAUAAGUUUAUUGGUUUGAACGCUGUUAGCUUCUUUUCCUUUCGUGCAUUUUGGUAUGCAACAGUUCUUGCCUAUGACACUGCUUGCCUAGAUUGCAGAAGGUCAAGGCUCAAAAGAAGCACUGAAUUUUAAAAGGCAUGCAACAGUUCUUGUGCCAUAUGUCAAUUCAUGCAAGUUUGAAUAAGUUUUUUGGUAUGCUAUCAAGUGACAGCCGUAUGUAUGGUUUGCAUAUAGCUGCUGCUGGGAAAUGUGAGGAUUUCAUGGCUGGCCGUGUUAUUGUCUUAAAUUAGAUGUGAUAAGCUGUUGCUUGGUGAUUCUGUUGCCAAGAAUUUGCUCACAUCAGAAGCUGUGGAACCUGAACCCUUCUCUAGAUAUCAUCUUUUUCAUUGUUUUAAAACUCUCAGGAUUAAACUUGAGUAAUUUUGUUCGGUUGUCUAUAUAAUCAUGUAUUGAGUAAACUCUCAGGAUACUGAGCAGGCAAAUGCCAUAACUCGGUUUGUUCUUCAAAAACUUGUUUAAGAUUCUUGACAAAGCUGCAUGAAGUGAAUCUUGGGAGCUUUGAGGGUGAGAGAAAUUAGAGGGUGUAUAGGGAUUUGGGCUUAUUAGGAAGUUAUAUAUGUAUUUCGUCACUUAUCAUUAUCAUUUUUUUUUUCACAGAAAACCUUCUGAUGGUGCUAAAUUUUCAAACACCGGUCCGAUUCAAAACUUCAUAUUCCAAUUAUAUUCAUAAGACAAAUGGAACACUUUGAACGGCUUGUGUCCGAGCAUUGUAGUUUGAUUUAUUUUGAUGACAGUACCUUUUGACAUUGAGAUUCUUUCAUGAUUUAAACAUUCUUUUAAAAACUAAAUUAUUAAAAAAAAAGUAACUAACAUAUAUUAUUUUAUUAGUGCUUUUUAAAUCAAAUAUACAUAGGAGAACUGUAAUUCUUAGCAAUCAAUUUUCCACUAAAUACACCUGCAACAAACUAUUAAUAGCAAAGUGAUAGAAAAUACCUGAUUUUUCAUACUUUCUAAUUUCUUUUGGUCCUAAAAUAUGGGCAUUUGUGUAAUAAUUAGCCCAUGUGGAUCUCUAUGCCAUGAGUUUGAUAAGUAGCUAUCAAGGAUCACUUAUUAAGCUAAAAAUAUUUGGAGGACAAAAUUGUAAAACUAAAAGGGUGGAGCAAAUAUGGCUAUCUAGGAUUAAAUAGUAAGUCAACUAUAUUUAAAGGAUAAAAUAUUAAAACUUGAAAUGUGAUAUUAAAAAUAUCUCAACUAUUAUGUUAUUAAACCAUAUGUUGUAAUAGUUUAUUUUUUAAGCUUCAAAAUGUUCAGGAUUUUAGAUUGAAACAUUUUCAUUUGAAAUUAUUUGGUGCAGUCACAAGUUAAGAAAGAAAAAGUUGUCCCAUUGGUCAUUUCACAAAAAUGAAAGCCCUGUAUAACAUGGGCUUGAAUGGAAGCCCAAUUGUUUGUGUUUGAUUAAUUGAUUUCAAGCUUUAUCGAACCUUUGUACCUGGAUACUUUACUGCGGCCUCUAAGCGCUAUAAAUUUUUUUGGGGAUAAACGGCGCUUCAAUGAGGUCAUCUCCGAUGCUUAACACCAUUUUGGUGUAAUACCAACAUUAAAAAUAUACAUUUUUCACACUAAAUUACUAUUUCAUCUCCAACCCAUUUACACCAAAAAAAAUAUUUUUCUUUUUAUUCUUUUAAUUCUCAAGAAUUAAUUCAAUUAACACAAUAAAUACUACUAUUAACAUAGAUAAUUAAGUAAUAAGUAAUUUUAUCGAUUAACAAAAAAAUAUAGAAAAUUAUUAAAUUUGCAUUUAAUUAACUAAAUUAGUACAUUAUGAAAAUUAAACAUUACAUUAAUAUAGAAAAAUACAAUAACAAUAAUAAUAAUUUUAUAUCUAAUAUUUUGAUGAUAUUGGAGGAUCUAAUAAUGAUCUUCCAGAUUAUUAAAUAAUUGUUCUAAUUUAUACUAGUAGUAGUAGCUUUUUUAAUUUGUGUUAAUUUAAUUUUGUAAUAUGUAAUAUAGUAAUUAAUGUUACUAGCAUUUUAUUAUUAUUAUUAAUUUUUGUGUUGAAUAUUUUUUAUUUAAAAUAUUAGUAUAAUAUUCAAAAAUUAAAAAAUGAAAUAAAAAUAAUAACAAAAAUAAUAAUAAUAAUAACUUAAAAUAUUAUAUAAAAUAGGACAUAUAUGUAAAUAAGAAAAAGUAAUAAAGAUAUUUAAGAGCUUUUUUUCCUAGCACCAAAUGAAUAGUGUUACACCAUAUUUGGUGCAAUACUAUUCACAACACCAUUUUGUUGUUGGUUUUGGUGUUACAUUGGAGAAGCAUUUUACACCAAAAAUAGUGUAAAAGGUGGUUUGGUGUUAGUUUUGGUGUCACAUUGGAGAUGGCCUGGAAAAGCACUUGAAAACUUUGGAUUUUUGGUUCGUCCAGUUACGGUGUUAUGCUAACGGGGUUAAAGGUUCCGAUCCAAUGAGUUAGGAUCCGAAGGUUACUGAAGUUUACUAUCAAGAGUUUCAAAACAGUGAAAAAGAUGAUAUAGUUGAUGACAAAAACCUGAGUUAUCCAUAGCGACAAGUAACAUACUGUUUAUUACAGAGAAACAAACGACAACAUGAUACUAGUAGUAGUUAUUCUUUUCAUCCGAUAUAUUACAUGGUAAUAUCACUACUCGUUCCACUAGUUUCAUGUACACUGUCGACCAGCAACAUGAUAAUUUCGUGCCAGUUCAUUUUGGUUUGUUGGAAAAAGCAGUGUAUUUCUUAGAACUUGAAAAUAAUAAAAAUAUUUUAAAAUAUAAAUUGCAUAUUUGUUUAUUACCAUUCUUUGGUCUAUUUCUUCUGUAGACUUUUCAGAAUCUGUAGGACGUUAGUUUAUAACUUUGGGAUUUUGUAGCCCUAAUUUUUUUUUUUGGCAUUUUAUUUUGCUGCUUUAUCUAUGUGCAUGUUAACUAAAUUAAGCUAAUCUAGAAUUAAUAGAGAGGGAUAUUUAUCUAUUUUGUUUAACCUUUACCACUCUAGGCAUUGUACUACAUGUGAGCUUGUGAUGCUUGCAUUUUAUUGAUGUUGAUGAUUCGUUGAAUGUUUUAUUUUUUGAUUUUUUAAGUUUUCCAGAGUCAUGUUUGUGUCUACGAAGAAAUUGUAAAGGCUGUGCACGAAGCACUUGUCAUUCUUUAGACUUUAUUGAUUAUAUUUUUGUCAGAUUUGCGUGUAUAUUCACAUAUGUUUUAUUUUUUCAUUUUGUAGGACAUUUUUACAUGCCAUAUUAUCACGACUCUUCUGUGUCUGAAUAAGAAGAAAGCAUAAUGCGACCCUCCAACAGCUUAAUCUAUGGAAUUAUCGUGUUUUGUAAGUUCUGGUCCAAUGGCGUUUUGGCACAUCAUAUGAUAGACCACUAUAUUGCGUUGCUUUACAAAAGAUUAAUAUUUUUAAAAUUAUUAACUCAUGAUAUGAUAGUCCAGGUUUUCGAGGACCACUAUAUUGUAUGGAUUUAAAAAAAAUUAAUAUUUUUUAAUAUUAAUAUUCUAAAUUAUAUUCAGUUAAAAUAUUAAAUAUUAAAUACAUUCUUAACAUUAAUAUUCUUAGAUGAAAUUCUUUUGCUGACUUAAGAAUAAAGUAUUAAAUAAUUUUAUUUUUCUUUUAUUUUGUAACGUGGACCCAAAAAAAAAAGGAAAUGAAUUUAAUAAAACCUUCAUUCCGCCAACAUGCAUGUUAAUUGUUUCCAAAUUCCAACCUCCGUACUCUCUUGAGGAGUUUCCCAUUCAUCAAUUAUUAUUUUUUAUAAUCCAUACCAUCCUGAUAUAAUUAAACACCAUUAAUAAUGUACCAGCCUUUAAAUAGUAAUUAAUUUAUUUAUCUAAUUCACCAAAUGUUUUUUUCCGGUACAUAUCUCCAUUGGUAUCAAGAAGAAGCAGAACCCAAAGAAAUGUUUCUUGCAUCUUCAUAUUUGUGCGAAUUCAUCCUUUCAUUGAGAAUAACCAUUUCCAGGCAGCAGUUGGCAAUCAAUUCAUGCGCAUGUCGAUGCUACUCAUAGAUAUUAAAGACAAUGAUGAACCAAAGGUAAUAAAUCAUAAAUGCAUAAUUACCAAACCUCCAUCCUUCUCUCAUUAUGACUUGAUUUUAAAUGAAUUAUUGCUUGGUAACAUUAUUUCCAACCAUUGCAAGAUUUUUUUUUGGAGAAAUUUCAAUUGAAAGUAAAACCUUUAGACAUUUACCUAAUGAAGUUAGUUAAUCGGGAGGGUGGAAAAAAAAAAGUUGACGCAAGUCAAUACACAAUAAUUAAUUAAAUCCGGAGUCACUAAAACAGAGCCACGACUUUUUCAAAAAUAUCUGCAUUCAUCACUUUCUCCAGCAACUAGUCAGCUACACACGAAUCAAUUUCUCUCCUCGUUUGUCAUCCAAAAUUAUUCACCAAUACCAUGGCUGAUGCAAUCGUUUCCCCGCUCUUGGAGCAGCUGAUUUCCUUCGCUGCUGAAGAGAUAAAACAACAGGUGAUCGAAGUUACACCCCUCAUAUUACAAAUACUUCCAAUGAUUUUAAUUGGUUUUGUUUUUAUCAAAAACAUUAUAUAUUUUUGCUUUUUUUUAUUUAUCUGAUAAUUUUAUAUUUUGAAAUUUGAAUUGAAUUUAAUUAAAAGGUGAUGUAGUAACCACUUAUUUUUAUUUUAUUUCAUUUAUAUUCUCAAUAACUACUCAUAUUUUGGUAACUUACUAUAACUUCCAUAUCUAAGAAAUGAUCCAAACCCACAAUUUUAACUAUGUAUAAAUAUUCAACGUUGAGCUAAGGUUUUGCAGAACAUUCAAGUUUAUCAAAUAGUCAUUAAUUUAAUGUUUUAGUAAAACCUCAACUCAUCACUGAAUCCCAUAGCUAUUACUUAGACACUAUGAAAAAUUUCAUAGUUUUCUUACAUUCUUUCAGUUUGGUAAGUGAUUUCAUAUAAUUUCUUUUCAAGUUAAAUUUUAAUUUGGUUUCUGAUAUAGUCUCUUUGCCGAAUUGUAUCUUUUAUGAUUCUUGGAUUUUGGGCUCCAACUUUUUAGGAUUUGAUAGUCACAUUUUAUGCCAUGCUCAGAUUGAUUUUCAUGAUUUUUAGUACCCGUUAAGUGACGUACAAUUUGACAAAAGUUUGAAAGGAAAUAUGUUUCAGAAUUCUGUUUUAAUUGACCUUUUAGUGGAAUUAGGAUGCUUAUAACUUAAUGUGGAUGGUUCGUAAAAUCAUGAAAUUUGGAUAGGAUUCACUAGCAAUAUGUACAAGACUCCCCAUAAAGUUUCAUAAUUUUUCAUUCGGUCUGGGGUGGUACAGGUGAAACUUGUGGUUGGUGUUGAAAAAGAAGUGAAAAGCCUUACCAGCCAUCUUCAAGCCAUUCAAGUUGUGCUCGAUGAUGCAGAGGAAAAGCAAGUGAAGGAAAAAGCUGUUAGUCUUUGGCUGGGUAGGCUCAAGUAUGCAUCCUACGACAUUGAAGAUGUGUUGGAUGAGUGGAUAACAACAAGACGCAAAUUGCAAAUUGAGGGUGGCGUUGAUGAAAAUGCUCUUGUUGUUCCUCAUAAGAAAAAGAAGGUAUGUCUCUGCUUUCCCGGCUCUUGUUUUGGAUUCAAACAAGAAGAAUUUGGUUUCAAACAGGUCUUUCUCCGUCAUGACAUUGCCGACAAGAUCAAAGAAAUCAAUGAAGAGCUACAUGAUAUUGCCGCUCAAAAAGACAUGUUUGAUCUUGUUAAGAGUGGCAAUAAAAGUAGUGAAAGACCAAGGCGUGUACAGAGUACCUCCUUGAUUGAUGAGGAAGAGAUUUGUGGCAGAGUUGGUGAGAGGAAUGAACUCUUAAGCAAGCUGUUGUGUGAGAGUAGCGAGCAACAAAAAGGCCUUCAUAUCAUCUCAAUCGUUGGUAUGGGAGGCAUAGGGAAAACAACUCUUGCACAACUAGCUUGUAAUCAUGACGAGGUGAAGAGAAAGUUCGACAAAAUUCUGUGGGUGUGUGUAUCAGAAACUUUUGAGGAGUUUAGGGUUGCCAAAGCGAUCGUUGAAGUUUUGGAUGGUCGUGAAUCUCAUUUAGCUGAAUUCCAUUCUCUUCUUCAACAUAUUUAUGAAUCCAUUGCAGGGAAGAGCUUUCUUCUUGUCUUAGAUGACGUGUGGGAUGGAAAUUACUUGAAAUGGGAACCAUUCUACCAUUGUCUAAAGAAUGGUCUCCAUGGAAGUAAAAUUUUAGUUACCACACGUAAAGGGUCAGUCGCAUCCAUGAUGGGAUCCAUAGAUAUUAUCUCCGUUAAGGAGUUAGCUGAAGAGGAAUGUUGGUUGUUGUUUAACAAGAUAGCAUUUUUUGAUCGGUCCAUCGAGGAACGUGAAAAAUUAGAACAAAUUGGGCAAAGAAUUGCAGGCAAGUGCAAAGGUUUACCUCUUGCAGCAAAGACAAUAGGGAGUCUCAUGCGUUCUAAACAAACUGAAGAAGAGUGGAAAAGAAUUUUAAAUAGUGAUUUAUGGAAAGUAGAAGAGAUUGAGAAAGAUGUUUUGUCCUCUUUAUUGUUGAGUUAUAAUGAUUUGCCAUCUAGAGUAAAAAGAUGUUUUUCAUAUUGUGCUGUCUUUCCAAAAGACUACAAUAUAGAAAAAGACAAACUAAUCACGUUAUGGAUGGCUCAAGGUUAUCUUAGUGCAGAAGAAGAUGAAGAGAUGGAGACAGUAGGUGAAGAGUAUUUUGGCAUCUUAGCUUCUCGCUCAUUUUUUCAAGAGUUUAAGAAAAGUUAUGAUAAUCGGAUUAUAGAGUGUAAGAUGCAUGAUAUGGUACAUGAUUUUGCCCGAUUUGUAAGUCAAAAUGAAUGUUUUUCGAUGGCAAUUAAUGGUAGUGAAGAACCAAACGCCACAAACUCUCUUGAUGAGAAGGUCCGUCAUUUAAUGUUAAUCUUUAGUAUAGAGGCUUCAUUACCUGUUUCCACUUGUAGAGUUAAAAGAAUUCGUAGCCUCUUAAUUAACGAUAGUAGAUCUGAUCAUUCAUUAUUAAAUGGUGAGAUCCUAGAAGAAUUAUUUAGGGAAUUGACAAGUUUAAGGGCAUUAGAUUUUUGCAAAUCGUAUAACGCAAGCUGGUCUUCGACUCUGGAGAUUCCGAGAAACAUAGAAAAGCUGGUACAUUUAAGAUACCUUAAUUUGUCUUAUCAGGGAAUAAAGAAACUACCGGAGACAUUAUGCGAGUUGUAUAAUCUAGAAAAGUUAGAUAUUAGUUAUUGUUAUAAGCUAGAAGAAGUACCUGAAGGGAUUGGGAAGUUAAUAAACAUGAAGCAUUUACGAAAUAGAGGUACUAGUUCUUUAAGGUACAUGCCGGUAGGGAUUGGGAGAUUAACGGGUCUUAGGACCUUGGGUGAGUUCCACGUGAGUGCAGGAGGAGGUGUUGAUGGUAGGAAAGCAUGUAGGCUUGAAUCUCUUUAAAACUUGGAACACCUUCAAGUAUGUGGUAUAUGUAGACUGGGUGAUGUAUCAGAUGUGGGCGAGGCUAAGCGAUUAGAACUUGACAAAAAGAAAUACCUCUUCAGUUUGACCCUUGAGUUUGAUAAGACGGAAAGAGGAGGAGAAAGGAGGAAGAACGAGGACGAUCAACUUCUUCUUGAAGCCUUGCGACCACCCCUGGAUUUAAAGGAAUUAGAGAUACGGUACUACCGAGGCAACACUGUUUUCCCCAGCUGGAUGGCGUCAUUAACCAACUUAAAGAGUUUACAUCUCCAUAGGUGCGAAAAUUGCGAGCAGCUGCCUCCUUUGGGAAAAUUGCCGUCCCUUGAAAAUCUCUACAUAUGGCGCAUGGAGAGUGUGAAGAGAGUGGGUGAUGAAUUUUUGGGGAUAGAAAGUGAUCAUCAUGACUCAUCGUCAUCUUCAUCAGUUACUAUUGCCUUCCCCAAAUUGAAAUCACUCACAAUUUAUUCGAUGCUGGAAUUGGAGGAGUGGGAUUAUGAGAUUACAAGAACAGGAAACACCGUCAUCAACAUCAUGCCACGUCUUUCUUCCUUGACAAUUGUUGAUUGCACCAAAUUAAAGGCACUGCCCGACCACAUUCAUCAAACGACAACGUUGAAGGAAUUGAGCAUUUUUAUGUGUUGGCUUCUGAACAAACGUUACCGCAAGGGGAAAGGAGAAGACUGGCCUAAAAUAUCACACAUUCCCAACCUCCAUAUUGGGCUUUGACAAGUAAUUUCUUCUCUCACUCUGAUUUGCUUUGUUGUUGUUUUUGUUGAAAAGUUAAAAAGUUUGGUUGGAAAAGAAAAGUGAGCCACAUGCAUUGCUUUUGUUUUUCAAAGUCGGCACCAAAUUGCAAACUGUAUUUGGCAUUUGACAAUCCUGCACCAAAUGAAGAAAAAUGCAAAAGUUAGCAAAAUUUGUCAAAUUGACAGAGAUGGAGAUUGAUAAAUUGCAGAGGGAUUAGGUGGAAUAGUGCAUGCUUGAAGCCUAUAAAUUGAAGCCAUUUCUUCAUUCUAAAUAAUCCCAAAAUUGUUAAACUUAUAAGUUUCUAAGCUUUUGAGAGAAGUGAGAGAAGUGUGUCUGUGGAAUUUAUUUUUCCUGCAGAGUGUGAGAGUACUUGGUAUAUUUGGGUUUCUGGGAAGUGAGAUUCGUUACUCAAAUAUUGUAUUCUAUUAAUUGUUAAAUAAACAAUUAUUCUUUCUUACCUCCGUGGAUGUAGGUUUAAUUACCGAACCACGUAAAAUCUUGUGUCCUUUAUUUUUCAGUAAUUAUUUGGUGCGCUUGAUUCCGCAUUCCGCGCACAACAGUUUUUAAUCUAAUUAAGAAGCGAAAAUAGCAUUUUGAAUCAAACUCUAUAUCAGAAAUCUGCAAUACUUACUUUCUAAUAUUCUGAUUUUCAUAUCCUAUGAAUAUACGAUUUUUAAUUUGUGAGAUGGGUAACGUUACUGUAAAAGAUUAUUAAUGCAAUAUGAGUAAUUCUUUUGCAGGACAAGUGACCUACAUUUAGUUUGGCUUUGGAGUUGAAUAAUAACCUUUCGAGGUCCCGACAACCAAAAAACAAAGCUUAAUUUGCCACAGAUUGAACGUAUUGCCAUUAUUGACAAUUUUCUGCACAAGUGUGACUGAACUUAGGUUGAUGUCAAAAGAGGUAAAUUAUUGGCAUGCCUCACUAUUUUGACCAUUACAUGAUUCAUAAGUUUACAUUAAUUUUGAUUUUGAGUUGAGUGAUUAGUUUUCUAGGUUUGCUUACUUUAACUGGGUGACCAAUUUCUUGUAACUAAAUGUAUGAUGUGAUGCAGGAAGCAGGGCAGGAUAUGAAAAGAGAAGCUUAUUAGAGGAAGGAUUGCCAGUAACAGAAUCCAAAGAAAAAGAAACCAUUUCGAGGCAGCUGUUGGCAGUUGGCAGUGAAUGGAGCCCCUUGAAAAAAUUCCCAAGCCGUUGCACUGCAAUUACGAUCAUCCUCGGCCUCAGGUAAUUUCUUCUCCUGCAUUUUUGUUAUUUGCUAUCAAGUGACUAUUUUAAGUAUGAUUGCAUUAAGCUGCUGCUGGGAAAUUUGAGGUUUUGAUGACUGCCCAUGCUAUUGUCAGAAGCUGCGGUUCUUUUCAUCAGCCUGAACCUGGACCUGCCGCUAUGGAUAACUCAGGUUUUUUUUUUUUUUUAAUCAACUGCCAUCUUUUCCACUGUUUAGAAACUCUUAAGAUUAAACUUUAGUAAAGUUGUUUUAGUUAUCCAUGUAAUCAGGCUGAGGAUACUUAGCUGCCUAUUUAAGCAAAUGUCAGAAUUUAGUUUGUUCGCUGGGAACUGGUGUGGACUGGCAAAGGAUGAUGAGAUAGUUUUUUGAGUGAGUAAAUUUUGGGAGCUUGAGUGUAUUGGGAUUUGCAAUUACAAUCAUCGUCUGCCUCAGGUGAUUUCUUCUCCUGCUCUAUCAUUGUUUGUUCUCUAAUUCAAAAGCAUAAAAUAUUUCAAUCAAUUUUUAUGCCAGGAAUAUGCAAAAGUUUCUAAUAUUUUAUUUCCAUCUGUUACAAGAUCAAACUGAAGUAGAACUCAAACAAAAGUAUGCUACUUCUUGCGGAAAUCUUGCCUUUGUUCAGAUUAUGAAACCAUUUCCAUGCAGCAAAUUCAUCCAAAAGUUUGAAUAAGUUUCAUGGUUGGACACUGUUGGCUUCUUUUUCUUCUGGGGUGCAUUUAGGUGCUAUCAAGUGACAGCUGUAAGUAUGAUUGCACUAAGCUGCCGCUGGGAAAUUUGAGGUUUUGAUGGCUGCCCAUGUUAUUUUCAAGAAACUAUUGAUGUAAGAAGCUGUGGUUCUUUUCAUCAGCUUGAACCUGAAACUGUCGCUAUGGAUAACUCAGGUUUUUGUUAUCAACUAUAUCAUCUUUUUCACUAUUUUGAAACUCUUAAGAUUAAACUUUAGUAAAGUUGUUUCAGCUAUUCAAAUGAAAAACUCAUUGAUUUGAGACUUCCUUCAUUAUUGUUUCUAAUUACAAUGCUAACGAUCUAGAUAAAAUAAUAUUUAAUCGGCGCAGGUGUCCCUUGGAAGUACAUCCAACUUUUUCUUUUAUUAUAUAAAUUCUUGCAAUGAGCUUAGUGAAGCUGUUGUGCUAAUCAUGCCACUGCAUAAUUUGGCCCCUAAUGUGGGUACUCUGUUACAUUGUUCUGCAAAUUCUCCAGAAGUUAAAAUCAAUAAAUUUUCUAUUAGCUCUAGUGCUUUGACCUAAAUGCUAUUCUAUAUUUUGAUUACAAUGUUUUAACCUUUAAAUUAACUACCCCUAGAUGUUGGAUUUUCUAGAACUUCAAAAUGAUUAAUGGAGAAAGAUCCCAUUAUCGUUAUUGCUAUAAGAAAUUGAUUUAUGCAUCCAAAGAUACAUUAUAUAUUUCUGUGUCUCUAUUUGUAGAUGACAUUUAAGCAUCCAUAAACCGUCAGACAGAGGAAGGGUGAUGGGUGUCGAAGCCAACAAAAAUAAAUUCCUACUCUAAAUAAAUUGUGUAUAGUGAUUGAGCAGGGUCGUGUCCACAGAGAUCGGUAAUUAAUUAAAUCCUUUUGAAACGUAAAACAUAAAAUGGGGGAAUUGUUGACAAUAAUAAAAAUCAAAUUAAAAUAACAAGAAUGCAAAUUAAAGUUGUAAUUCAAAUUAGAGAAAGCUCUGGUUGAAGGAAUUAACUCAGCUUGAUUCGACUACUGAUCAUUGAUUCAAAUAUAGAUUAUUAUUACUCAUGAAUAGACCGGUUAUAGCUACUGAGACCCUCUAAUAGCCAAUCUCUCCUUAACUAGUCGAUAACCAAGGUACGACCAUUGGUUAUUUCCCUAAUCAAUAGACAACCCUAGAUACGAUCAUAGAAUUUAAUCAAUUGACAGCCUGAAAAACCAGAGAGACCCAAAUCCUAAUCAACACAUAUGAUGAUUCAUUUAAAUUAGAUUGUUUAUUCUCACAACACAACUCUCUGCUAUGUUAUUUGUCACAAACAUUAAAUUCUUCAUACGAUGAAUCCUUUAAUUGACAAUAGAUUAAGUUGAUAAUUAAAUAGUGGCCAAUUACCUAAUUAACAAACAUAAUCAUGAAAAUAAUUCAGAGAAUAAACAAAUACCCAAAAAGUAAUAAAACAAUUAAAGCACAAGAAAGAUCUCACAGUAGUGAUGAAUCAAAGCUUCAUUAACCUUCAACCAGAAAAAUAGGUUUAGCUCUUCAUAGAGAGAAGAGAAAAAUUAGAUCUAGGGUUUCUUUCUUUUUCUCCAAUCCAAAAAUCCCCCUUUUUCACAAUAGAUUCCUCCCUUAAAUACUUUCUCUCUCUUCUCUUUUAGAAUUCUAUUUAAAAUAAAAUCCUAAUAUCUGAAAUAUUAAAUUCGUAAUUACAAAAAUAACCAAAAAUACAAAACACGUUAAACUAAAAACUGCAGGUCCGCAGUUGACAGCACGCGCCCACGCCUUAUCAACAAAGUUCUUCUGACGCUCAUAAUUUCUCCAAGAGAACAAUCAUCCUUAAACAUCAUCUUAUAGCUCAAUUUUAUCAUCAAUCAAUAGAAUUGCACCUACAAAAGUAAAACACAAGUAAAUCACUAUUAUUAAGUGCAAAACAUUGAUAUUAAGGGAAGUAAAUAAUGCAAAACUAGUGCAUAAAUUGCACUCUAACAAAGGGGGUUCAGUGCAAAGAUUCUGUUGACCUAGGGUUGACUGCAUAAUGUCACUUGUUCGCAAUCUAUUAUUUAUUUUAUAUUUUGAAGAAUUUAAUGGGUAAUCCUAAUUGUUUGUUUUGGCAGGUAUGUGUUGUUAUCUCCUUCUAUCUAACAGUCGUACCUAAAUAGCAUAGUUUCAUCUGUGUUACCAUGUGAUGUACAUAAUUUCACAUUUGCCUCAGAUUAAGCUUAAUUUCCCACAAAAUAGAGCUGUCGCGACUGGACUUAGGUUGAUGUCCAAAGAGGUAAAUUAUUGGCAUGCCUAGAUAAUUUGGCCAUUUCCUAAUUCAUAAGUCUACAUUAUUUUUGAUUUUGAGUUGACUGAUUUCUUUUCAAGGUCUGCUUCCUUAACGGAGUGACCAAUGUUUUUCAACUAAAUUUAUCAUAUGAUGCAGGAAGCAGGGCAGGAUAUGAAAUGAGAUCUCAUUGGUGGAAGUAUUGCCAGUAGCAGAACCCAAUGAAAAUGAAACUAUUUCAAGGCAGCAGUUGGCAGUUGCAAGUAAAUGGAGGCCCUUGACAAAAUUCUCAAGCGGUUGCAAUGCAAUUACGAUCAUCCUCAGCCUCAGGUAAUUUCUUCUCCUGCUUUGUAUUUAUUUGUUAUCUAAUUAGGAAGCGUAAAGUAUCUUGAAUCAUUUUCUGUAUCUGGAAUAUAUGCAAGAGUUUCUAAAAUUUUGAUAUGAGUGUAAUGAUGGUAAUUUCUGUUUUCUGUCUGUCAUCAAAUGUUAGAAAACUUUCAUUGAGACCCUUGAACCGAGUCAUUUUUGACAAGUGAAGGACAAUUGCUGAAGAGUGGGAAUGGUGCUAGAUUGGGGAAUAAAGACAAAGGAGGUAAAUUAUUUGCAGUUUAUUCAGCAUUAUUUGCUUUGGACCACCGCCUGAUUCACAAGUCUCCAUAAUUUGGCUUUUGAGCAGUUGUUAAUAAAUUUUUAAUUCCAUUGGUGCUAAAUGUGCACGUGAAGCAGGCAGAGCAGGACUGUGGAAAUGAGAAGGUUUUUAGUGAAAGCUUAAACUCAGGUAAUUCUAAAAAGUACAUGUUUUUGCUGAUUUAUCUAAAUCAGGAAGUUUUAUUUCCAUCUGUUACAAGAUAAAACAGAAACAGAACACAAAGAAAAAUAUUCUACUUCUUCUGGCAAUCUUGCCUUCAUUCAGACAAUGAAACCAUUUCCUUUCACCAAUUUCUUCCAAAAGUUUGAAUAAGUUUCAUGGUUGGACAUAGUUAGCUUCUUUUUCUUUUGGUGCAUUUAGGUCCUAUCAAGUGACAGCCAUAAGUAUGAUUGCAUUAUUGGGAAAUUUUAGGUUUGGAUGGCUCCCCAUGUUAUUGCCAAGAAAGUCCUCAUGUCAGAAGCUGCGGUUCUUUUCAUCAGCCUGAACCCGAACCUGUCGUUAUGGAUAACUCAGGUUUUUGUCAUCAACUAUAUCAUCUUUUUUACUGUUUUGAAACUCUUAAGAUUAAACUUCAGUAAAGUUGUUUCAGUUAUCCAUGUAAGCAGGCUAAGGAUAUUUAGCAGCUUAUUUAGGCAACUGCCAGAAUUGAGUUUGUUUGCUCGAAACUUGUAUGGUGACAAGGAUACUGGCAAGGAUAGUGAGAUAGUUUUUUGUGUGAGUGAAAUUUGAAAGCUUGGGUGUUCUGGGAUUUGCAAUUGCAAUCAUCCUCUGAGUCAGGUGAUUUCUUCUCCUGCUCUGUCUUGAUUUUCUCUCUAAUUGAAAGCAUAAAGUAUUUCAAUCAAAUUCUGUACCAGGAAUACGUAAAAGUUACUAAUAUUUUAUUUCCAUCUGUUCGCAUUGAUAACUCGGCGGCAUAUGUGUUGUGCGCGGAAUGCGGAAUCAAGCGCGCCAAAUAAUUAUAGAAAAAUAAAGGACACAAGAAUUACGUGGUUCGGUAAUUAAACCUACAUCCACGGAGGCAAGAAAGAAUAAUUGUUUAUUUAACAACUAAUAGAGUACAAUAUUUGAGUAACGAAUCUCACUUCCCAGAAACCCAAAUAUACCAAGUACUCUCACACUCUGCAGGAAAUAUAAAUUCCCCAGACACACUUCUCUCACUUCUCUCAAAAGCUUAGAAACUUAUAAGCUUAACAAUUUUGGGAUUAUUUCAAAUGAACAAUUUCCCUUCUAUAUAUAGGAACCGUAGCUCACCUACCACUUCCAAUUUGGCUACAACUUGCCGAAUUGAUAAAUUGAAUUUAGAAUGGAAAAUCAAUUUGGUGAGCAACAAAAUCAACAAGUUUGAAAAAUCAAUUGGCUUCUAGAAAAACAUCACAUUUUUCCUCCAUACAAUUUCAACAAAAUCGUCCCACCAACCAUGUCUUUUGAAAUUUGCAUGCCAUUCUUUGACUUGUUGUGCGCGGAAUGCGGAAUCAAGCUCACCAAAAAUUACUGCAAAAAUAAAGGACACAAGAAUUUACGUGGUUCGGUAAUUAAACCUACAUCCACGGAGGCAAGAAAGAAUAAUUGUUUAUUUAACAAUUAAUAGAAUACAAUAUUUGAGUAACGAAUCUCACUUCCCAGAAACCCAAAUAUACCCAGUACUCUCACACUCUGCAGGAAAGAUAAAUUCCCCAGACACACUUCUCUCACUUCUCUCAAAAGCUUAGAAACUUAUAAGCUUAACAAUUUUGCGAUUAUUUCAAAUGAACAAUUUCCCUUCUAUAUAUAGGAACCGUAGCUCACCUACCACUUCCAAUUUGGCUACAACUUGCCGAAUUGAUAAAUUGAAUUUAGAAUGGAAAAUCAAUUUGGUGAGCAACAAAAUCAACAAGUUUGAAAAAUCAAUUGGCUUCUAGAAAAACAUCACAUUUUUCCUCCAUACAAUUUCAACAAAAUCGUCCCACCAACCAUGUCUUUUGAAAUUUGCAUGCCAUUCUUUGACUUUUCAACAAUUCUCCACCUCGGCGAAAAUUUUCCAAAUCUGAGCCGACUACCAACUAACCAUCCCCAAAGUGAUCCUUCAAUAAGGAUCCAGAAUGGCUGUGUCGAUUCGACUGCCUACGUACCCAAACUGUCUUGAUUUUCUCUCUAAUUGAAAGCAUAAAGUAUUUCAAUCAAAUUCUGUACCAGGAAUACGUAAAAGUUACUAAUAUUUUAUUUCCAUCUGUUCGCAUUGAUAACUCGGCGGCAUAUGUGUUGUGCGCGGAAUGCGGAAUCAAGCGCGCCAAAUAAUUAUAGAAAAAUAAAGGACACAAGAAUUACGUGGUUCGGGAAGCAGUUGGCAGCAAAUUCAUAUGGAGUGUAGACAAUGAUGAGCAAAAAGGUGAUUCUCAAUUUCUUUUUUUUUUAAAGUGAAAUUAUUUGUUAGAUUGAAGCUGAUAUUGUAAGAAGGCCAUUGAGCUAACCUAUGUCGCCACUUGCCUAGAUUGCAGGGGGUCAAGACUCAAAAGAAGCACUGAAAUUUAAAAAGCAUGCAAUAGUUCUUUUGCCAUGUAUCAAUUAAUGCAAGUUUGAAUAAAAUUAACAUAUAUCAAGACACAACUAGAAACAUCAUACUUUCGUGUAAGUUCAUUUCAGAAUAUUUCUUAGAGUUUGUAUAAAAUGAAAAGAUUUUAAAAUAUAAAUUUAAUAUUUGUUUAUUACCGUUGUUUGGUCUAAUUUCCUCGGGAGAAUUUUCAGAAUUUAUAGGACAUUAGUUUAUAAUUUUGAAAUUUUGUAACCUAAAUGUUUUUUUUUUUCGGUUACCAUUUUGUUUUCCUGCUUUAUCUACGUGUAUGUUGACUAAAACUAAUCUAUUUUGUUAAACCUUUACCACUUUAGACAUUGCACUAAAUAUGAGUUCGUGAUGCUUGCAUUUUAUUGAUGCUGAUGAUUCGUUGAAUGUUUUAUGUUUUUGAUUUUUAAGUAUUCCGGAUCGAAGUUUGUGUCUACGCGGAAAUUGUAAAGGCAGCAUAUAAAGUACUCGUCGUUCUUUAGAUUUUAUUGAGUACACUUUUUUCACAUUUAGCGUAUGCUAUACACUACUGAUUUGCGCAUUGACAUAUAACUUAUUUUAUCAUUUUGAAUGAAUUGCACGGCGAGGCUUAUCAACUUUGGAUGAAUCCUCCAAUUGUCACAGUCCAAGACUGGCUGCAGUGAGUGAAAAUUUACCCAUAUAUAUGCUGGCUAUUUUUAUUGGCGACGAAUUCGUUGUAGUUGGUCCAUCUUGCUAUUCUCGGACAAUAUUAGAGAAAAUAAUCAUAUUAUUUCGCGUGAUGUGACCUUCCAUAACUUAUCAAUUGAAUUACUGUAAAAUUAUUGUGUAAGUUUAGGCCCAAUGGCACUUUAGUUCAUCACAUGAUAGCCUGGAUUUAAAUGGAAAACUAUAUUGCAUUGCUUCAAAAAAAUAAAUUAAUGUUUUUAAUAUGAAUAUUUUUAACUAUAUUCAGUUAAAAUAAUAUAUUCUUAAUAUUAAUAUUCAUAGAUGAAAUUCUUUUGCGGAUUUAAGAAUAAAAUAUCAAAUAGUUUUAUUUUUCUUUUGUUGUGUAACUUGGACCGAAAAAGAAAAUGAGCUUAACAUGACCCUCCUUCCGGCACUAUGCAUGUUUUUCUUGUAUUGAUGACAGUGCUCUUGGUGCUUCUCAUCUGCUUCUUGCUUUGGUUUCAAACAAGUCUUUCUCCGUCAAGACAUUUAUUGUAAUUUCAUUUGGAGACAUCUGUCGUUCAAAUAUAUUUCAUAUUCAAGCUGUUGAUAAUUCUGCUUGAGAAAGCCUACAAAGCAGCUGUGUGAUGUAAUGGAAGACUAUAUAUGCAAGCGGUCAUCAGUUUCUCUUGAAUUCUUUCUUGAGUUUCUUUGAAUUAUUUGUGAAUGAGUUCUUAAUCGGCUGCUGCUCUUCAGGAAAAGGAAAGUUUUGCAAACUGGUGAAGCUGAUCGAUAAAAGCAAUGUACCAUCUUUGCUGGCAUGGAUCGAUGCCAGUGAGUAGCUCAUUGGUGGAAGUAUUGCCAGUAACAGAACCCAAAGCAAAUGAAACUAUUUCAAGGCAGCAGUUGGCGCUUGCAAGUGAAUGGAGGCCAUUGACAAAAUUCUCAAGUGGUUGCGAUGCAAUUACGAUCAUCCUCAGCCUCAUGUAAAUUCUUCUCCUGCUUUGUUUUUAUUUGUUAUCUAAUUAAGAAGCACAAAGUAUCUUCAAUCAUUUUCUGUAUCUGGAAUAUAUGCAACAGUUUCUAAAAUUUUGAAACGAGUGUAAGGAUGGUAAUUUCUGUUUUCUGCCUGUCAUCCAAUGUUAGACAACUUUCAUUGAGACUCUUGAACAGAGUCAUCUUUGCUGGCAUGGAUCGAUGCCAGUGAGUUUUUUUAUUUGUCAACCUUUUUAAUAAUGCAUAUGUGUUUCUUCAACUUGAAGCGGCAUAUAAGACGAAAGAAGUGAUCUUUAUCCAAUUGCUCCAAAUUAUUUGCAAAUUACUGAACACGAAUGCUGAUGAAUAAACUGAUGGCUCUAUGUAUGUAUGCACAUGCAUGGAGAAAUUUUAAGUCAGACAUUGACUCGUGGUACCAAAUCAUUAAAUAAUCUUGAAAUCAAAGUAAUAAUUAAAUACAAAUAAAUUGCUCGAAUUGUACAUAUAUCUGAAUCAUGUAGUGAAGAAAAUACAACAACAACAGCCAAUGGCUCAAAUUCCCUAUCAACUUCUAGUCUCAACACUUUUGAGUGUCAGAAGCAUUACUCUGCUACUAGUUAACAAACAUAUAAUUAGUAAUUUGCCAUUCACUUCCCUUUUAGGCCUAACACAUUUUCUAUAAAAGAGCCACAGAGUGAACUCAGCAGGAAACACUCAAUUUCAACCUACGUAGGACCAGGAAUUUCAACCAAAAAAAAAGUGUGCAAUUGCUUAUCCUAUCCUAUUGCUACUAGAAAGAAAGUGAACAAUUAAUUUCAGUGAAUAAAUUAAAAAAAAAAUUACUUCUGCAGAUACUCAAGCUAAGAACACAUUAACCCAUUAAAGACUCCAAAUUGCAUCAAACAAAUUGUUGUUAAACAAGUAAAACAAAGAAAGAGAGUUAAGGAAGCUGACCAAGUAGUAGGGGAGCUGAAGAAAGACUGCCAGUGAAUGUAAGAGAAAAUAAAAUGCAAGAAAUGGUGAAGUGCAGCUUUUCAUGUCAACUUGAAAUUGAGUUUUCUGUUUUUUUUUUUUUUUUUAAUCUUUUGGAUUUUUCAAACAAAGAAAAUGAGGAGCAACCAGGGAGAUAAAAAGGGCGCCAAGGCAACUGUGUGUUGGGUUUAGAGCCAAAAAAAAAAAGAAUAAGACAUCGUGUUCUUGUGGAGACCAGACCUAUUACGUAACGUCCCCUUCAAUACCACUAGUUCCGUAUCUGGUUUUUUCUUCGUCUUUUACAUAGUUUGCAAUUUUAUUCAUUUGAGCCCUACAGAUGAUAUAAGGGACAAGAGCGCAAAACAGAAACUCUGUCCACUACUGAUGAUAUAACAACGAACCGGGGUUUUUAAUUAAAUACCCUUUAAUAGUUUCAAAAUUAUUUAAAUACCUCCUCCCUUUUUAGUUUUCAUGGAUACCCUAACAAAAUUAUUUAAAAAUGGUUCAAUUUUAUUCUACUCUCAGGAAUUAAGUGUUGGAUAGACUAGAAAAUUCUGAGUACAAAGCAUCGCUUGUUUUCGUUGGUUUUUUUUUUGCAUUCCAGUAGAAAGGUUGUGUACAAUUGAAUCUGAUAACUAUGGCAGGAGGUAAGUUUUCUAACUUGCGCAUGAUGAAUAUAGUCUUUUAUUUCUUCCAUUGUAAUUUUUGUUUAAUAGAAAAUCUAUUUGAGAUUUUGUGAGAAGAAACUCAACAAUAAAGUUUGAUAGACUUUGUGGAUAUUAAGAGUUUGACAAGUAAUUGAAAUCUGAAGUUUACUGAAGUUUACGAGCAAACAAACUGAAAUCCGAAGUUUACUGAAGUUUACUAUCAAGAGUUUCAAAACAGUGAAAAAGAUGAUAUGGUUGAUGACAAAAACCUGAGUUAUCCAUAGCGACAAGUAACAUACUGAAGUAAGCCGUGGGGAGCUGGCCUGUUCAUGGGCUAUUUUUCUCUGAUGAUCUGCAUUUUUCUUCCUUUUAAGUGAACCUUGACUCGUAUCAAACCUGUCAAAAGAACAGUUCAUCAACUGAGCUGAGAUUUGCUUUCCUUUUUCAAAACCCACCUGAGAUAUUGUAAUUCCCAAAUUUCUCUCUCUCAGCUACACGAGCAAGCAGCCGCUUUUUCACUUCAUCGACGAAGGUAAGCGAUAAUAUCUAUUUCGUCCGAUUGAUUUCUUGUUUCCUUUUCAGUGUUCGGGUAAAUUAUUGGCAUGCCUGACUUUUUGACCAUUACAUGAUUCAUAAAUUUAUAUUAAUUUUGAUUUUGAGUUGACCGGUUACUUUUAUUGGUUUGCUUACUUUGACUAGGUGACCGAUUUCUUGUAACUAAAUUUAUGACGUGAUGCAGGAAGCUGGGCAGGAUAUGAAAUGAGAAUCUUAUUAGUGGAAGGAUUGCCAGUAACAGAACCCAAAGAAAAUGAAACCAUUUCAAGGCAGCAGUUGGCAGUUGGGAGUGAAUGGAGGCCCCUGACAAAACUUCAGUAAACUUCAGAUUUCAGUUUGUUUGCUCGAAACUUGCAUGGUGACAAGGAUACUGGCAAGGAUAAUGAGAUAGUUUUUGUGUGAAUGAAAUUACGAUCAUCCUCAGACUCAGGUAAUUUCUUCUCCUGCUUAGUUGUUAUUUGUUACCUAAUUAAGAAGCAUAAAGUAUCUUGAAUCAUUUUCGUUGUCUGGAAUAUAUGCAACAGUUUUUAAAAUUUUGAUAUCAGUGUAAUGAUUGUAAUUUCUGUUUUCUGUCUGUCAUCGAAUGUAAGACAACUUUAUUAAGAUUCUUGAACCGAGUCAUUUUUGACAAUUGAAGAACAAGUGCUGAAGAGUGGGAAUGCAAAAAGUUUUGUUGUUUUUAGCCUUGUUUUCUUUGAACCAGCGCCUGAUUCACAAGAGUUCAUUAAUUUGGCUUUUGAUCAGCUGAUUGAUAAAUGUUCAAUUUCUUUGGUGAUAAAUGUAUAUGUGAAGCAGGCAGCAGGGCAUGACUGUGGAAAAGAGAAGAUUUUAGUGAAAGCUGAGACUCAGAUAAUUCUACGCGUUUUGGCUGAUUUAUAUAAUUCGUGAAAUUUUAUUUCCAUCUGUUACAAGAUCAAACUGCAAUUAGCAAUUUAACAUUCCCUUAAAACCACUAGCUACAUUUCAUCUUUGCACAAUUACACUUAAAAUUCCACUAAAAGAAACUCUUGAGUUGCUCGCAAGCUAUAUGUCAUUAUCCAUUGAAUUCUUACCACAUACAUCUCACCUUUCAAUCAAUCACAUAAUAAUCAAUAUACAUAUUGUAAGAAUUCAACAAAUGGAGAACAUAAUAUACUAUAAAAGCAUCCAAAAUUUUUCCAUCUCAAAUUAUUACUAAACUUCUUGAACAAGUUGAAGAUUGGGGGGAAAAAGUGCAAGAAGGAAAAGCAUUAUUCUACUAGUUUCUAGGUUUCUCAUUUGAACAGAAAGAUUAAAUAAGAUAUUUGUGUAUGGCUGUAGUACUACACGGUAUCUGCUAGAAAGCAAAAUACCUUCUGCUGAUUGCACAUUGGAAUGGGAAUAAGUUGGUAAAUAUAUAAGUUACAUAAAUUAUUUUGGAUAAUUCUGCUGGUGAAUUAAUUAUCUUAAAAUCACCCUUUUAUUUUUUAAAAAAUCUUAAGUUAUUUUUCAUAUAUCUUAGGAAGACAAACAAACUUUCAUCAACUCUCCUUUUUUAGCUUUUCCCUUCAAUAAUGUUAGAAAUUCUAACAUUUGAGUCCUGCUUGAGCUUAAUACUAUUUAUCACUCAUUUAUUAGAUGAUGAAUUUUUUAAAUUAUAAAGUUAUUUGACUACCAUUCAAUGAAUGAAUGUCACAUCAUUUAAAACUCAAAGAAAAGUAUUCUACUUCUUGCGGCAAUCAUGCCUUCAUUCAGACUAUGAACCAUUUCCUUUCACCAAAUUCUUCAUAAACAUUGAAUAAGUUUCAUGGUUGGACAUAGUUAGCUUCUGUUUCUUUUGGUGCAUUUAGGUGCUAUCAAGUGACGGCCGUAAGUAUGAUUGCAUUAUUGGGAAUUUUACGAUUUGAUGGUUCCCCACGUUAUUGCCAAGAAAGUUCUCAUGUCGGAAGCAGCGGUUCUUUUCAUCAGCCUGAACCCGAACCUGUCGCUAUGGAUAACUCAGGUUUUUGUCAUCAACUAUAUCAUCUUUUUCACUGUUUUGAAACUCUUAAUAUUAAACUUACAGUAAACUUCAGAUUUCAGUUUGUUUGCUCGAAACUUGUAUGGUGACAAGGAUACUGGCAAGGAUAAUAAGGUAGUUUUUUGUGUGAGUGGAUUUUGAGAGCUUGUGUGUAUAGGGAUUUGCAAUUACAAUCAUCCUCUGCCUCAGGUGAUUUCUUCUCCUGCUCUGUCUUUAUUUGCUCUCUAAUUGAAAAGCAUAAAGUAUUUCAAUCAAAUUCUGUACCAGGAAUAUGUAAAAGUUCCUAAUAUUUUAUUUUCAUUUGUUUGCAUUGAUAACUUGACGGCAUAUGUACUAGUUAAAGAACAAACAGAAUCAGAGCUCAAGAAAAAGUUUUUUCUGCCAUCAUAUUUGAAAAUGAAGUCAUUUGCAGGAAGCGGUUGGCAGCAAAUUCAUACAAAGUGUAGACAAUGAUGAGCAAAAAAGGUGAUUCACAGUUUGAUUUUUUUUUAAUAAUGAAAAUAAUUUGGUAGGUUGAAGCUGAUAUUGUAAGAGGGCCAUUGAGCUAACCUAUGUCGCUACUUGCCAAGAUUGCAGGGCGUUAAGACUCAAAAGAAGCACUGAAUUUUAAAAGGCAUGCAAUAGUUCUUGUGCCAUAUGUCAAUUCAUGCAAGUUGGAAUAAGUUUAUUGGUUUGAACGCUGUUAGCUCCUUUUCCUUUCGUGCAUUUUGGUAUGCUAUCAAGUGACAGCCGUAUGUAUGGUUUGCAUAUAGCUGCUGCUGGGAAAUGUGAGGAUUUCAUGGCUGGCCGUGUUAUUGUUUUAAAUUAGAUGUGAUAAGCUGUUGCUUGGAGAUUCUGUUGCCAAGACUUUGCUCACAUCAGAAGCUGUGGAACCUCAACCCUUCUCUAGAUAUCAUCUUUUUCAUUGUUUUAAAACUCUCAGGAUUAAACUUGAGUAAAUUUGUUCGGUUGUCUAUAUAAUCAUGUAUUGAGUAAACUCUCAGGAUACCGAGCAGGCAAAUGCCAUAACUCGGUUUGUUCUUCAAAAACUUGUUUAAGAUUCUUGACAAAGCUGCAUGAAGUGAAUCUUGGGAGCUUUGAGGGUGAGAGAAAUUAGAGGGUGUAUAGGGAUUUGGGUUUAUUAGUAAGUUAUAUAUGUAUUUCGUCACUUAUCAUUAUCAUUUUUAUUUUCACAGAAAACCUUCUGAUGGUGCUAAAUUUUCAAACACCGGUCCGAUUCAAAACUUCAUAUUCCAAUUAUAUUCAUAAGACAAAUGGAACACUUUGAACGGCUAGUGUCCGAGCAUUGUAGUUUGAUUUAUUUUGAUGAAAGUACCUUUUGACAUUGAGAUUCUUUCAUGAUUUAAACAUUCUUUUUUAAACCAAAUUAUUAAAAAAAGUAACUAACAUAUAUUAUUUUAUUAGUGCUUUUUAAAUCAAAUAUACAUAGGAGAACUGUAAUUCUUAGCAAUCAAUUUUUCACUAAAUACACCUGCAAUAAACUAUUAAUAACAAAGUGAUAGAAAAUACCUGAUUUUUCAUACUUUCUAAUUUCUUGUGGUCCUAAAAUAUGGGCAUUUGUGUAAUAAUUAGCCCAUGUGGAUCUCUAUGCCAUGAGUUUGAUAAAUAGCUAUCAAGGAUCACUUAUUAAGCUGAAAAUAUUUGGAGGACAAAAUUGUAAAACUAAAAGGGUAGAGCAAAUAUGGCUAUCUAGGAUUAAAUAGUAAGUCAACUAUAUUUAAAGGAUAAAAUGUUAAAACUUGAACUGUGAUAUUAAAAAUAUCUCAACUAUUACAUUAUUAAACCAUAUGUUCUAAUAGUUUUUUUUUAAGCUUCAAAAUGUUCAGGAUUUUAGAUUGAAACAUUUUCAUUUGAAAUUAUUUGGUGCAGUCACAAGUUAAGAAAGAAAAAGUUGUCCCAUUGGUCAUUUCACAAAAAUGAAAGCCCUGUAUAACAUGGACUUGAAUGGAAGCCCAAUUGUUUGUGUUUGAUUAAUUGAUUUCAAGCUUUAUCGGAUCUUUGGACCUGGAUACUUUACCGCGGCCUCUAAGCGCUAUAAUUUUUUUUUUUUUGGGAUAAACGGCGCUUCAAUGAGGGCAUUUCCAAUACUUAACACUAUUUUGGUGUAACACCAACACUAAAAAUGUACAUUUUUCACACUAAAUUACUAUUUAAUCUCCAACCCAUUUGAUCUACCAUGAUUGUGACUCCCACUGGGGCCACGUUCUGUUGAUCACCCUCUCGUCACCGAUAGCGCCUCCGCUUGUGGCGAACUUGCUUGUCUAUUUUCCCUAUUUUUCCGCUUACUCUCCUCAUUUAAUACGGAGGCUGCAACAUCAUCGAAAACUAGACUGUCCACUGAAUUGUAGUUUGUCAGGUUGACGAUGAGUUGUUCAUACGAAUCUUAUAGACUUUGAAGUAGAAGCUCUGCAUGUACAUUAUCCUCUAUAUUAUGACCCAACGUUGUGAGUUGUGAAAAUAGAGUCUUCAAGGUGUUGAUGUGGUCGGUCACCAUUGUAGAUUCCACCAUUCGAAGAGUAUAAAGUCUCCUCUUCAAAAAGAUUUUGUUGUGUAGUGACUUGGCCUCGUACAAUUUUGUAAGAGUAUCUCAUAUUUCCUUUGCUGUAUUUUUCUCUGCCACACUGGAUAAUACUCCAUCCGCAAGUGCCAAGUGUAGAUCAGAAAUAGCGUUGCCAUCUAUCUCAUUCCACUUGUCAUCAGUUAUCUCCAUGGGCCUUUCUCCAAUUGCUGCCAAACAAUUAUUUUUCCUCAAUACAACUUUCAUCUUCAUUUUCCACAAUGAAAAAUUAUUUCCGUUAAACUUCUCAAUUUCAUAUUUUGCUGCCAUUUUUUUGAUAAAUACCGCACACAAGUUAGUGUAUCACCUUGAAUAGUUGUCGGUAUGUGUGAGAAUGCACACCAGGAAAGUUCCCAGGAAAGACUGGAGGGGUCACACUGGUCCACUUAAAACUCAGACUCCUUAAGCACUUAUCGCGUUUGUAACAGAACUUUCCUAGACAUGUACAAAACCACACAGUUGCUUUUACUUACACCACUAUUUCCUACUUUGCAGUGCAAAAGUUCUUGGAUCGCUCCCAUCGUUUCUCGUGAACAGUACCAUAUACGUGAACAGUGCCACAUACAUGAAUAGUACCGUAUACGUGAACAGUACCGUAUACGUGAAUACUACCCUUUACGUGAACAGUACUUGACUCCAAAAAAUUCAACCAAUAGCUUUGAUACCACUGUUAGGAAAUUGGUAGGUGAAGCAGACACGCAGCUAAAAUAAAAUUGGAAGAAAAUAAAGAACAAGUACAAAGUGGACACCAAGAAAUUACGUGGUUCGGCUUUUAGCCUACGUUCACGGGCGAAGAUAGAAGGAAAAUAUUAUACUAGUGAUAUGAAGAUUACAAGUAUUGUAAUAUUUUGGCUCACUAUCCAAAACCCCAAUACACUCAAUCUCUCACUCAAUAAACUCUCAGGAGCUUUAUUAUUUUAAGCUCUUAAAAUCUCUCAAGCUUUCUCCUUAUUAUUCUCUCACAAAUUGUAUGCUAAAAUUAGGGUGGGAAGCCCUCUUUAUAUAUCCAAGAUUUUGGCUCUUUUUUUUUUAUAUAACAAGUCAACACGGCACCAUUAAGAAUGGCGAGCCAUGUUGAAUGGCAUGGCACCGCCCAUCUAGAUGGCCGGUGCCAACCAUGACUUUAACAUUCUAUCACUUGGAGAUUUGAUUGAGAAUCAAUCAAUCUCCACAUCAUCCUUUCUACUUCGCCAUAAUCAUGUUGCCUACGUUUUUACUAGGCCACAAGAGGAUCUACUCCAGUUAAACUUAUCAAUAUUGAUUGGCUUAGUCAAAACAUCUGCUAGGUUCUCCUUCGUAUGGAUUUUUGCAAAUUGACACUUCCAUCUUCCACUACUUCUCGAACGAAGUGAUACUGAACUCCUAUGUGCUUUGUCUUGGAAUGAAAGGCUGGAUUCCUUGCAAUGUGCAAGGCACUCUGACUGUCACAAAACACAGGAAUUUUCUGUUGUUUGUGCCCGAGCUCCUCCAAUAAUCUUUGUAUCCAAAUAGCUUCCUUGCAAGCUUGUAUAGCUGCCAUGUAUUCUGCUUCUGUUGUAGAUAAAGCCAGAACGGUCUGCAGUUUCCAAACCCAACUUACAACUCCUCAUGCAAAUGUAAACACAUAACUAGUAGUGGAUUUCCUUUUAUCAAGGUCUCCUGCAAAAUCUGAAUCCACAUAGCCCCUGACAGUAAACUCUGAUCCUCAAUAACAUAAUACAACAUCUGAGGUUCCUCUUAUGUAUCUCAGAAUCCUCUUCACAGCUAUCCAAUGCUGUCCACCAGGAUUCACCAUGUAUCGACUGAUUGCUCCCACUGCUUGUGCAAUGUCUGAUCUUGUACAUAUCAUAGCGAACAUCAAACUUCCCACUGCUGAUGCAUACGGUACUUGAGACAUCUCCUUCCUCUCUGCUUCAUUGCUAGGACACAUACUUGAGGAUAAUUUGAAAUUAACAGGAAGUGGGGUAGAAAUUGACUUACAAUCUUGCAUGUUGAAGCGCCACAAGAUUUUCUUCAAGUAGUUAUUCUCAGAAAGCCAAAUCUUUCUGUUAUUUCUGUCUCAGUGAAUUUGCAUCCCUAGAAUCUUGUUUGCUGGUCCCAAGUCCUUCAUUUCAAACUCCCUAGCCAACAGUGCCUUCACUUCUUGGAUUCGAUCUUUGUCGGGGCCUGCUACCAACAUGUCAUCCACAUAUAACAACAAAAUAAUGAAAUCAUUAUCUUCAAACCUUUUGUAAUAUGCACAAUGGUCUGAACUGAGUCUGUUAUAUCCAAGACUCAUGAUGAAGGAAUCAAAUCUCUUAUACCAACACCUCGGCGCCUGUUUGACACCGUAUAGAGAUUUGUUCAACCUACAAACCAAGUUUUCCUUUUCUGUUUCUGCAAAACCUUCUGGUUUGAGCAUAUAAAUUUUCUCUUCAAGUUCUCCAUGAAGAAAUACAGUUUUCACAUCUAACUGCUCUAGAUGUAGGUCAAAUAUAGCACACAUUGCCAAGACUACUCUGACUGUUGUGAGUCGAACCACCGGAGAAAAUAUCUCGUUGAAGUCAAUACCUUCUUUCUGAGCAUAUCCUUUCACCACCAAUCUUGCACGAUACCGCUCCACUUGAUCAUUGCCAUCACGUUUGAUCUUGUAGACCCAUUUGUUUCCAAUGACUUUUCUUCCAUGUGGUAGUGGUACAAGUUCCCAUGUCUUAUUUUUAUGUAGAGCUUCAAUUUCUUCCUGCAUUGCUGUCAUCCACAAAGCAACAUUUGAACUUUCUAAAGCUUCAUGGAAAGUUGAUGGCUCUCCAUCCUCUGUUAGAAGACAGUAUGCAACAUGGAUCUCUGUGACAUACUCCGAGUGCCACGCUGGCGAUCGUCUCUCACCAAUUGACCAAAGAACUUCUGGAGUCUCAGACUCGACUGGUUCUUGUUCCUCGUGCUCUGGUGCUGCUUUAGAAGAAUCUGAAUCUUCUAGAUUAUUUCCACAUAUACCGGCACAGUUUCUGACUUUUCUUUUACAGUGUCAUCAUCUCCAUCUUUCCUUUACAGUUGAUCUUCUACAAAAAUAACAUCUCUGUUGAUGACGAUCUUGUGGGCAGUGGGGUCCCACAAACGAUACCCCUUUACUCCAUUAGCAUAUCCCAAGAAGAUACAUCUUCUAGAUUUUGGAUCCAGCUUUGUUCUUUCUUACGGAUUGUACAUCACAUACACAGGACAUCCAAAUGCAUGUAAGUAGGAAUAAUCAGCUGGCUUUCCAGUCCACAUCUCCACGUUGUCUUCAGCCCAAUAGCUGUAGAUGACGACUGAUUUACUAUAUAACAAGCAGUUUUGGCUGCUUCUUCCCAAAAUGAAUUGGGUAGACCAGCAGUCCUCAACAUAGCUCUUAUUCUUUUGUAAGAGUUUUGUUCAUCUACUCCGCCACUCCAUUUUGUUGAGGAGUGUAUGCUACCGUGAACUGUCUAUGAAUACCUUCUUACUUACAGAAAGCAAGAAACUCACCGUCUGUAUACUCUCCACCAUUAUCUGUCCUCAAGCACUUGACCCUUUUACCAGAUUCAAGUUCCACCCGCGCUUUGUAUUCUUUAAAUACUGGAAAUAUAAUUGACUUUUUCAUAAUUGGAUACACCCAACAUCUCCUGGAAUAAUCAUCAAUGAAAGUCACCAUAUACUUUGCACCUCCCAUGGAUAUAUCCAGUGAUUCCCAAACAUCAGAAUGAAUCAAGUCUAAAAUGCAUUUACUUCUAGCAAUAGAUUUACUGAAUUUUAAUCUAUGCUGCUUACUUGUAACACAAUGCUCGCAAAAUGGUAAACUUACCGAUUUAAGCCCCGGAAGUAAUUUUCACUCAGAGAGAAUCUUCAAACAUUCUGACAUGUGACCAAAUUUGAGAUGCCACAUCAUCGUUGACUCUUCUCCAUUUGAUACGAGACACGCAUUAGCCUCCUAUAGUGUUUCUCCUUUAAGCAUGAAUAGAUUAGCACCGAUCUUUUCUGCCUUCAUCAAUACAAGCGCUCUUUUAACAAUUUUCGUAAUUUCAUUCUCCAUAUGAGUUUUAUACCCAUGACUAUCCAUUUGUCCCAAAGACAAUAGAUUUUUAUUCAGGUCAUUGACAUGUCGUACCUCCCCAAUUGUGCGAAUUGUACCAUCAAAAUUUUUAUUUUGAUAGUGUCAAUACCAGCGAUCUCCAAGGUAUGAUCAUUACCCAUAUAUAUAGAUCCUCCUGAGAUAUGUUCAUAUGUGUGGAACCAUUCUCUCCGAGAGGUCAUGUGCCAGGUAGCUCCUGAGUCUAUAAUCCAGACAUCAGAUAGUCGUUUUCUACCUUCUAAAACAGUUGUUGCCUCGCUUUAGAGAAUUUCACCAUUAUCUGAAGUACUUGCUACACACCCUUGAGCAUUUGAUGACUCAGGUUAUUUGCCCUCUCUUCUCUUCUGGUUACUCCAACACUUUUUCUUGACGUGCCCUUUCUUGCCACAGUUGUAGCAUUUAACAUUCUUCUUACUUCUGGAUUUUGAUCUACCAUGAUUAUGACUUCUACUGGGGUCACGUUCUGUUGAUCUCCCUCUCGUCACCAAUAGCGUCUCCGCUUGCUGCGAACUUGCUUGUCUGCUUUCAUUAUUUUUCCGCUUACUCUCCUCAUUUAAUACGGAGGUUGCAACAUCGUCGAAAACUAGACCGUCCGCUGGAUUGUUGUUUGUUAGGUUGAUGAUGAGUUGAUCAUACGAAUCUGGUAGACUUUGAAGUAGAAGCUCUGCAUGUACAUUAUCCUCUAUAUUAUGAUCCAACGUUGUGAGUUGCGAAAAUAGAGUCUUCAAGGUGUUGAUGUGGUCGGUCACCAUUGUAGAUUCCACCAUUCGAAGAGUAUAAAGUCUCUUCUUCAAGAAGAUUUUGUUGUGUAGUGACUUGGCCUCGUACAAUUUUGUAAGAGUAUCUCAUAUUUCCUUCGCUGUAUUUUUUUCUGCCAUACUGGAUAAUACUCCAUCCGCAAGUGCCAAGUGUAGAUAAAAAAUAGCGUUGCCAUCUAUCUCAUUCCAUUUGUCAUCAGUUAUCUCCAUGGGCUUUUCUCCAAUUGCUGCAAAACAAUUAUUUUUCCUCAAUACAGCUUUCAUCUUCAUUUUCCACAACAAAAAAUUAUUUCCGUUAAACUUUUCAAUUCCAUACUUUGCCGUCAUUUUGUUCAUAAAUACCGCACACAAGUUAGUGUACCACCUUGAAUAGUUGUCAGUAUGUGUGAGAAUGCACACUAGGAAAGUUCUCAGGAAAGACUGGAGGGGUCACACUGGUCCCACUUAAAACCCAAACUCCUUAAGCUCUUAUCGCCUUUGUGACAGAACUUUCCUAGACAUGUACAGAAUCACACAGUUGCUUUACUCACACCACUAUUCCCUGCUUUGCACCGCAAAAUUCUUGGAUCGCUUCCACCGUUUCUCGUGAACAGUAUCGUAUACGUGAACAAUGUCGUACAUGUGAAUAGUAUCAUACAUGUGAAUAGUAUCGUAUACGUGAACAGUACCGUAUACAUGAAUACUACCCUUUACGUUAAGAAAUUGGUGGGUGAAGCAGACACGCAGCUAAAAUAAAAUUGGAAGAAAAUAAAGAACAAGCACAAAGUGGACACCAAGAAAUUACGUGGUUCGACUUUUAACCUACGUCCACGGGCGAAGACGGAAGAAAAAUAUGAUACUAGUGAUAUGAAUAUUACAAGUAUUGUAAUAUUUUAAUUUACUACCCAGAACCCCAAUACACUCAAUCUCUCACUCACUAGACUCUCAGGAGCUUUAUUAUUUUAAGCUCUUAAAAUCUCUCAAGCUCUCCUUAUUAUUCUCUCACAAAUUGGAUGCUAAAAUGAGGUGGGAAGCCCUCUUUAUAUAGCCAAAAUUUUGGCUCCUUUUUUUUUUUUAUAACAAGUCAACACGGCACCACCAAGAAUGGUGGGCCGUGUUGAAUGGCAUGGCACCGCCCAUCUAGAUGGCCGGUGCCAACCAUGACUUUAACAUUAUAGUCCAAGUUUUCGAGGACCACUAUAUUGUAUUGAUUUAAAAAAAACUAAUAUUUUUAAUAUUAAUAUUCUAAAUUAUAUUCAGUUAAAAUAUUAAAUAUUAAAAACAUUCUUAAUAUUAAUAUUCUUAGAUGAAAUUAUUUUGCUGACUUAAGAAUAAAAUAUUAAAUAAUUUUAUUUUUCUUUUAUUGUGUAACGUGGACCAAAAAAAAGGAAAUGAAUUUAAUAAAACCUUCAUUCAAAACCUUCAUUCCGCCACCAUGCAUGCAUGUUAAUUGUUUCCAAAUUCCAACCUCCGUACUCUCUUGAGGAGUUUCCCAUUCAUCAAUUAUUAUUUUUUAUAAUCCAUACCAUCCUGAUAUAAUUAAACACCAUUAAUAAUGUACCAGCCUUUAAAUAGUAAUUAAUUUAUUUAGUUGGCCACCUAAAAGAAUCCUGCAGGAAAUAGAGGUUAAAAAUUUUAUUAAAUUUGCUUACCGCUGUAUCAUUAUAUAUAUAAAGAGUGAAAUCUAAAUGAAAUUUUUUAUCAUCCAUUCAGCAAACACUUAUAAUUCACAAAUAGUGAAUCUAUGCAUUGACAAUGUGGAUUAAGAAUUAUAACACAUGAAUUCAAACAUACCCUUGUGAAGUUAAGAAUAAGUUCAUACUUCAAAUGAUUUUUUAGCUAAUAAAGCAAUCAGUUUCAUUAAACGACAGCGUUGAAGGAAUUGUGCAAUUUUUUACGUUCUUUUCUAGACAGACGUUACAGAAAUGGGGUAAGUAGAGGGCUGGCCUCAGAUAUCUCACAAUUGUUAGUGAGAUAAAAUGUUAUUGUAAAAGGCGUUUAAUAGAAUAAUAUUAAUUCUUUUGCAUUGUUAUAAAAAUAUUUUUUUCUUUUGACAGUUCUGCAGGACAAGUGAUCAGAGCUCAAUGAAUAUAGCCGUGGAGGCACAGCAGAGCAGGAUUAUGAAAAAGAGAAGCUUAUUACAGGUCAUUCAAGUUUACUUGCUUUUAUAUAAUAAGUGUUUUGGCCGAUUUAUCUAAUUCACCAAAUGUUUUUUCCGGUACAUAUCUCCAUUGGUAUCAAGAAGAGGCAGAACCCAAAGAAACGUUUCUUGCAUCUUCAUAUUUGUGCGCAUUCAUCCUUUCAUUGAGAAUAACCAUUUCCAGGCAGCAGUUGCCAAUCAAUUCGCACGUCGAUGCUAUUCAUAGAUAUUAAAGACAAUGAUGAACCAAAGGUGAUAAAUCAUAAAUGCAUAAUUACCAAACCUCCAUCCUUCUCUCAUUAUGAUUUGAUUUUAAAUGAAUUAUUGCUUGGUAACAUUAUUUCCAACCAUUGCAAGACCUUUUUUUUUUUUUGGGAGAAAUUUCAAUUGAAAGUGAAACCUUUAGACAUUUACCUAAUGAAGUUAGUUAAUCGGGAGGGUGGAAAAAAAAAAGUUGACGCAAGUCAAUACACAAUAAUGAUUAAUUAAAUCCGGAGUGACUAAAACAGAGCCACUACUUUUUCAAAAAUAUCUGCAUUCAUCACUUUCUCCAGCAGCUAGUCAGCUACACACGAAUCAAUUUCUCUCCUCGUUUGUCAUCCAAAAUUAUUCACCAAUACCAUGGCUGAUGCAAUCGUUUCCACUAUCUUGGAGCAGCUGAUUUCCUUCGCUGCUGAAGAGAUAAAACAACAGGUGAUCGAAGUUACACCCCUCAUAUUACAAAUACUUCCAAUGAUUUUAAUUGGUUUUGUUUUUAUCAAAAACAUUAUAUAUUUUUGCUUUUUUUUAUUUAUCUGAUAAUUUUAUAUUUUGAAAUUUGAAUUGAAUUUAAUUAAAAGGUGAUGUAGUAACCACUCAUUUUUAUUUUAUUUCAUUUAUAUUCUCGAUAACUAACCAUAUUUUGGUAACUUAAUAUAACUCUCGUACAUAAGAAAUGAUCCAAACCCACAAUUUUAACUCUGUAUAAAUAUUCAACGUUGAGUCAUUAAUUCUCAACUCAGCACUGAAUCCCAUAGCUAUUACUUAGACUCUAUGAAAAAUUUCAUAGUUUUCUUACAUUCUUUGAGUUUGGUAAGUGAUUUCGUAUAAUUUCUUUUCAAGUUAAAUUUUAAUUUGGUUUAUGAUAUAGUCUCUGUGCCGAAUUGUAUCUUUUAUGAUUCUUGGAUUUUGGGCUCCAACUUUUUAGGAUUUGAUAGUCACAUUUUAUGCCAUGCUCAGAUUGAUUUUCAUGAUUUUAACUACCCGUUAAGUGGCUUACAAUUUGACAAAAGUUUGAAAGGAAAUAUGUUUCAGGAUUCUGUUUUAAUUGACCUUUAAGUAGAAAUAGGAUGCUUAUAACUUAAUGUGGAUGGUUUGUAAAAUCAUGAAAUUCGGAUAGGAUUCACUAGAAAUAUGUACAAGACUCUCCAUAAAGUUUCAUAAUUUUUCAUUCGGUAUGGGGUGGUACAGGUGAAACUUGUGGUUGGUGUUGAAAAAGAAGUGAAAAGCAAGUUGUGCUCGAUGAUGCAGAGGAAAAGCAAGUGAAGGACAAAGCUGUUAGUCUUUGGCUGGGUAGACUCAAGUACGCAUCCUACGACAUUGAAGAUGUGUUGGAUGAGUGGAUCACAGCAAGACGCAAAUUGCAAAUUGAGGGUGGCGUUGAUGAAAAUGCUCUUGUUGUUCCUCAUAAGAAAAAGAAGGUAUGUCUCUACUUUCCCGGCUCUUGUUUUGGAUUCAAACAAGAAGAAUUUGGUUUCAAACAAGUCUUUCUCCGUCAUGACAUUGCCGACAAGAUCAAAGAAAUCAAUGAAGAGCUACAUGAUAUUGCCGCUCAAAAAGACAUGUUUGAUCUUGUUAAGAGUGGCAAUAAAAGUAGUGAAAGACCAAGGCGUGUACAGAGUACCUCCUUGAUUGAUGAAGAAGAGAUUUGUGGCAGAGUUGGUGAGAGGAAUGAACUCUUAAGCAAGCUGUUGUGUGAGAGUAGCGAGCAACAAAAAGGCCUUCAUAUCAUCUCAAUCGUUGGUAUGGGAGGCAUAGGGAAAACAACUCUUGCACAACUAGCUUGUAAUCAUGACGAGGUGAAGAGAAAGUUCGACAAAAUUCUGUGGGUGUGUGUAUCAGAAACUUUUGAGGAGUUUAGGGUUGCCAAAGCGAUCGUUGAAGUUUUGGAUGGUCGUGAAUCUCAUUUAGCUGAAUUCCAUUCUCUUCUUAUAAGUAUUGAUAAAUCUAUUGCGGGAAAGAGAUUUCUUCUUGUCUUAGAUGACGUAUGGGACGGAGAUUACAUUAAGUGGGAACCGUUCUACCGUUCCCUAAAGAAUGGUCUCCAAGGAAGUAAAAUUUUGGUUACUACACGUAAGGAGUCAAUUGCGUUUAUGAUGGGAUCCAUUGAUAUUAUCUCUAUCAAGGGAUUGGCCGAAGAAGAAUGUUGGUCGUUGUUUAAGCGGUUAGCAUUUUUCGGUCGAUCCAUUGAGGAAUGUGGAAGAUUGGAACAAAUUGGACAAAGAAUUGCAGGAAAGUGUAAAGGCUUACCUCUUGCAGCAAAGGUAAUAGGGAGUCUCAUGCGUUCUAAAAAAACUGAAGAAGAGUGGCAAAGAAUCUUAAAUAGUGAGCUAUGGAAAAUAGAAGAGAUCGAGAAAGGUGUUCUAACUCCUUUGUGGUUGAGUUAUAACGAUUUGUCAUCUCGAGUAAAAAGAUGUUUUUUAUAUUGUGCUGUCUUUCCAAAAGACUACAAUAUAAAAAAAGACAAACUAAUUACAUUAUGGAUGGCUCAAGGUUAUCUUAAUGCAGAACAAAAUGAAGAGAUGAAGACAAUAGGUGAAGAGUAUUUUGGCAUCUUAGCUUCUCGCUCUUUCUUUCAGGAGUUUACGAAAAGUUAUGAUAAUCGUAUUAUAUGGUGCAAGAUGCAUGAUAUGGUGCAUGAUUUUGCCCGAUUUGUAAGUCAAAAUGAAUGUUUUUCGAUGGAAAUUAACGGCAGUGAGGAACCAAACGCCACAAACUCUCCUCAUGGGAAGCUUCGUCAUUUAAUGUUAAUCAUUGGUGAAGGGGCUUCAUUUCCUGUCUCCACUUGUAGAGUCAAAAGAAUGCGAAGCCUCUUAAUUGAUAGUAGCAGAUUUGAUUAUCAGUCGUUAAAUGGUGAGAUCCUAGAAGAAUUAUUGAGGGAAUUGACAAGUUUAAGGGCAUUCGAUUUUUGCAGAUCGGACCACACACGAUUGGGUUUCACUCUAGAGAUUCCAAGAAAUAUAAAAAAGCUGAUACAUUUAAGAUACCUUAAUUUGUCUGGUCAGAAAAUAGAGAAGCUACCGGAGGCAUUGUGCGAGCUAUAUAAUCUAGAGAAGUUAGAUAUUUGUGGUUGUUGGUGUCUUAAAGAAUUACCUGAAGGGAUUGGGAAGUUAAUAAACAUGAAGCAUUUACUAAAUAGAAAUACCGAUUCUGUAAGGUACAUGCCAGUAGGGAUUGCGAGAUUAAAGAGUCUUCAGACAUUGGAAGAGGUCAGUGUGAGUGGAAGAGGAUGUCUUGAUGGUAGGAAAGCAUGUAGGCUCGAAUCUCUUAAAAACUUGGAACACCUUCAAAUAUGCGGUAUACGUGGACUGGGUGAUGUAUCAGACGUGGGCGAGGCUAAGCGAUUAGAACUUGACAAAAAUAAAUACCUCUUCAGUUUGACCCUUUGGUUUGAUAAGAAGGAGGAAGAAGGAGAAAGGAGGAAGAACGAGGACGAUCAACUUCUUCUUGAAGCCCUGCAACCACCUCUGGAUUUAAAGAAAUUAACGAUAUGGUCAUACAGAGGCAACACUGUUUUCCCCAGCUGGAUGAUGUCAUUAACCAAUUUAAGGAGUUUAGGUCUCUGUUACUGCAAAAAUUGUGAGCAGCUGCCUCCUUUGGGAAAAUUGCCAUCCCUUGAAACGCUCCACAUAUUGGGCAUGAAUAGUGUGAAAAGAGCGGGUAAUGAAUUUUGGGGUAUAGAAAGUAAUCACCAUGACUCAUCUUCAUCUUCAUUUUCAUCAGUUAUUAUUGCCUACCCCAAAUUAAUAUCACUUUCAAUUCAUUGUCUGACGGAAUUGGAGGAGUGGGAUUAUGGGAUUACUAGAACGGGAAACACGUUCAUCAACAUCAUGCCACGUCUUUCUUCCUUGCGAAUUACUAUGUGCCCCAAACUAAAGGCACUGCCCGACCACAUUCAUCAAACGACAACACUGAAGGACUUGACCGUUGGGUGGAACUCUGAUCUUCUGCAAGAACGUUACAGCGAGGGUAUAGGAGAAGACUGGCCUAAGAUAUCUCACAUUCCCAACGUCAGGAUUUGGCAAGACGUAAUUUCUUCUCCUACUCUGAUUUGCUUUGUUGUUGUUUUUAAUCUAAUUAAGACGCAUAAAUAGCAUUUUGAUUUUGAGUUGACAAUUUUCUGGACCAGUGAUCAAGGGUGAGAAUGGCGCUAGGAUAUUGAAUAAGGCACUGAACUUAGGCUGAUGUCAAAAGAGGUAAAUUAUUGACAUGUGUAGCUAAUUUGACCGUUUCCUGAUUCAUAAGUCUACAUUAAUUUUGAUUUUGAGUUGAGUGAUUACAUUUUAAGGUUUGCUUACUUAACAGGGCCAGGACAUGAAAUGAGAAGCUUAUUAGUGGCAGUUGGCAGUGAAUGGAGGACCUUGACUAAAUUCUCAAGCGGUUGCACUGCAGUUACGCUCAUCCUAAGCCUCCUGUAAUUUCUUCUCCUGCAUUUUUGUAAUUUGCUAUCUAAUUAAGGAGCGUAAACUAUUUUGAAUCGACUUCUAUAUCAGGAAUAUAUGCAACAUUUUCUAAAAGUUUGAUAUGAGUGUAAUGAUGGUAAUUUCUCUUUUUUGUCUGUCAUCGAAAUGUAAGAUAACAUUCAUUAAGACUCUUGAGAGUCGUUUUUGGCAAUUGCAGGACAAGUGAUGAAGAGUGAGAAUGGUGCUAGAUUGGGGAUUAAAGCAAAAGGAGGUAAAUUAUUGGCAGAGAAUUGUGAGAGCUUGAGUGUACUGGGAUUUGCAAUUACAAUCAUCCUCUGCUUCAGGUGAUUUCUUCUCCUGCUCUGUCGUUGUUUGUAUCUCAAUCAAAUUCUAUAACUGGAAUAUGCAAAAGUUUCGAAUUUUUUAUUUCUAUCUGCUUGCAUUGAUAACAUCACGGCAUAUGCACUAGUUAAAGAACAAACAGAAACAGAGCUCCGGAAAAAGUUUCUUCUGCCAUCACAUUUGAAAAUUCAUGUAAAAUGUAGACAGUAAUCAGCAAAAAGGUGAUUCACAAUUUCAUUUUUUUUAUGAAAUUGAUUGUUAGGUUGGAGUUGCUAAAAGGCCAUUGGGCUAACCUAUGUCGUUACUUACCUAGAUCAAGACUCAAAACAAGCAUUGAAUUUUAAAAGGCAUGCAAUAAUUUUUGUGGCCAUAUGUCAAGUCAGGUAAGUUUGAAUAUAAUUAUUGUUGAAGGGGUUUUAUUUUCGGUGUCCAAAUAGAGAUACUGAUUCUUUAAGGUAAUGCCAGUAGGAAUUGCAAGAUUAACAAGUCUUCGGACAUUGCGAGAGUUCCAUUGAGUGGUGGAUGAGGUGUUGAUGGUAGCAAAGCAUGUGGUAUGCGUAGACUGGAAAACAUGUAAGAUGUGGGCGAGGCUAAGAGAUUAGAGAUUGACCAAAUGAAAUACCUCUUUAGUUUGAGGCUUAAAUUUGAUGGUGAAGAAGAAGGAAGGAGGAAGAAUGAGGAUGAUCAACAUCAGCUUGUUCUUGAAACCUUGCAACCACCUCUGACUUUGAAGGAAUUAGAGAUAUGGUCAUACAGAGGCAACACUGUUUCUGCAAGUAGUCCUCUCUUUUCUUUUUAUUAUAUUUUAUUUAGUUAUUAUUUAUUAUUUAUUUUUUGGUUUACUCUGCUUCUUCUUUUUACGUUUCUCAAAUUUUGAAUUUCAUUACUUUUGAACAUACGACAGUCUGUUAUGUGGCGACCCUGGUUUUUAAUUAAGGUUGUAAAAUAUUAUUGUAAAAGAUGAUUUAUUCAAUUUGAGUAAUUCGUUUGCUUUGAUAAUGAUAGCAAUUUUUUAUUUUGACAAUUUGCAAGGUGAGAAUGGUGCUGAUUGGUGAUUCAGGAUAUGGUUCAAACACCAUUGAAUAAAGCUAUGGACAUGGUGGCUCAACUUAGCUAGAUUGGUAUCAAAAUUGGUAAGUUGGCUUGUCAAUGUACCGAUGCUUUUGUUUUCUCUCAACCCUAAUUACCUUAACUUCAUUUAGUUUGGCUUUGGAGUUGAGUAAUAACUUAUUGUUCAAAUGUUAUUUCCUUAUUGUUCUAAUUCAUCAAAUGUUAUUUCCUUAUUGUUCCAUUGAUAUAUUUGUUGCAUAUCAAGCAGAAACAGAACCCAAAGAAAAUGAAACCAUUUCCAGGCAGCAGUUGGCAGUGAAUUCAUGCAAAUGUUGAUGCCAUUCAUAGAUGUUGAAGACAAUGUUGAGCCAAAGGCGAUAAAUCAUUAAUGCAUAAUUCCCAAAACCUCCAUCCUUCUCUCAUUGUAAUUUGAUUUGAAAUGAAUAAUUGCUAGGUAAUUGAAGCCAAUGUUGUUAAAGACCGUGUUGAGCUACCCAAGCUAAGAAGUUACUUGCCAAAAAAUGCAGGGGAUCAAAAGAAGCAUUGCAUUUGAAAAGGCAUGAGAUUCUGGUGGCUACAUGUCAACUCAUAUAUGUUUGAAUAAGUUUGAUCGUUCAAGAUUGUUAGCUUCUGUUUAAAUUUGUGCUACUGCGGUGCUACAAUGCUGCUACUGGGAAAUUUGAAUCCCAUAUUAGACUUUCCUCACAUCAGAAGCUGUGGAUCUUCGGACAUCAGGUUUUUUCACAGUUCUGAAACACUCAGGAUUAAACUCUAUUAAAGUGUUGUAGUUAUCUUGUUGUCAGAAUUCCCAUAUUAUUAUCUUUUUCAUGUAAAAUUAUCUUGUUGUCUUCGCCCAUGAAUCUAAGCUAAAAUUUGAACCAAUUGUUUGCCAUUAUAAAUUUCAUUGUUAAAUGUUAAUUAUGAUGUUGGCGUUGAGUUUCUUUUAAAGUCAUAGAAGCCUGACGAUUGAGUUCCAUGGGAUUCUGAGAAGCAGUAAUAUUUGAACAAGUGAAGGUUCUUCUCUUUUAAUUAUGUUCUGCACUUUUACAGUUUGGCUUUGGAGUUGAGUAAUAACCUUUCGAGGUCGCGGCUAUAAAAAGGCGAUGCUCAAUUUGCCACAGAUUACAUGUAUUGCCAUCAUUGACAAUUUUCUGGAUAAGUGAUGAAGGGUGAGAGUGGUGCUAGACUUCAGCCCUCCAGAAUAUUGAAUAAAGCUGUCAAAAGAGGUAAAUUAUUGGCAUGCCUGUUAGUGAAUUGGAUAAAGCUGGAGCAGAGCAUGAUGUUGCUGUAUAGCUGGAGCAGAGCAUGUUGUUGCUGUGUAGCUGGUUGUAGCAGAUCAACUCACUGAGCUGACCUGUCAAAGCUGGAGCAGAGCAGAGCAGAGCGGAUAAAGCUGGAGCAGAGCAGAGCGGAUAAAGCUGGAGCAGAGCAGAGCAUGAUGUUGCUGUAUAGCUGGAGCAGAGCAUGCUGUUGCUGUGUAGCUGGAGCAGAGCAUGCUGUUGCUGUGUAGCUGGUUGUAGCAGAUCAACUCACUGAGCUGACCUGUCAAAGUUAGUUAGCUGGUUGAGCUGAUGUGUAAAGUUAGUUAUGCAGCAAAUGGUUAUGUGAUGUAACAAACUCGUGUGUGUAGUGAAGAUUGUAGCUUAGUAUAAAUGUCAAUCAGUAUUCAUUAAGUUGAAAUAUCUGAGGAUAAUAAAAAGGUUCUUUAGAGUUCUCUUUCAUUUUCUUUUACUUUCUUGCUUGCCAAACAAUAUAGAACUAAGUUUCUUUCAUGGUAUCAGAGCCAUAAAUGGCAAAUACAGUUCAAAACAACAACUCUUUUAGUUUUGUUACGCCUGUAAAGCUAGAUCAAAACAACUAUAUUUUGUGGCGCACACAAAUUCUAGCUUCGAUCAAAGGAAAUGGUUUGGAAGGUUUUAUCAAUGGUGAUCGAGAAUGUCCUGAGCAGUUUCUUUCUUCUGGCAACAACAAUGGAGCUGAAAUCUUAACUGAAUCUGGAUCCAGAUCUGUUACUGAAUCUGGAUCCAGAUCUGUUACUGAAUCUGGAUCCAGAUCUGUUAAUCCAGAGUUCGUAGCUUGGAUGAAGGCUGAUCAACUUCUGCUGAGUUGGAUGAUGUCAUCGAUACAACAAAAUCUGCUUGCUACUAUGAUUGACUCAACAACCUCAAAACAGCUUUGGGAGACUCUUGCUAGUAUGUUUAUCUCUCAAUCACAGGCUAGAAUUCAAACACUUAGAAUGCAGAUUCAAACUAUUAAGAAAGGUGCAAUGCAUAUGUCUGAUUACUUUGUAAAAGUAAAACGUAUAGCUGAUACUUUAGCUCUAGCUGGAAAACCUGUUGAGUUAAAUGAUCUUGUGAUGCAUGUAUUAACUGGUCUUGAUUCAUCAGAUUAUGAAUCUUUAGUCACUGCUGUGUUAGCUCGAGGUGAAAAGAUAACAUUAGAUGAACUAUAUUCUUUGCUGUUAAAUCAUGAAAAUAGAGUUGAGCAAAAGAAAGGAAAAAUUGCUGGUGAUGUGAUGCAUAACAUGACAGCAAAUAUUGUUCAGAAGAACUCAUAUGCUAGAAAGAAUAAUGGAAAUUUUCAGAAACAGUAUGGAAAUAACUCUGGAGGUGGUAAUAAUUCUGGAUAUGGAUAUGGUCAGUUUAAUAAUAAUAGUAAUUUCUCUGAAGUUGUUUGCCAAAUUUGCUUCAUACCUGGUCAUGCAGCCUAUAAAUGCAGAAAUAGGUACAACUCAUCUUUUGUUCCACAUAGGAACCAUGGUAGAGGUAAUAUGAAUGGUGGCGGAGGUUUUAAUCAAGGGCAAUAUGGUCGAGGAAGAGCCUUUAAUGGUAAUAGUGGAAGAGGUUUUGGAGGUUUUGGUUCAAAUGCUGGUUUUGGACAAAAUGUUGGUUUUGGUAAUGCCCCCAGGGGUUUUGGCUAUCAAGGAAAUAUAGUAUAUCCAGAGAGCAACCCAUCUGCUUAUUUCUCAUUCAACCCUGGAUCAUCUAAUUUUGUUUCUGGUCUAGGACAUAAUAAUCUGGAACAGUCAAGUGCUUCCUCCUCCUCUGCUAUGUCUUCUUCACUUCCACCUGAACACAUUGAAGAUCCUUCCUGGUAUAUUGAUAGUGGAGCAACAAAUCAUAUUACCAACGAUCUAGGUAAGCUUCUGGAUUCAAAAGUUUACACUGGUACUGAAAGGUUAUUUGUUGGAGAUGGAAAUGCAUUAGCUAUUACACAUGUAGGGUCAGUUGUGCUAAAUACUUCAGCUUCUCAAUCCUUAUUUCUUAACCAUGUUCUUCAUGUCCCUUUUAUUACUAAGAAUUUGCUUAGCAUCUCAAAAUUGUUGGCUGACAAUCCAGUUACUGUUGAAUUUCUUGGUGAUUUGUGUUUUAUAAAGGCCAAGAACACAGGGAAAAUUUUACUUGAAGGUGUUGCUAAAGGUGGGCUUGUAUAGAGUCUCUUCUCAUGCUGCUGUUCAUUCAGUCUUUCUCAGUUCAGUUGGUCAAAACAAAAUUCAGUCUCUUUUUGCUUGUUCUCCUGUUUUUAAUUCUGCUCAGCUCUCUACUGUUAGCUCUUAUGAGUUGAAUAAAACGUCAUGUCUGUCAGUUGUUGCAAAGGGUUCUAUUGAUGUAAAUCUUCUUCAUAGAAGAUUAGGACACCCAGCAUCUUAUACUCUCAAAACCAUUCUCAAAGCUUGUAACAACUCUACUGCUUUUAAUAAAGUUGACAGUUUGAAAUUUUGUUCAGCAUGCCAAUAUGGUAAAAAUCACAUGCUGCAUUUUGAUUCAGUAGAAACAAAAACUUCAGCACCUUUACAACUGAUAUAUGCAGAUCUUUGGGACCCUUCUCAUGUUUGUUCUACCCAAGGAUAUAAUUACUACUUGUCAAUCCUAGAUGAUUACAGUAGGUUUACCUGGAUUUUUCCCUUAUCAGCAAAAUCUGAUGCUCUUGAAGUUUUUACCAAUUUCAAAAUAUUCAUUGAGAAGCAUCUUCAACUUUCCAUCAAAACUGUACAAACUGACUGGGGAGGGGAGUUCAGAACAUUUUCAUCGUUACUCACUACUUCUGGCAUCCAUUUUCGACAUCCUUGCCCCCACAUUCAUCAUCAAAAUGGAAAAAUUGAGAGGAAACAUAGACACAUAGUUGAUGUAGGACUGACUUUAUUAGCUCAAGCACAUUUACCACUCAAAUUUUGGUGGAAUACAUUCCAUACAGCUGUCUACUUGAUAAACAGACUUCCAACUCCAGUUCUAAACAGCAUUUCUCCUUUUCAAAAGUUGUUUAAUUCCCAACCAGAUUAUUCAACACUUAAAAUUUUCGGCUGUGCUUGUUAUCCAACACUCAGACCAUACAAUAGACAUAAGUUUGAUUUCAGAACAGCUAGAUGUAUAUUCAUUGGCUACAGUUCACGACACAAGGGAUAUCAGUGUCUUCACUCUUCUGGGAGGGUCUAUAUUUCAAAUCAUGUAACCUUUGAUGAAAGUUCUUUUCCUUAUGAGUCAGGAACAGAUUUUUCUUCAGUUUCUUCAAACUGUCAGUCAUCAACUCAUUCUGAGUCUUCUUUUAAUUCUUCUACUCCUUUUGUUACUCAGUUACAAGCACCUUUAGCAGCAUCAUCAGAAUAUCAUCUUAAUGAUUCUCAGUCACAUGCUUCUAUUUCCUUCCCAAAUUCUACUCCAGUUUACUUUUCUGAUAAUUUCAAUUCCACUUCUUCUUCUCCUUCUUCACCAUCCCAUCAUUCACCUCCACAUACCUUGUCACAACCUGCAUCAUCUGGUCAUCCAAUGAUAACCAGGUCAAAAGCAGGUAUCUUCAAGCCCAAGAUCUACUUGUCAGCUUUACUAGCUCAGAAAUCAGAACCAACCUCUGUUUCCAAAGCACUUUCUGAUCCUAUGUGGUAUAAAGCUAUGCAAGAAGAGUAUCUAGCUCUUAAAACCAAUCACACCUGGGAUUUAGUCUUACCUGCUACUCCAGUGAAGAUAGUUGGCAACAAGUGGGUAUUUCGAGUAAAGUAUAACUCAGAUGGUUCAGUUUCAAGGUAUAAAGCCAGGCUUGUGGCUAAAGGGUUUCAUCAGACACAUGGGAUUGACUACACAGAAACCUUCAGUCCAGUGGUUAAGUCCUCCACUGUUAGAGUUAUUCUUAGCUUAGCAGUAUUGAGUCACUGGGUUGUAAGGCAGGUGGAUGUUAACAAUGCCUUUCUAAAUGGCAUUUUAAUUGAAGAUGUGUACAUGGCUCAACCUCAAGGUUUUGUUGAUUCAACUAAACCUAAUCAUAUCUGCAAGCUAAAUAAGGCUUUGUAUGGCUUAAAACAGGCUCCUAGAGCCUGGUUUGAUAGGUUUAAGGAUGCAAUGAUCUCCAAGUGGCAUUUUUAGCAUUCCAGGUCUGAUAACUCUCUCUUUUAUGCCUGGAACAGUGGUCAUCUAACUGUUGUUUUGGUCUAUGUUGAUGAUAUUAUCAUCACUGGUUCCAGUCCAUCCAUAAUUCAACAAGUUAUCCAGAAUAUGCAUCAAGCUUUUGCUUUAAAAGACCUGGGGGAACUUCACUAUUUUCUGGGGAUUGAAGUCAGCAAAUCUUCACAAGGGGUUUCCUUGACACAAGCAAAGUACAUUGCUGAUAUUCUGGAUAAACAUGGCAUGACAGACUGCAGUCCUGUGCCAACUCCAAUGUCUACAGGCUUUUAUCUCACCAAAGACUCAGGAGAGCCACUUGAUAAUGUUUCUCAAUAUCGAAGUGUUAUAGGAGCUCUUCAAUAUGUUACUCUUACCAGACCUGACAUUGCCUUCUCUGUAAACAAGUUAAGUCAGUUCCUUUCCAGUCCUAGAACUCAACAUUGGGAAGCAUGUAAAAGGUUAUUGAGGUACUUAAAAGGCAUUAUCCAUCUGGGGCUGCAUUUCUACAAUCAAGGAGCUCUGCAAUUACAUUGUUUUUCAGAUUCUGAUUGGGCUUGUGAUCAUGAUGAUAGGAAGUCAGUGGCUGGCUUUGCUGUUUAUCUAGGUCCUAAUCUUGUUUCCUGGUCGUCAAAGAAACAAGCUGUUGUUUCCAGAUCCAGCACAGAAGCUGAGUAUAGAUCUCUUGCUCAUGCUGCUUCAGAAGUUACCUGGAUUAAAUCCUUACUUGGUGAACUUAGUAUCACAUUAAGCUCCACUCCUAUGAUGUGGUGUGAUAAUCAAGGAGCAAUUGCUUUAGCUUAUAAUCCAGUUUAUCAUGCUAAGACUAAGCAUGUUGAAUUGGAUAUACAUUUUAUCCGAGAUAAGGUCACUGCUAAAGAGGUUGCAGUAUGCUAUGUGCCUAGUCCAGAUCAAACAGCAGAUGUGUUGACUAAGGCUCUUACUUUCAAACAAUUCAGUUACUUCAGAAGCAAGCUGAAUGUUCAUCCUAAACAUUUCAGCUUGAGGGGGGAUGUUAGUGAAUUGGAUAAAGCUGGAGCAGAGCAUGAUGUUGCUGUAUAGCUGGAGCAGAGCAUGUUGUUGCUGUGUAGCUGGUUGUAGCCAAAGCUGGAGCAGAGCAGAGCAGAGCGGAUAAAGCUGGAGCAGAGCAGAGCGGAUAAAGCUGGAGCAGAGCAGAGCAUGAUGUUGCUGUAUAGCUGGAGCAGAGCAUGCUGUUGCUGUGUAGCUGGUUGUAGCAGAUCAACUCACUGAGCUGACCUGUCAAAGUUAGUUAGCUGGUUGAGCUGAUGUGUAAAGUUAGUUAUGCAGCAAAUGGUUAUGUGAUGUAACAAACUCGUGUGUGUAGUGAAGAUUGUAGCUUAGUAUAAAUGUCAAUCAGUAUUCAUUAAGUUGAAAUAUCUGAGGAUAAUAAAAAGGUUCUUUAGAGUUCUCUUUCAUUUUCUUUUACUUUCUUGCUUGCCAAACAAUAUAGAACUAAGUUUCUUUCAAUGCCUAGCUAAUUUGACCACUACCUGAUUCAUAAGCCUACAUCAAUUUUGAUUUUGAGUUAAGUGAUUAAUUUUCAAGGUUUGCUUACUUAACCGGCGACUAAUUUCUUGUAACUAAAUGUAUCAUAUGAUGCAGGAAGCAGGGCAAGAUAUGAAAUGAGAAGCUUAUUAGUGGAAGGAUUGCCAGAAACAGAACCCAAAGAAAAUGAAAACAUUUCAAGGCAGCAGUUGGCAGCUGGCAAUGAAUGGAGGCCCUUGAAAAAAUUCCCAAGCCGUUGCACUGCAAUUACGAUCAUCCUCGGCCUCAGGUAAUUUCUUCUCCUGCAUUUUUGUUAUUUGCUAUCAAGUGACAUUCGUAAGUAUGAUUGCAUUAAGCUGCUGCUGGGAAAUUUGAGGUUUUGAUGGCUGCCCAUGCUAUUGUCAGAAGCUGCAGUUCUUUUCAUCAGCCUGAACCUGGACCUGUCGCCAUGGAUAACUCAGGUUUUUUUUUUUUUUAAUCAACUACGGCAUCUUUUCCACUGUUUUGAAACUCUUAAGAUUAAACUUUAGUAAUGUUGUUUUAGUUAUCCAUGUAAUCAGGCUGAGGAUACUUAGCAGCCUAUUUAGGCAAAUGUCAGAAUUUAGUUUGUUCGCUGGGAAUUGGUGUGGACUGGCAAAGGAUGAUGAGAUAGUUUUUUGAGUGAGUAAAUUUUGGGAGCUUGAGUGUAUUGGGAUUUGCAAUUACAAUCAUCGUCUGCCUCAGGUGAUUUCUUCUCCUGCUCUGUCAUUGUUUGUUCUCUAAUUCAAAAGCAUAAAAUAUUUCAAUCAAAUUGUAUGCCAGGAAUAUGCAAAAGUUUCUAAUAUUUUAUUUCCAUCUGUUUGCCUUGAUAACUUUGCUGCAUAUGUACUAGUUAAAGAACAAAUCGAAACAGAGCUCAGUUAAAAGUUUCUUCUGCCGUCAUAUUUGAAAAAUGAAACCAUUUCCAGGAAGCAAUGGGCAGCAAAUUCAUAUAAAGCAUAGACAAUGAUGAGCAAAAAGGUGAUUCACAAUUUCACUUUUUUUAAUGAAAUUAAUUGUUUGGUUGGAGCGGAUAUUGUUAGAAGGCCAUUGAGCUAACCUAUGUCACUACUUGCCUAGAUUACAGGGGGUCAAAUAAGGCAUCCAAUAAUUCUUGUGGCCAUAUAUCAAUUCAUGUAAGUUCGAAUGUAAUUAUUGGUGAAGGGGUUUCACUUCCCGUCUCUAAAUAAAAAUACUGAUUCUUUAAGGUACAUGCCACUAGGGAUUGCGAGAUUAACGAGUCUUUGGACAUUGGAAGAGCUCCUUGUAGUGGAGGAGGAGGUGUUGAUGGUAGCAAAGCAUGUGGGCAGUGGGCUUGAAUCUCUUAAAAACUUGGAACUCCUCCAAGCGUAAGUAUACGUAUACUGGGAAAUGUGUUAGAUGUGGAUGAGGCUAAGAGAUUAGAGCUUGACAAAAUGAAAUAACUCUUUCAUUGAGACUUAAAUUUGAUGGGGAAGAAGAAAAAGAAGAGGGAAGGAGGAAGAAUGAGGAUAAUCAACUUGUUCUUGAAGCCUUGCAACCACCUCUGAAUUUGAAGGAAUUAGAGAUUUGGUCAUACGGAGGCAACAUUGUUUCCCCCCGGAUGAUGCAAAAAUUGAAGGAAUUUACCAAUCUAAGGAGUUUGACACUCUUUAAAACUGCAAAAAUUGAGAAAAGUUGCCUCCUUUGGGAAAAUUGUGAUCCUUUGAAAAUCUCAGCAUAUUGUACAUGGAGAGUGUGAAAACAGUGGGUAAUGAAUUUCUGGGAAUAGAAAGUGAUCUUCAUGACUCAUCUUCAUCUUCAUCAGUGAUUAUUGCCUUCCCCAAAUUGAAAUCACUUUCAGUUGAGGGAUUGAUGGAAUUGGAGGAGUGGGAUUAUGGGAUUAAAAGAACAGGAAACACCUCCACCAACAUUAUGCCACGUCUUUCUUCCUUGGAAAUUAGUGUGGGGUUAUGGGAUCGCACAACGACGUUGAAGGUAUUGCAGAUUGUGGCAUGUGGUACUCUAAGAAGACGUUACAGACAGGGGAGAGCAGAAGACUGGCCUAAGAUCUCUCACAUUCCAGACAUCAUGAUUGUGUGAAAAGAUGCCCGUGACAAAAUUCUCUAGGCGGCUACAUGGAGUACAAUCAUAAAAUGCUAAUGUGGCCACCCUGGUUCUUAAUUAAGGUUGUGAAAUAUUAUUGUAAAAGAUGAUUAAUUCAAUUUGAGUUAUUCGUUUGCUUUGAUAAUGAUAGUAAUUUUAUAUUUUGACAAUUUGCAGGGUGAGAAUGGUGCUGAUUGGUGAUACAGGAUAUGGUUCAAACACCAUUGAAUAAAGCUACGGACAUGGUGGCUCAACUUAGCUAGAUUGCUGUCAAAAUUGGUAAGUUGGCUUGUCAAUGUAUUGAUGCUUUUGUUUUCUCUCAACCCUAAUUACCUUAACUUCAUUUAGUUUGGCUUUGGAGUUGAGUAAAUUCUGGCCUCUUCCGAAAAAAAAAGCUUAAUUUGCUACUGAUCACGUGUUACCAAUUAUUUAAGGUAAUUCUCGCUUACUUGCUUCUGCACUAUAGAGUACGUGUUCUGGCUGGUUUAUCUAAUUCAUCAAAUGUUAUUUCCUUAUUGUUCCAUUGAUAUAUUUGUUAGAAAGUGAAACCAUUUCCAGGCAGCAGUUGGCAGUGAAUUCAUGCAAAUGUUGGUGCCAUUCAUAGAUAUUGAAGACAAUGAUGAGCCAAAGGUGAUAAAUCAUUAAUGCAUAGUUACCAAAACCUCCAUCCUUCUCUCAUUGUAAUUUGAUUUUAAAUGAAUAAUUGCUAGGUAAUUGAAGCCAAUAUUGUUAGAAACGGUGUUGAGCUACCCAAGCUAAGAAGUUAGCUGCCAAAAAAUGCAGGGGAUUAAAAGAAGCAUUGCAUUUGAAAAGGAAUGAGAUUCUGGUUGCUACAUGUCAAUUCGUAGAAGUUUCAAUAAAUUUAAUGGUUCAAGAUUGUUAGUUUCUGUUUAAAUUUGUGCUACUGCAGUGCUACAACGCUGCUACUGGGAAAUUUGAAUCCCAUAUUAGACUUUCCUCACAUCAGAAGCUGUGGAUCUUGAGACAUCAGGUUUUUUCACAGUUCUGAAACUCUCAGGAUUAAACUCUAUUAAAGUUGUUGUAGUUGUCUACGUUCUCAGGUCAAGGAUUCUAAGCUGCCGAUUAAGCAUUGCGCAUUUUCAUUUGUCCGAUUCAAGAGGAACGUCACAGAAAGGGGUAAAGAAAAGAGUAGCCUAAGAUAUUAAAGACAAUGUUGAGCCAAAGGAAACAUAAAUCCCAACCAUUGCAUGUGAACAUGAUCACAAUAAGGUCAAGAACCUACCAAACCAUUUUUUUGAGAAUUUUCAAUUGAAAGUGAAACCUUUUGAUAUUUACCUAAUAAAGUUAGUUAAACGAGAGAAAUAAAGGGGGAAAGAAAAGUUGACUCUAAGUCAAUACAGAAUAAUUAGUUCAAUACAGAAUAAUUGCUGUAAAAUAUUAAAUAGUUUUAUUUUUCUUUUAUCGUUUAACUUGGACCAAAAAAGGAAAUGAGUUUAACACGACCCUCAUUCUGCUUCUUGCUUUGGUUUCAAACAAGUCUUUCUCCUUUAUGACAUUUAUUGUAAUUUCAUUUGGAGACAUAUGUCUGUCGUUCAAAUAUAUUUCAUACGCAAGCUGUUAAUAAUUCUGCUUGCAGAAAGCCUACAAAGCAGCUGUGUGAUGUAAUAGAAGACCAUAGAUAGUCUCGUCAAUUUUUCAACAUUAGAUAUUCAGGUCAUCAGCUUCUCAUGAAUUCUUUCCUGAGUUUCUUUGAAUUAUUUGUGAUGUAAUAACUUGUGCAUUUGAGAAACUGUUCUCUUGAAUUCUUUCUUGAGUUUCUUUGAAUUAUUUGUGAAUAAGUUGUUAAUCGGCUGCUUCUCUUCAGGAUAAGGAAAGUGUUGCAAACUGGUGAAGCAGCUGAUAGAUAAAAGCAAUGGGUACAUCUUUGCUGGCAUGGAUCGAUGCCAGUGCGGCUGAAUUCAGCAAGACUGCCGUUCGUGAUGUUGUUGAUUGGGAUUACAUUAAGGAUGAUGACAACAUUGAUUAAAAUGGGACGUGAAGAUAUAUGGUGUGCAAAUUAACCCAACCCAACCAAACCCGUACAUUUUAUCAACCCAACCCAACCUGUAAAAAAUCACACGGGUUAGGUUAGUUUCACGGAUUGGGAGGUUGGUGCCCACCCCUAAAUAUAACCUCCAUUUCAGCACAAUGCAUGUUAAUUGUUCCCCAAGGACUUCUCCUGAUUCCCAUUCCCAACCUCCAUGCUCUUGAGAGGAAUUUAGCACCCAUCAAUUUUUAUUUUUGAAAACUCGUAAUGGUCUGAUAAAAUUAAACAACAUCAAUAAUGUUACCAGUCUUUAAAUAGUAAUUAAUUUAUUUAAUUUGCCACCUAAAAGAAUCCUGCUGGAAAUAGAGGUUAAAAAUUUUAUUAGAUCUGCUUACCUUUGUUCAUUCAGCAAAAACACUUACAAUUCACAGCUAGAGAAUCUAUCCAUUGACAAUUGUGGAUUAAAAUUAUAACACCUGAAUUCCAACAUAUCCUUAUGAAGUUAUGAAUUUGUUCAUACUUCAAAUGAUUUUUUUUUCCCAAGCUAAUAAAGCUACCACUUUGAUCAAACGACGACGUUGAAGGAAUUGCGUAUUUUCAAUGUCCUUUUCCAGACAGACGUUCGAGAGAGAGAAAGGAGAAGACUGGCCUAAUUAAGAUAUCUCACAAAGAUUAUUAUUGAGUUAAAAUGUUAUUGUAAAAGAUGUAUAAUACAAUAAUAGUAAUUCUUUUGCAUUGUUAUAAUGAGGCUGGUGGGUUUCCUCAGAGGAUGGAUCUUGCUCGCUAGUAUGCAUUUGGGAAGCUGCUAAUUAUUGGCCAUAAAAAGUCAGGGGGUUGUGGCUCUUCCGUCGCCCAGAAAUUCCUCAACUCAUAUCUCAAACUUCAGAUGAACUUGGGCAUUAUGUAAAUAUGUAUUUUGAGAAUUAAACUAGUGCCUUAGAAAAAAUUUGAGCCAUUGUAAUCAUUUUAUUUUGCUAAGGGAAAAUUUUACUUUGUGUUUCGCUUUGACUUUUUUUUUUUUGCCUUGUGAUAAUAAGAUUCAUACGAAAGUGAUUACACGCCUAUCAUGCAUCUAUUUUCAUUUGCUUGUCAUGAGAGAUCAACAUGCUCGAAAUAAUUACUUAGGUUGGAAAUAUUUGAAUCCACUAAAAUACUAUACAAACCCAUUUUAAAAUUAAAAAAAUGAUUAUCAUAAUACUUGUGAAGAUAACACGAUAUCAUACAUAAAAUAAAAUAUUUCGCAAAAAAGAUACGAUACAAAUCUUGAGUAAACAGGUACAAAAAAUAUUUUUUUUUGGUUAAACCACGAGGUACAAAAAAUAUUUUAGUGGGUUAAGUAGCACUAAUGCCCCCUUAUCAAAAAAUAUAGAAAAAUAACUAGUUUGAUUGGGUAUACCGUUUAUAUAUAUGUACAUAUUCUUGAUAAUGUGUAAUGUAUAUUAUAGACAAAGAUUUUGAAAGCAAUAUUUUUUGGUAUUAUUAUAUAAUAUUUUUUAAAAAGUUGAGAGAAUAGGCAAAGUCCAAAUCAACUUUCUAAUCCCUACCUCCUUUAUGAUUUAAACUUUAGCGUUUAGUGUCGCGAGCCACUCAAAUUUUCUAAUCAAAGAGACUAAAUUGCACGAAAUUGUGCUAGCUUAUUUGAUUCUAGAAAUUUCCAGUACACUGUAACACACUCUCAGGCUUGUACAUACCUCGAAAUUCUCUAGAAUUAAUUUACUAGAGUAGUGUUGCAUGUAGCUUGUACAUAGGUUUUUCUGGAACACUUCAGGUAUUACUAAGCAUGAGAGCUUUGAGAACUCUCUAGCCAUAAAACAUUCUAGGGUAUGUCUACCCUAAAAAUUGGGCAUGAUGCUUGCCACUUGAGCAUACAACAAGUAAGAACAAAUCAAGCAUACUUGUAAGCUCUCAAACUCUCUUAUACACACUUUUAUGAAUAAUAUACUUUCUCUUUGGCUAUAUUGCUCUCUCUUCUCUCUAGUUUUUUCGCAAGCAUCAUACCUUAGUUAGUCGAAAAGUUCAAGGCUUACUUUAUAGCUAUCUCACAAAAGUUGUUUAAGUACCACAUGGAUUUGCUGUGUAAAAUACUCAUCACAUGACAUUAGCUAAAUAGAUUUGUUUGAAAGCCACUUACCCAAACUAUUAAACGAAUAUUAACUUUUGUCUUAAUUUUCUAUCACCUAUGAUAAAAUUUAUAAUUAAAAAUUGAAAAAAUUAAUAACUAUUAGAUAGAGCAUUCUUUACUGUUAAAAGAAAUCUAUAUAGAUAGAUAGAUGGUAAUAUAAAAACUUACUUAUUGUAGUAUAAUGUUUUUAGUUUUUUGAAACAUAGAUUCUUACUUUUUUAAGAUAAAAUUCAAAGAAAACAAGUUAAAUGUUGUGGAAAAUCUUCCAGCCAUACAAGAAAUUGUGAUAGCUAAAUGCAAACCUAACUAAAGUAUUAGUUGUUUUAUUACAAUCUCCAAAAAGAUGAGCAAUUCCAAAAUAUUUUUUUGUAACAAUAAACACUAUAGGUCAGCAAUUAUCCAAGUCAAAAGCAAGCUACUCUAUUAAAAAAAAAAAAAACUUGUAGUGAAUCUGAAGAUAAACCAAUUUUACUAGCAAGUUGGAUACCAAAGAGUAGGGCUUCAGCCUCAAUUACUCAAUGUACCAACAACACAGUCUCGGUGAGUUAAAAUCAACUUCUACCACUCUUUUACUUGCUGAUAGAUCGAUUAAGGUACCAAAAGGAAUAAUCGAAGAUGUAUUAGUUCGAGUUGAUAAAUUCAUAUAUCCUGUGGAUUUUAUUGUUUUGGAAACUGAACCAAUUGCUAAUGAAUGCAAACAAAUUCCUGUUACAUUGGGUCGUCCAUUUUUAGCUACUGCUAAUGCAUUGAUUAAUUGCUGGAAUGGAGUAAUGAGUUUAUCUUUCGGCAACAUGACAUUGGAACUCAAUGUGUUCAACAUAUGUAAACAACCUCACCACCAGGAAGAUGAUGAUAAUGAGAAUGAGGAGAUUGAUUUCAUCGAGCCAAUCAUUGAUGAACACAUUCAGAAUAAGAAUUUUACAAACUCAGUGGAAAUUUAUUCUGCUCGUUCUUUUGAAUCGAGUAAGAAAUUAGAUUACGAUACUGAUAACAUAUACCCUACACUUGAUUCUAUGCAGGUACUUGCUGACGGUGACCAAUCAAACUUUAAAAAUACAGAACAAUCUAAAGAACCAAACGAAGAGGAAGUACCAGAGCUCGAAUUAAAGCCCUUACCGGAAGAAUUGAAGUAUGCCUAUCUUGGAGAAUAACAAACUUAUCCGGUGGUAAUUUCUUCCCAACUCACGCAUGAUCAAGAAGGUAAGUUGUUGUCUGUACUAAAAAGGCAUAAAACUGCAUUUGGUUGGACCUUAAAAGACAUAAAAAGUAUUAAUCCUUUAAUCUGCACACACCGAAUACACUUAAAGGAAAAUACCAGAACAACCCGUUAACAUCGACAUUAUCAGUGUAAACAUUAAAUACCAAAAUCAACCCCAAAAACUAUAACUAAACUAUCAUGACUAAAAUAAAGUUUUUUUUUUUUAGAUAUUCGUUGUAGUAUCUCUUUAGAUGACAAACAAGAGAUAAAAUACAUAAAUAUUUGCUGUGUAAAUAAAAAUAAAUAAUUUUUUUGAACUGAAAAAUAUUCUCAAAAACUAAAUAGUUCAAACUUUUUUUAACAUUAUCGGUUCUGGACCUGAACCGAACCGUGAACCGUAAACUGCCCACCCUUACGUAGUUGUUUCCGUUAACCGAUGUUGUAUUGCUGGUAUAAAAUUGUUCAAAUGUUCAAAUCACAGUCUCCCGCUCUCAGCUCAGUCAGAGUUUCAGGUCCAGAGACUUCCCGCUGACUGAGAGCUUUUUUGUAGCAGUUCUACAAAUAAUGGAGUAGAGCUGAUUUUAUGAUUAAUUUAUUUCCUUUUUCAAUUUCUUAUGAUUGCGAUUUAAUCUGGAAAGUUAAACGUGAAUUGUUUAGUGCGGAUUAAAUGUUCGACGAAUUUCCCGCAAGAGUAUUAAGUUAAAGAGAAAAAAGAAAACAAUUGAGCGUGAGCGUGAGCGUGAGCGAGAAUGGUGUUUGGGCAAGUGGUGAUUGGUCCGCCCGGCUCGGGAAAGACCACUUACUGCAAUGGCAUAACUCAGUUUCUCAGCCUUGUUGGCAGGUAACUUCGUUUCUUGAUUUCAAGCAGCUUUAUCUUUGAUGACCAAAAAAAUUGAUUUGGGCUUUGCCCAUUAAAUGAAUGUAAGAGCGGUAGGGAAUAACUGAGUUAUAGGAUUAGCUUUAAGUGAACAUUGAUGGUAACAUGCGCGUGAAGGUUGUAUGUGUUCAGUGGCAAGCUGUAUGCCAAUUUGGUCUAUAUGGUUGCUUAGGUAGUAACUUAUUAAUUUUUACGCAGGAAGGUUGCAGUCAUCAAUUUAGAUCCUGCUAAUGAUAGUUUGCCGCAUACUUUGUCAUUGAACUUUCUUACAAAUGCUGUGGUUUGUUGUAGUAUAAUUAGUUCAAUUGGAAACUUCCUUGAUGUUAAUAUAGAAAUGAGUGUGCUGUGAAUAUUGAGGACCUCAUUAGACUAAGUGAUGUGAUGAUGGAGUAUUCACUUGGUCCCAAUGGAGGUUAGUCAGCCUAUUGUUGUUUACUCUUUCUUGCUUUAUCACGCAAUGAUAUUCCUUUGCUUUACAACAAAUUUCGUGAAAUUAACUUCAAUCAAGUGGCAAUGUUCAUAUGCUGUUGAGAUUUUAUGGACAAUGAUUGGUAGACUUUAUAUGCCGUCUUCUUUCUUUUUGCAGUGAUAUGCUUGUAUUCAAUGAGCAUGUACUUAUUCUAUGGUUUCUAAAGUAGGUGUUUUUAUGAUAAACUAGGUCUUGUGUAUUGUAUGGACUAUCUAGAGAAGAAUAUUGACUGGCUGCAGUCGAAAUUAGAACCACUUUUGAAAGGUAAGAAGAGGCCAUUUUCCUUCAUUCUAAUGCCAAUAAUGCUGUCAUGAGACUCAUAAAAAUGUUAAAACGUUAAUGUUUUUGGUAUUUUGCAGAUCAUUAUCUUCUGUUUGAUUUUCCUGGCCAAGUUGAAUUAUUUUUUCUUCAUUCCAAUGCCAAGACUGUUAUAAUGAGACUCAUAAAGAAGUUAAAUCUCAGGGUAUUGUUACAUCUUACAUCUAUGAAGGGACUCAAAGAGUUGAGAUGAAUUCAUCUUUGUUAUUUUGAUGCCAGAAUUGUGCAAUUCUCAGUUGGUUCCUUGCACAUGCAGUUGACUGCAGUGCAUCUAGUUGAUGUGCAUCUUUGCAGUGACCCCGGGAAGUAUGUUAGUGCUUUGCUUCUCUCAUUGUCUACGAUGCUACAUCUGGAACUUCCCCAUGUCAAUGUCUUGUCUAAUCGAUCUGAUUGAGAAUCAUGGAAAGCUAGGUGUGGUUUUAAGUGUAUCUCUCCUACUUGUUUGUUUAGUUUGAAAUAUCAGAUAUUGUCACAAGCUCCUAUUUGCUACAUUUCCUCACCAAUCAAUUACUUUGGGUAUGUUGCAGCUUUUAAUCUCGAGUACUAUACAGAUGUGCAAGAUUUGUCAUAUUUACAGCAUGCUCUCGGUCAGGACCCUCAUUCUGCUAAGUACAGGUUUGAAUUCUAGCUGAAUCAAUGAUGCAAAUUAUGUUCAUUGCUAUUUCUGCUGUUGUUUCUAUCAUUUUCAAUUGUUACCUCCCCUUGCCAUCUACUGCCACACUGCAAUGCCUACACAAAUGUUAUGAAAUUUGUCAAUGGCAAUGCCAUCCUGUUUGUCCAGAGACAGCUCUUAGAUGCAAGUGAACAAUUUUUGGCUUUGGCCGUAGUACAGCCUUAGAUUUCAACUUGCCAUAUCUUGUCUCGGAAGUCAAAAGAAAGCGUAUAUGUUAGCCAAAUUUUAUUUGAAUUUAUUAAGUAACAAUGAAUGGGUCAGAAAAACAGUUCCUCUUUUGUUUUGAUCAGACUCAAUGAAUAAGUGUUUAAAAUGUGCCUGUCCUAAAAAUAUAGAUGUGUGGUUUCACAAAAUUUUCUUGAUCUUAAGAAAGAGUUAUCUUGAAAAGAAGAUAACAUGGAGAAUUCAGCAACUAUACAGUCAUAUUGAUGUCUGUCAACUUGGGUCAGAUGGUGUCGUUUGGAUGGAGAUGUUAGGUCCCAGAUGGUAUGCUUGUUAUCAAAUUCCAGUCUAAUUCAUUCAUGCUUUGAUGACAUAUGCGGUGCAGCUUCUUAUCUAAGACCUGUAUAUGUUCAGUCAUCAUUCAGUUCUGUAUUUGGCUGUCAUUCUUUCAAUGAAUUCAAACCACUUUCUGAAUACUUGCAAGGGAAAUUAUCAUUCGUAUACCCUAUAUUUACUCUGUUAUCAAAAAUACUACAACACUUUGAGGGUGUAUCAAUCGUCCACCAUAAGUUGACAAAAUGUAUCAACCGACCACCAAACCGUUAAUUGUCGUUUGAAAGUUAACGGAAUUACAGUGAAUUGACGAUUUUACCCUUGAAAAUUAUCACUUGUAUACCCAUAAAAUUCUCUUUUUAGCACUUGUAUACCCUUAAAUUAUCACUUGUAUCAUAUGAAAAGACCAAAUUACCCUUCUGAUGUUAUCAUAUUUAAACGGCAACUAACGGUUUGGUGGUCGGCUGAUACAUUUUGUCAACUUAGGGUGGACGAUUGAUACACCCUCAAAGUGUUGUAGUAUUUUUGAUAAUUGAGUAAACUAAGGGUAUACAAGUGAUAAUUUCCCUACUUGCAAAUUCAUCCAGUGUUGUCAUUGAGAUGCCAAUAUGUAAAGGAGCAAUAGUUGCCCUUGAUAGUAUGCUUAUUGAUUGCCUCUUGCCUCACUCAGCCUAAGGAAUCUGGUUGUAUGGUGUUCUUGUAAUUUCAUUUGGAGAUAAGUAAUAUCUGUUGUUCAAAUGUAUUUUAUAUACAACCAGUUCAUAAUUCUGCUUGCAGAAAGCUUACAAAGGAGCUGUGUGAUGUAAUAGAAGACUACAGUCUGGUCAAUUUUUCAACUUUAGAUAUUCAGGUCAUCAGUUUCUCUUGAAUUCUUUCUUGAGUUUCUUUGAAUUAUUUGUGAAUAAGAUCUUAGUUGGCUGCUCCUCUUCAGGAUAAGGAAAGUGUGGCAAAACUCGUGAAGCUGAUAGAUGAAAGCAAUGGGUACAUCUAUGCUGGCAUGGAUGCCAGGGCAGUUGAAUUCAGCAAGAUUGCCGUUCGCGAUGUUGAUUGGGAUUAUUUCGGAUAUCCUUCUUUUCACCUAUUUUCAAUCUUGUUAUUCUCAUAUUCAUAAAACAUUUUGGUUAUUUAAUUAUGGUUCAUCAUAUGCAUCUGCAUCUUCUAACUUGUUCGUUUGAGAAACUAAUUUUGCCGUUAGGUAGGCUUCAAGCUUGAUUCAUGCUUUUUUCAAAAAUGUACCAAAAUCAUGGAAACUUCUUUUUCCCAGAUAUUGUAUCCACACUUUUCCCAUAUAAUUGGGUCAGACAAGUUUUGCUUAACAAAGAUAUCUACAGUAGCCGAAGUGCAGGAGAAGUACAUUAAGGAUGAUGACGAUGUUAACUAAAAUGGGACGUGAAGAUAUGUGGUGUGCAAACCGUAAGCCUGCCUCUUAUUUUUGUGCAUGUUUACUUGCUUGUGAUUCACGUUUGUUAAUCUAUUUUGCUCUCUUGCAGGAGUUAUAAAGUUUUCAAUCAAUCAAACAUUUAACUCAAGUCCUUAGCUCUUCACGGCUUGAAUGGGUCAGAUAGGACAAGCGCCGAAGAGGUGGUUUUAAUCAAACCCCUCCUAAUUAUGAUGUAUGGUCCAAAUCUCGGACUUUCUGUACAAUAUCGAGCGAUUCGGACCUUUCAAGUCGAAUAUUGAUUUUUCUCCAGUAUUGUUUGUAAUUACAAGAAACGAAGUAAUGAAAUUUAUCACUGCGUUCAUAGUUAUGCUUAAGCUCAAAGAUUACCGUCAAGAUCAUUUUGGGCCCUCAAAGAAACAUGAUGUUGACACAUGUAAAAUUAUGAAGCUUGUGAUUAAAAUACUUUUGACAUAUAUAUGUUAAGUACUAUUAAUAAUUAAACAUAUGAAUAAAUAUGGUCAAUGAGGAGAGGAUAAAAUAAAAUGGUUUCAUUUUUUGAAUUACUCAACCGCUUCAAACUUCUAAGAAGUAGAUAUACAAUGAGUGGAAUACUGAAUUGAGUGCGAGCUGCGGAUAACUUAUAAAAUUGGGAUGCAAGCUUCAAGGAAAGUGUAUUGCUAUUCAAAUGUAGAUUUCAAAUUAGGAAGAUAUGCCAGCAAAUUGUAUAAAAAUGUAUAAAUUGAUCAGUAACAUUAAUUCCAAAUGAUGAAAUGAGUUAUCUUGAUCAAAAGGUCAAGAACCUACCUUACUUCUCUUAGAGAUAACUUGCAUCAACCGUUGUGGUAUUCAUACUUGUCUUCAGCUAGUAAAAGUGAAAGUUUCACAAUUGAAAUAAAGCUAAGGGAAGAUGCUAUGCUGCAUUUAUUAUUAUUAUUAUUGAUGUGGUCGAGAAGUAAAGCCAUGCAUAUGAUGAAGUAUAAAUAAGAAUGCAAUAGCCCGGAAUUCAUUUUCACAAACACUUCAAUAUCCUUUUGAUCACUUUUGCAAACAUCAAUUUGUCUCCUCUUGUAUUCACCAUGGUUGAUGCCGUCAUUUCCCCUCUCGUGGAGCAGCUGACUUCCUUCGCUGCUAAAGAGAUAAUACAACAGGUGAUCGAAGUUAAACCCCCCAUAUUAUAAAUACUUCUAAUGAUUUUAAUUGGUUUUGUUUUUAUCGAAAACAUUAACUUUGCUUUAUUUUACUUAUUUAGGCAUUUUAAAUUUUGAAAUUUGAAUUGAAUUUAAUUAAAAUGUGAUGUAGUUAGUAACCACUUUUUUUUAUUUCAUUUAAAUUCUCAAUAACUACCUAUAUUUUGGUAACUUACUGUAACCCCCGUAUCUAAGAAAUGAUCAAAACCCACAAUUUUAACUCCACAUAAAUAUUCCAUGUUGAGCUAAGUUCGAUGUUGAGGUAAGUUUUUGCAUAACAUUCAAGUUUGUCAAAUAGUCAUUAAUUAAAUGUUUAGUAAAAACUUAUCUCUGAAAAAUUUCAUAAUUUUCUUACAUUCUUUGAGUUUGGUAAGUGACUUCAUAUAAUUUCCUUUCAAUUUAAAUUUUAAUUUGGUUUCUGAUAUAGUCUCUUUACUGAAUUUAUAUCUUUUAUGAUUCUUGGAUUUGGGGCUCCAACUUUUUAGGAUUUGAUAGUCACAUUUUAUGGCAUGCUUAGAUUGAUUUUCAUGAUUUUUAGUACUCGUUAAGUGACUGAGAAUUUGACAAAAGUUUGAAAGGAAAUCCGUUUCACGAUUCUUAUGUGGAAGGUUCAUAAAAUCAUUAAAUUUGGAUAGGAUUCAUUAGCAAUAUGUACAAGACUCUCCAUGAAGUUUCGUAAUUUUUCAUUCGGUCUGGGGUGGUACAGGUAAAGCUUGUGGUUGGUGUUGAAAAAGAAGUGAAAAGCCUUACCAGCCACCUUCAAGCCAUUCAAGCUGUUAGCGAUGAUGCAGAGGAAAAGCAAGUGAAGGACAAAGCUAUUAGACUUUGGCUGGGUAGGCUCAAGUACGCAUCCUACGACAUUGAAGAUGUGUUGGAUGAAUGGAUCACGGCAAGAGGCAAAUUGCAAAUUAAGGGUGGCGCUGAUAAGAAAAAGAAGGUUUGUUUCUGCUUUCCCGCCUCUUGUUUUGGAUUCAAACAAGUCUUUCUACGUCAUGACAUUGCCAACAAGAUCAAAGAAGUCAGUGAAGAGCUACAUGAUAUUGCCACCCAAAAAGACAUGUUUAAAUUUGAGAGUAGCAGUAAAAGUAGUGAAAGACCAAGGCGUGUGCAGAGUACCUCCUUGAUUGAUGAGGAAGAGAUUUGUGGUAGAGUUGGUGAGAGGAAUGCACUCUUAAGCAUGCUGUUGUGUGAGAGCAGUGAGCAACAAAAAGGCCUUCAUAUCAUCUCAAUUGUUGGUAUGGGAGGCAUCGGGAAAACAACUCUUGCACAACUAGCAUGUAAUCAUGUUGAGGUAAAGAGAGAGUUUGACAAAAUUUUAUGGGUGUGUGUAUCAGAAACUUUUGACGAGUUUAGGAUUGCCAAAGCGAUGCUUGAAGCUUUGACUGGUUCAACUUCUAAUUUAGAUGCAUUGCAAUCUCUUCUUAUAAGUAUUGAUGAAUCUAUUGCGGGAAAGAGAUUUCUUCUUGUCUUAGAUGACGUGUGGGACGGAGAUUACAUUAAAUGGGAACCAUUCUACCGUUGCCUAAAGAAAGGUCUCCAUGGAAGUAAAAUUUUAAUUACGACACGUAAGGAGUCAAUUGUGAGCAUGAUGAGAUCCACAGAUAUUAUCUCUAUCAAGGAAUUGGCUGAAGAAGAAUGUUGGGCAUUGUUUAAGCGGUUAGCAUUUUUCGGUCGUUCCACUGAGGAGUGUGAAAAAUUGGAACAAACUGGUCAAAGAAUUGCAAGAAAGUGUAAAGGUUUACCUCUUGCUGCAAAGACAAUGGGAAGUCUCAUGAGCUCUAAAAAAAUUGAAGAAGAGUGGAAAAGAAUUUUAAAUAGUGAUUUAUGGAAGGUAGAAGAGAUCGAGAAAGGUGUUCUAACCCCUUUGUGGUUGAGUUAUAACGAUUUGCCAUCUAGAGUAAAAAGAUGUUUCUCGUAUUGUGCUGUCUUUCCAAAAGACUACAAUAUAGAAAAAGACAAACUAAUUACUUUGUGGAUGGCUCAAGGUUAUCUUAGUGCAGAAGCAGCAGAACAAGAUGAGGAGUUGGAGACUAUAGGUGAAGAGUAUUUUGGCAUCUUAGCUUCUCGCUCUUUCUUUCAAGAGUUUGAGAAACGUUAUGAUAAUCGUAUUAUAGCGUGCAAGAUGCAUGAUAUGGUACAUGAUUUUGCCCAAUUUGUUAGUCAAAAUGAAUGUUUUUCGUUGGAAGUUAAUGGUAGUGAGGAACUAAACGUCACAAACUCUACAAACUCUCUUGAUGAGAAGGUCCGUCAUUUAAUGUUAAUCUUUAGUAAAGGGGCUUCAUUACCGGUUUCCACUCUUAGAGUUAAAAGAAUGCGUACCCUCUUAAUUAACGAUAGUAGAUCUGAUCAUUCAUUAUUAAAUGGUGAGAUCCUAGAAGAAUUAUUUAGGGAGUUGACAAGUUUAAGGGCAUUAGAUUUUGGCAAAUCGUAUAACUCAAGUUGGUAUUCGACUCUGGAGAUUCCGAGAAACAUAGAAAAGCUGGUACAUUUAAGAUACCUUAAUUUGUUUUAUCAGGGAAUAAAGAAACUACCGGAGACAUUAUGCGAGUUGUAUAAUCUAGAAAAGUUAGAUAUUAGUUUAUGUUUUAAUCUUAAAGAAUUACCUGAAGGGAUUGGGAAGUUAAUAAACAUGAAGCAUUUACGAAAUAGAGGUACUAGUUCUUUAAGGUACAUGCCAGUAGGGAUUGGGAGAUUAACGGGUCUCAGGACCUUGGAUGAGUUCCACGUGAGUGGAGGAGGAGGUGUUGAUUGUAGGAAAGCAUGUAGGCUUGAAUCUCUCAAAAACUUGGAAAACCUUCGAGUGUGUGGUAUAUGUAGACUGGGUGAUGUAUCAGAAGUGGGCGAGGCUAAGCGAUUAGAACUUGACAAAAAGAAAUACCUCUCUUGUUUGAGACUUCGGUUUGAUAAGAAGAAAGAAGAAGGAGAAAGGAGGAAGAACGAGUACGAUCAACUUCUUCUUGAAGCCCUACAACCACCUCUCAAUUUAAAGGAAUUAGAGAUAGAGUACUACCGAGGCAACACUGUUUUCCCCAGCUGGAUGACGUCAUUAACCAACUUAAAGAGUUUAGAUCUCUCUUCCUGUGAAAAUUGCGAGCAGCUGCCUCCUUUGGGAAAAUUGCCAUCCCUUGAAAAUCUCCACAUAUAUCGCAUGGAGAGUGUGAAAAGAGUGGGUGAUGAAUUUUUGGGGAUAGAAAGUGAUCAUCAUGGCUCAUCUUCAUCGGUUAUUAUUGCCUUCCCCAAAUUGAAAUCACUCACAAUUUCUUUGAUGCUGGAAUUGGAGGAGUGGGAUUAUGGGAUUACAAGAACGGGAAACACCGUCAUCAUCAUCAUGCCACGUCUUUCUUCCUUGACAAUUGGGAAUAGUCCCAAAUUAAAGGCACUGCCCAACCACAUUCAUCAAACGACAACAUUGAAGACAUUGCGCAUUUGGAGGUGUGACCUUCUGGAAGAACGUUACCGCAAGGGGGAAGGAGAAGACUGGCCUAAGAUAUCACACAUUCCCAAUCUCCAUUUUGGGCUUUGACAAGUAAUUUCUUCUCUUACU